rnacentral:lncRNA from 1 species
AAAAAUUUUCUUUUCUUUUCACGAUGGCUGCUUCACCCACUACCUCCUCCGAGACAAUUGCUGUCUCCGACAAUGUCAACAUCCUCAAUGUCAAUAUGACAAACGUUACCAAGCUCACCACCUCGAAUUUUUUGAUGUGGAGUCGACAGGUUCAUGCUCUUCUUGAGGGCUAUGACCUCGCCGGAUACGUAGACGGAUCUGUCGUCGCACCGGCUCCUACAACCACAACCGAUGGUGUCACCUCUCCAAACCCUGCGUACAAUAUCUGGCGACGUCAAGAUAAACUCAUUUUCAGUGCAUUACUUGGAGCGAUCUCCAUGACGAUUCAGCCACUGCUAGGCAAAGCCACCACCUCCGCCGAGAUCUGGACAACUCUCACCACCAUCUAUGCAAAUCCGUCGCGCGGUCACACCAAUCAGAUCCGACACCAACUCAAACAAUGGAAAAAAGGGUCUAAGUCCAUCAACGAGUACGUUCAAGGAUUCACAAGACGUUUUGAUCAGUUGGCACUCCUCGGUAAACCACUUGAUCAUGAGGAUCAGAUUGAUUACAUCUUGGGCGGUCUUCCAAAAGAUUACAAGACCGUCGCAGAUCAAAUUGAAGGACGUGACGUCUCACCUUCGAUCAUUGAGGUGCACGAGAAACUCCUCAACCAUGAAGUCAAGCUUCAGGUCACUGCGCCAGCCUCACCGUCACUCCCGGUCACUGCGAAUACAGCACAUGUCAAACCCUCGGGUUAUAAUAACCCACGCGGACAGAAUCGUUCCAACAAUCGGAAUAACCAGACUUGGCAGCAACAACAGUUUCAACCUCGUUCUGACAACUCAGCUCCACGCGGAUACCAAGGCCGAUGUCAGUUAUGUGGAGUUCAUGGCCAUAGCGCACGCCGCUGCUCCAAAAUGCACCAGUCAGGUGGCUCUUACUCACCGUCUCCACGACCGUAUCAGCCCAAUACGGCUUCAUGGCAGCCUCGUGAAAAUCUGGCUGCUGCUGCACCAAGCACCGACAACAACUGGAUUGUCGACAGUGGCGCGACACACCACCUCACCACAGAUUUGAAUAAUCUGUCGCUGCAUCAGCUGUACAAUGGUGGAGAGGAAGUUACCAUCGCUGAUGGUUCUGGUCUCCAAAUCUCGCAUACGGGUUCCACUUUUCUCCCUACUCCAUCUCGUUCCCUCACUUUAAAUGAUGUCCUUUAUGUCCCUAACUUACACAAAAACCUUAUCUCUGUUUACCGUUUGUGCAACUCUAACCAAGUUUCGGUUGAAUUCUUUCCUGCAUCAUUUCAGGUGAAAGAUCUCAGAACGGGGGCCCGAUUACUCCAAGGCAGAACUAAGAACGAGCUAUACGAGUGGCCAGUCACCUCCUCAAAUACCGUAUCCAUGUUUGCCUCACCAACUCCAUAAACAUCUCUCCCUUCAUGGCACUCACGCCUUGGCCACCCAUCUCCACCUCUUUUACAAACCAUUGUGUCGCAAUUUUCUUUACCCUGUUCGGAUUCAUUGCAAAAACAGUUUCCUUGUUCCCAUUGUCUCAUCAAUAAAAGUCACAAACAACCAUUUUACUUAAACACUAUUACCUCGCACAAACCACUGCAAUAUGUGUAUUCGGAUGUGUGGAUGUCUCCUAUUGUGUCCUUGGAUAACUUCAAGUACUAUCUUAUACUUGUUGAUCAUCAUACUCGAUAUACAUGGAUGUACCCAUUGAAGCUGAAGUCACAAGUACGGGAAACGUUCAUUGCCUUCAAAGCACUGGUGGAGAAUCACUUUCAAACCAAAAUCGGAACUCUAUAUUCCGACAAUGGUGGAGAAUUUCUGGCGUUGCGAUCGUUUUUGGCGGAACAUGGCAUUAGUCACCUCACUUCACCACCACACACCCCGGAACAUAACGGGAUAUCCGAGCGCAAACACUGUCAUAUCGUUGAGACGGGACUGACGUUACUUCACCAAGCAUCGAUUCCGAAGACGUAUUGGCCAUUUGCUUUCGCGACGGCGGUAUAUCUCAUUAAUCGGCUUCCCACACCAGUGCUACACAAUACUUCACCGUAUGCCAAGCUGUUUCAACAACCACCAAACUAUCACAAAUUACGGGUAUUCGGCUGCCUGUGUUUUCCUUGGCUCCGGCCAUAUACGAAACACAAACUUGAAGAUCGGUCCUUACCCUGCGUCUUCCUAGGGUAUUCCCUCUCCCAGAGUGCGUAUCACUGCCUUGAUGUAGCCUCGGGUCGCAUUUAUAGCUCCCGUCAUGUCCGGUUCGUCGAAUCCACCUUCCCAUUUGCGAUGCCCCGGCCGUCAAAAUCACCACCGUUCGAACCAGAAAGUGCUGUCAAUGGCGAUGCUCGACCGACCCUUAUCCCAAUCCCCAAGCCACCACUCGUAUCUGCUCUGCUGCCUGCGCCCCUGUGCUCGGAUCCUCACCAGUCGUAGCAGCCACCGCCGCAACUCACAAUUGUGUCGGAGGAUGCUCCAACAGCGACGACGUUGGUGAAUCGUACUUCUCCCACGCACGAUGAUGACCCAACAAGAGAUCAGGUAAUGAAUUCUUGUGAUAAUAUUACAGGCCCAUUACUUGGCCCAAAUAAUAUCACUGUUGCACCAAACACAAACCCAAUCGACCCCAACCCACCAAAUCCCACAAACCGAGAUAAUCCUCAGCCCACUACCACUGAACCAUCGACAACCACACUUCCCCUGCAAAUUUCCACCAACCCGCCCCCAAACACUCAUCCCAUGACAACCCGUCGGAAAAACAAUAUCACCAAACCAAAAACCAAACUAAGCCUUACUGCCCAAAUCUCCAAUAAACCAGCCAUACCCAAAACUGUGGCCCAAGCUAUGCGAGAUCCAUCUUGGAGAAAUGCCAUGACCGAGGAGUAUAAUGCUCAAAUCCGCAACCAUACCUUCGAUUUGGUCCCGCCGAGGCCGUAUCAGAACGUUAUUGCGACAAAAUGGAUUUUUACACUUAAAUAUCUUCCUAACGGUUCUCUUGACAGAUAUAAAGCACGUUUGGUGGCAAGAGGAUUUAAUCAAAAAUACGGAGUGGAUUAUUCGGAAACGUUUAGUCCCGUUGUCAAAUCAAUAACCAUUUGUCUCGUUUUGCAAUUGGCGGUGACCAACAAUUGGUGUCUCAAACAGCUUGACGUCAACAACGCUUUCCUUCAAGGCACACUUACGGAUGAAGUCUAUGUGUCUCAGCCGCCAGGAUUUAUUGAUAAAGACCGACCACAUUAUGUUUGCAGAUUGCACAAGGCGCUUUAUGGACUAAAACAAGCACCACGUGCUUGGUACCAGGAGUUACGGAAUUUCCUUCUCCAACUUGGAUUUCACAACUCCCUAGCGGACACAUCUGUGUUCAUUGCCACACAAGGUACCAAUAUUGUCUACACUUUGGUAUAUGUAGAUGAUAUUGUCGUUACAGGAAGCAACCCUUCGGUUAUCACCACAUUCAUCACUAUGCUCUCUACCCGAUUCUCGUUAAAAGAACCCGUGGAUCUUACGUAUUUUCUCGGAAUUGAGGCCACAAGGACAUCCAAAGGUCUUCAUCUGAUGCAAAGAAAGUAUAUCAUCGACCUCCUGAUCAAAACAAAUAUGCUUGAUGCAAAACCUGUUGCCACACCGAUGAUGACCACUCCGAAGCUCUCACUUCUGUCUGGGAAUGUUCUUGAUGAUGCCAAUGAAUACCGCAGUGUUGUAGGGAGCCUCCAAUAUUUGGCCUUGACGAGACCAGAUAUCGCAUACUCUGUUAACCGCCUUUCACAGUUCAUGCACAGACCCACCGACUCACAUUGGCAAGCCAUCAAGCGCGUCUUACGAUAUCUGGCGGGUACGAUGUCUCAUGGGAUUUUUCUCCGAGCUGAUUCCCCGAUCACCUUACAUGCUUUCUCCGAUGCAGAUUGGGCGGGUGAUACCGAUGAUUUUGUGUCUACCAAUGCUUACAUUUUGUACCUCGGAUCCACACCCAUUGCAUGGUCCUCCAAAAAGCAAAAGGGUGUUGCUCGCUCUUCGACGGAAGCUGAGUAUCGCGCAGUUGCAAACACUGCUUCGGAAAUACGCUGGGUCUGCUCAUUAUUGUCCGAGCUUGGUUUCACUUUGCCGUCGAUGCCUGCCAUCUAUUGUGACAACGUUGGUGCUACAUCUCUAUCCGCGAAUCCUGUGUUCCACUCUAGAAUGAAACACUUAGCGCUCGACUAUCACUUUAUCCGCGACAACAUUCAAGCUGGAGCUCUUCGCGUCGCCUACGUUUCCACCAAAGAUCGGCUUGCCGACGCUCUAACGAAACCACUGCCUAAACCACGAUUCAUGGAGCUUACUGACAAGAUUGGAGUCACACAUGUACCUCCAUCUUGAGGGGGCAUAUAGAGAAUAGAUAUGGAAAGGCUAGAUUUGUAAAUACUUUAUACCUAAAUAUUGUGUGUAUCGUGUAUAUAUAUUGUACUCUCUAAUCAUCUAAGGAAUUAUUCAGUUCUCUAUUCUAUACUAUUGGUCUUCCAAAUGGAAAACAAAGCUUGUCUCGUGAAAAGGGAACAGUACAGUUUGAUGAUCAGUUUGCUCUUAGGGAUGUGUUGUUUGUUCCAGAUUUGAGAUGCAAUCUGAUUUCAGUUUCUCAGCUUGUUGCGGACUUAGACGUCGUGUUACAGAUUGCUAACAAGGGUUGUGUGAUCCAGGACCGUAUAACGAGAAACCUGAGUGGAGCGGGGGAGCUUAGAGAUGGUCUCUAUUUUUUUUCGUUGCAUUAAGGAAUUUCAAGCUUUGCAUAUGAAUAAGGAUGGAGCCGAGGAGGUGUGGCAUCGACGUCUCGGACAUCCGUCCAAUAGUGUUUUUGAUUUGCUUCCUAUUGUUGGCAGUAGAAGUAGGGAUUUUUCAGUUUGUGAUACUUGUUUGAAAGCUAAACAUUGUCGAGAAGUGUUUCAUUCAAGUGAUAAUAAAAGCGACGAACCUUUUGAUAUGAUUCAUUGCGACUUGUGGGGACCAUAUAGGAGUCCGACUUUGUGCAAUUCCUUCUACUUUCUAACUAUCGUGGACGAUCACUCAAGAGCAGUCUGGGUGUUUCUCCUUCAUGAUAAAAAACGCAAGUGAGACAAACGGUGAAGAACUUUCUUGCGAUGGUGAAAAGACAAUUUGAUAAAAACGUCAAAAUUGUGCGUACUGACAAUGGAACAGAGUUCACUUGUCUCACCUCCGAAUUCAGAGAACAGGGUAUUCGACAUCAGAUGUCAUGCGUCGGGACGCCACAGCAGAAUGGGAGAGUAGAACGAAAACACCGACAUCUUUUGAAUAUAGCUCGGGCGUUGCUAUUUCAGUCCUCGCUGCCAGUCCGGUUUUGGGGUGAGAGUGUGUUGACAGCAGCUUAUUUAAUCAACAGAAUACCUAACCGACUUCUUCAAGGAAAGACUCCUUAUGAACUGAUCUUUGGCACUCCACCAUCUUAUGAAAACUUGCGAGUUUUUGGUUGUCUUGCGUUCGCUCAUAAACAGCGAAGGGGUGGUGACAAAUUUGAAUCUCGAAGUCGCCGAUGCUUAUUUGUGGGUUACCCUUUUGACAAGAAAGGGUGGAAUUUGUUUGAUUUGGAAACAGAAGAGAUUUUUGUUUCUCGAGAUGUGGUGUUCGUCGAAAACGUGUUUCCACUUCAACAUGAAUGCCUCGAUGGACCUCAGGAUGUUCAUCGACAGGAUUCUUCUGGCCUGGACUUUCUUUAUGAUGCACCUGAAUCUCCAUCGCCACAAGUGAAUACCUUGCCUGCAAGGGAAAUGGCUGGCUCUGAGGAUGAGUCGCCAGCACAAGAAAUUGUUGUAGAAGAUAUGGCUGACUCCGCAGAAGAGUCACCACCGAAUGUGACCGCAUCAGAAGUCGACACUGUUCCUGCAGAGGAAAUGGAUGGAGCUCGUGCUGGAGAUUCAGUCGUCGUGAGUUCAGAAGAUAGAGGGCAAAUACAGACUCAGACUCUGCCUCUUGCUGCCGAUGAGCAACUUGGUCGCGGAAUGCGUCUGAAACAACGCUCAUCGAAGUUGAAAGAUUUUGUUAUGAACACUAUUUGCGACACUGAAGGUGUUGAUGGUGAGAUUGAAUUUGCUUUUGAAGAGAGUAUGGAUCAGACUAGCUUCCACCCGAUUUCUCAUUAUCUCGAUAGCAAGAGGUUCUCUCCAGCUCAUCGGGCAUUUCUUGCUGCAGUUAGUUCGGAAAGCGAACCAGUAUUCUUUCGAGAUGCUGUUGCUCAUAAAGUCUGGCGAGAUGCGAUGCAGAAUGAGAUGGGAGAAAUGGAUUUGAAUAAAACUUAUGACAUUGUUGAACUUCCAGAGGGAAAAAAGGCUAUUGGGUGCAAAUGGGUCUACAAGAUCAAGUAUCGCUCAGAUGGAACCAUAGAGCGCUACAAAGCACGUUUAGUGGUUCUUGGGAAUAGACAGGUCGAAGGCGUCGAUUAUACUGAUACGUUUGCUCCGGUUAUCAAAAUGUCAACGAUUCGUUUAUUUCUUGAAGUGGCUGCUGCUAAGCAAUGGGAACUACACCAAAUGGAUGUGCACAAUGCCUUCCUCCAUGGUGAUCUGGAAGAGGAAGUGUAUAUGCAAUUACCACCUGGGUUUUGCGCCGAGAAGAAAAACAUGGUUUGUCGUCUCCAGAAGUCUUUAUACGGACUGAAACAGGCUCCACGAUGUUGGUUUGCGAAGCUGUGUACGGCAUUGAUCGCUUAUGGUUUCAAACAGUCUUACUCUGAUUAUUCUCUGUUCUGUCGCAAAAAGGGGAGUACAGAGAUCUAUAUCUUGGUAUAUGUCGACGAUUUGGUUAUUGGAGGCAAUGAUACCAAGGAGAUUUCCGAUUUUAAGGCAUUUUUGAGCGAGUGUUUUAGAAUGAAAGAUUUGGGGUCUCUAAAGUAUUUCUUGGGGAUCGAAGUGGCAAGAAAUCCGGAAGGGAUAUUUCUUUGUCAGCGGAAGUACACUCUCGAUAUUAUUACUGAAGCUGGUUGUCUUGGAGCGAAGCCUGCCACUUUUCCGAUUGAGCAACAACAUCGUCUUGCAGUGUCAAAAAGUCCACUUCUUGGAGAACCUGCCAAGUAUAGGCGUCUGGUUGGCAGACUGAUAUACCUAUUGGCGACUCGUCCGGAUUUAGCUUAUGUGGUUCACAUCCUCUCACAGUUUAUGCAAGCGCCGAGGGAGGAUCAUUGGAAAAGUGCAUUGCGAGUUGUUAGGUAUCUAAAGGGCACUCCCGGAUAGGGGAUUUUGUUGAGGUCUGCGUGUGAUCUCCAAUUGCGAGGGUGGUGCGACGCUGACUUUGCUGGCUGUUUGUUGACUCGACGCUCUGUAGGUGCGUGGUUUGUUACUUUGAGAAACUCUCCUAUAUCCUGGAAGACGAAGAAACAGGAUGUGGUGUCUCAAUCCUCAACAGAAUCUGAGUAUCGAAGCAUGGCAAAGACAGUAGGUGAACUGAAAUGGCUGCGUGAUGUUCUUCUUGAUUUGGGCGUCGAACAAACGCAACCAAUGGAGCUGUAUUGUGACAGUCAAUCUGCUCUUCGCAUUGCUGCGAAUCCCGUGUUCCAUGAAAGAACGAAACACAUUGAGCGUGAUUGUCACACAGUUCGGGAUGCUUUACAAGAUGGUACAAUUGCGACAAGGAAGGUGCAUACGAAGGAACAACUCGCCGACGUCUUUACCAAAGCUUUGGGUCGGCGGGAUUUUGAAACGAUGAUUGGCAAGUUGGGCAUUUGGAAUCCAUACGCUCCAACUUGAGGGGAGGUGUUAGAGGAGAUCGAAUAUAGUGUUCUUGUUAAGGAAGUUAUUUGGUUAUGUACAAUAUCUUUUGUGUAUAUCUGCCUAAUCCUAUAAAGGCAAUCGUAUAUAUCGGCUUAGCUAAUUAGGUUUAUCGGCAUGUAUGUAUAUAUACCCUCUUAAGGGUUUCUCAUUGAAUAACACAGAAAAUUCCCCAUUGCUGUACUCUGUUUUACAGACAUUACAAUUACGAAAGACAUAAACUUAACUAAAAAAUCUAUAGGAAGAUGAAAAAGUCUUGAACUCGUCAAGCUCUAUCAAGAAAGGAGGCCACUCCGAUGGGAACUUUGUCAUUGAGAGAAAAUCCAAGCAAUCCAUCGCAAAGAUUUCACAGUCCACUCUGGAGGAAAUGAUGCAUCUCACCGCCCAAAUAAGAGAGUCUAAUUCUGCGUGUAAGGGGGAUAGGCUCUGGUUCAAUCCUCUGAGUCCAAGGAGAAUAGUUGGCGCUCCCAAUGAUACCACCCAACAAUGUCCACUAAGGGGAUCCCAUGCAUGCCACGAGCCAUCAAUAUGACAAACCGCUCGAUCCAAUGAGUGCUCACUAGAAGUCGUCUCUCUAGAGAUUGUUGCCGCCGGUCUCGUCUCAGAUGCAUUCGCAAUUCUCCAAACUUAUUCCUCAUGUUUUGUGUGCUCGAGGAUGUCAGGGGGAGGUUCGUCUAGAUUGUCAAAAAUCUUCUUGUUCCUUGCUUUUUAAAUGAACUACAUAAUCCAUGGAAAAACUCGAAGAUGCUCCUCACUUGUACCGAGAGUCCGAGCACGCCAAAAUAAGUAAUUAAGGUUCCUGAGGAUGGAGGACUGAGGGAAGAUGUUUGGAGCCGAAGGGAUCUCUCCUAAUGGUCAAACUUGUCUAGACAGUGGACAUUUAAACAAACAUGGUUUAUGGUCUCUUCCUCCGCUCCGCAGCUGGGACAAUCUUUUUUCCCUUCCAAUAUGUCGGGAAUAUAACCUCUGAUAUGUCACUACACAACCUGUAACACAUUGCCACACAAAAUGUUUUAUUUUUGUGUAGUUUUAAGUUUCCAUGCUUAUGCCUUUAGUACCGUGAUACUAGAACCCUGAACAGAGAGGUCACAAACUGGACGAGAUAAGGUUCUCGCAGCCUAAUAACCUGAUCUGACCGUAUAAUUUAUGGAUUUAGUUAGGGACCAACUGUACCCAUCUCUCGAGGCAUUUUGGCUCGGACAAAUCUCAAAAAUAAGGGUAAUUUCCUUAGGAGGAAAAAGCUCGCGGAGGCGGUCCAUCUUCCAUUGUUUAGACGUAAAAUCUACCAAAUAGUCUAUGUAUAAGAGUGGAUCUCUCUCCUCAAGUAAACCCUUGGGGGGGGAGCCGGUAUGAUUGGGAUCCACGACUCUGACCAGACACUAGUUCCAAUACCCGAUCCUAUAGUCUUCCGGAUCCUAGAUGCAAGUAGUGGCUUUGCCGCCAAAAUGCUUCGCCAACCAUAUGAGGGCUGAUUCGAGACAUUAAUGUCUAAAGGACUACAAUAUUUUAAGUACAUCCCCUUUAGGAACACGACAAAGCAAAGAAUCCGAGAAUUGAAGAAGGCCCAUAAUUGCUUAGCUAGAAGAGCUAGAUUGAAUUCUUCAAAUGUCCUUAAGCCAAGACUGCCUUCCUCUAGUUGAUCGAGACCACCCAGUGGAUUCCUCUACUCUCUGCUUUAGAGCUCCACCAGAAAUUAGCAAUCACACUCCUUAGCUUAGAGCAAAUGACUUUCAGGAGAAGAAAAGACGAUAUGACAUAUGUUGGAAUGGUUGGGCUUGCGAUUUUAUCAAUAUCUCUUUGCCCCCUCUCGAAGGCAAUUUAAUUAACCCUUUUCUGGAGCCUAUUGCGAACAAAGGCAAAAACUUGAGCCUUCGAUCCAUGGAGUUUUUCUGGGAGACCUAAAUAUGUUCACAUUCCUCGUUCUUGUAGUAUGCAUAUUGUAGCUUUGAUCUCUUGACGUACUUGAGUUGGGGCUUCAUUUCCAAAUAUUAUCGAUGAUUUCACAAAGUUGAUUUAUUGUCCUGAUGCAUCGUCAUAUGAGCGGAUGAUCGUCAUAAGAUGCCAUGCCCAGUUUGACGAAUCUGGAUCUAGAAAUCGCUCAAAAUAUAAAGCUGAUGAUUCCUAAUCGAUUGCGAGCGUUAACUGAUUUGCCUGCUGUUGCUGAGUAAAUGAUCCCUUCGGAUCUAACUGGAAGGUUUGGUUAAAUUUGACUGCAAAAUAAUUGUUUGUGAUUGUAAAAGCUGUUUCAUUGGGGGUGUUGUUGAUAUAUGUAUUGUUUUUGUUUCCACUUUUUUGAAUACUUGGUUUUGAACGUAUGGUUUGCUGAAUGAUUUUUUUUUUGUGAUUGUGAGAAAAAGAUUUAUGUAGUGCUUUUUAUAUCUUUUUUUUAUUUUCGUCUUCUUGAGUUGUGGUUAAACAUUUCAUAAUCAGUGAAUGAGGAUGAAGAAACCAGGUGGCAGGAAACAAAAUAAUCAAAUAGUAUCGUUUUCAAUUGUAUUGUUCUUUCUUAAACUUCUCUAUAUGUGCUCUGUUUUUGCUGAUCCUUUCCAACCGAUGUCAGAUCUAGCUCGAGUCCAUUUCAAUUUUCAGACUAUUGGCCCAACGGUUGGUAUUAAGACAAGAAGUUCAAAAUACAAUGUCGAUUAUGAAUUCCAACAACCACACUACCAUUCAGCAUCUAAACUAGUCGAAACCUAACUAUAUGUGACCUGAAACAUUGGAAAGUUUACUUUUAUUGGAAUUUUAAUUUUUUUUUCAUUCCGUUGAAAGUUCAUUAGAACUUUGGAAAGUGGCAGUUGGAAACUUAUUGGUUUAAAAAGAAACGAGUACAACACUUAAUAAAAUUCAGAUAGUUUAAUUCAUCAAGUUUUACAAUUUUACAGAUUAAUUUUUCAACUUUUAGGUUGGCAAUUUAAUUUUUCAAAUUUAUGUUGAUUUCGCGAAAUUGGACACAUAAAAAGUCAAUGCUAACUUAGAGAUUUAAAUUGCAUACUUAAUAGUUGAAAAAUAAAUUUGCCACUUUCAAAUACUUGGAGAAUUAAAUAAGCAUUUUCCCUUAUAUCCAUGCUAAUAUACCACUCUGCUGCCUUCGCUGUCUACACAAUCUGUCGCGGUGGAUGACAAUGGAUGCAUCUAGAAGAUCCAUGAAUGGCUUUAAUCAGCACGAUCCGACGCAGCCUCUAUUUUUGGCGCACUCCCUCUAUGUUAUUUCCUCCUCGACAUGGUUGUUGAAUCGCUUGUCAUCUUGGGUUUGAGGAAGAUGAAGUAAUAGUGUCAUGGGCAAAAUCAUCAGAAAUUGAUAUAUACGAUAAUCAAAGUCCUGGACGAACUAGUUUAACAAGUACCAGGCUGAUAUUAUUUUGGCGGACACUUGAAACAUUAUAUUGGUUUGACAGAUAAUUUACAUAAACAAAGUAGACAUAUGGUUUGUAUCUUCCAAUAAGACAAAAAUGAAUCCUAGGCCCUAGCUUUUAUUUUAGUUGACAGAAUCAAUGGACUGUUUUCUUAAAAAUCAUAUCAAGAACAUCCAUUAAACAACUAACCUAACUUUUCUAAUAAUUCGCCUUUCAAAUUCAAGACCAAUGGUAUCAUCAACUUACGUGAACGAAUUCUGUUUUUAUAUUUUAAUCACAACAUUACUUACCUCUACUGAAAAUGCUCAAAUCAUUUCUAAUUUUCUAUAGGAAAAGUACAAUAAAGAAAACACAGAGAAAUUCAGAGAGAACAGUCAUCUCUUUGUCUGAACACUCAGAUGAGAUCUAUUUACUUUUUCUUGGGGACCCAUCACAUACCUUGUCGCCCUUUGGUGUCUAUUUUAGAACUCGUAUACAUCACUUCUUUGGAUUUUAUUCUUUCCUACCAAAGACGUUGGUUGUAUUGCAACUACCAAAGAAGUUGUUUAUGGAUUAAGAUCAGGAACUUACCUAGGCGGUUCUUAGAGACUACAGGAAAAUAAAUAAAUAGUUUGACAUUUAUAUCAUAAAUUUACCUAAAAACGGCAAAUGGCAUUAGAGAUUCUAUUUAAGUAAGUUCAAAACAUACAUGACAUAAUUAAUGUAAAAAAGGUUUUCUAGAAGAUGCAUAACUAAUGAACUAUUUCUUAAUUAUUAGUUAGGAUAUUAGAAAUAUAAUUGAAAUAACUAGGAGAAAACUCGUACGCACGAAUCUUGUUUUACUUAUGUUUUUAAUUUUCUAGUUCAACUAUCAAAUUUUUUUUUUUGCGAUUUCCUUAAUAUUUUUUAUGACCAUAAUAAUCUUUUCUAUCAAUUAUUUUUAAAUUUUUUUAAUUGAAAUCUCAAUGUAGCAAUCAUUUUGAAAUUUCAAUCUAGCAAUCUCAAAACUUGUUCUUCAAUUGUCUAAAAUUCUUAACCUAUCUUUUUAUUUUAUUUUAUUUAGUAACUUGUUUUUUCGAUCAUUUUUACUUUCUGCAGUUUACCAUAUUCAUGUUUUGUUUUCAUAUAUUUUAUUGAUUCUAUUUAUUUGUUGUCAUAUUUUUUUCUUUUUUAUUUUGUCAUUUUUUUCUUUAUUUUUGAUAAUUUUUUAUCUUUUCGAUUGUUUAAUGAAUAUUUUUUUUUGUGUUUUGUGGUUUUCUAACUCUACUAAAUUUGUUCUUUAGUUGUUUGAAAUUUUCUUAAUCUAUUAUUCUUAUUUUUGGUUUUAUUACUUAUAUUUUUUUUUACUUUUUAUGAAUAAAUUAUCUUUGUUAAUUAAAAAAUAUGAAUAAAUCACAUAGAAAAAAGAGUAGACAAAACUAAAAUCUCAAAUUAUGUUUGUUUAUACAUUGUGAUGUUUAAUUUAAAUUUGUUUAUAUUAUUCUGAUAAUUUAUUAUUUUUAACAUAAUAAAAAUUAAAUUAAAUUUUUUUUAUGCAUUAAUAGUAGAAAUAUUUUUUUGUGACAUGUGUCACUCUUUCCAGUACUAAUAUAUCACUCACCUGGAGAGAGUUGAACAACUUUUCUAUAUACGAUAUACAGAGCAUAUAUUAGGGGGUGUUAUUCAAUCAUGGUUUUUAAUAGAGUUUAAAUCCAUCUAUAAUCCAUUGUUAUUCAAUAAUUGAUUUUGAUUUCUCCUUCAAAAUCCAAUAUUAUUGGUUCAUGUAUUUACAAUCUCUUCAUUAAUAGAGUUUAAAAUCCAUUGUUAUUCAAUUAAAGAGUUGAAUAAGUCAAUUAAAAUCUUAUGUUAUUCAUGUUUAACAGAUUCUGACAACUGAUUUUAAGUGAAAGAUUUUAACUGAAUUUGAACCUAUUUUUAUGUGUUAAAUAUAGCAAUCAAAAUCUAACCUUUUACCCUCAGAUUUUGAUAAUUAUAAAAUUCAACACAAAUAAUUAUUAACAUUUGUUUUUUUCUUUCUUCCCUCCAUAUAUUAAUCCAUCGAAUACAUCAUUUUUCAUCCCUCCAAUUUUUUUUCUUUUCCCUCCAUUUUGUCUUUUCAUUCUUCAUACGUCUUCCUUUUCCCUAGUCCAUUUCUCUCACCCUUCUCUCUUUCCAUAAGUCAACAAACCAUUUAUUAUUUAUUAUGAAAACUCAAUUUCUCACUAUUCUCUCUUUUCUUUAGCACAUAUUUAUCUCACUUCUCUUUCUCCAUAAGUCAUCAAAGAAAAAGUAAUAUCUUUCUGGAUUAGCAAUUGUUCUGAUUUUUGUUUUGAUUAUUUAAUUUAUUUGCCAUGUUUAUAGAGACUAGUGAUAUUUUUUACUUCGACGAAUUUUUUUGAGAAUUCUUUUCUAUUAGAUUUUAAAUGAUAGCAUGUGACUUUCUAAAUACACUGCUAAGUAAUUUAAAAUUUUAAAUAACUCAUAUACUUUAGAUUCUAAAUGAAUUAAAAAAUUUUAAAUCUGAUCUACUCUAAUCUGGUGGAGUUGAUUUCAACAUACAGAUUGAAUAACACCCCCUAAGUGUAAAAGAAUGGUUUUCUAGAAGAUCCUUAACUAAGGUUUCUUAAUUAUUUGUUAGAAUCUUAAAAUAGUAACAAAAAAAAAUAAAAUAAAAACGUAAAAUAGCAUUUCUACCCCAAAAAAAAAAACGUAAAUAACCUUCAAAGUUCUAACUGUAGCUUAUUCGGUCCAGUAAUUUACAAAAGGUUCAUUAAUGGUUUUAUAUAAAAAAAAUACUGUAACUUCAUCUUUUCUAUUAUAUGAUGGCACAUAUAAGAAUUAAUUUAGUUAUUUAUGUCAUCAAAGUGCAGAUCAUUUGUCUAAAGAGAAUAUUAGAGUUAAUUAGCUUGCUAAAAACUAGAGUAAUUUAGAAAUGAGUGAUCUAUUGAUAAUUUCUGACACUGUUGAUGAAGACAAAACACGGAAAAAUAUUAUGGUGAUAUACAGAAAUAGUAAACAAAUCUUACGUAACUCCCAAUGCACCGUCCGUCAGACAAAGAUAGGGUUUACAUGCCGAGAGAAGGCAUGGAGGUGCAUGAAUGGUGGUGAUCGGAGCAUUACAAAUAUGAAGUUCAAGUAGAACAUUAUCAGCGUGGUGCAAGUACAGAAACUCGUCGAAGUCUGUGUCAAAUACCAAACUUUACAUCACCAACAUAUAUAGAGCAGGUAAAACCAUCUGAUGUGGAUCUUUGUAUGCAGUAAAAUUAUCAGUUGAAGAAUUGUGCAUAGAAUUGUUCUUAGAAUUUGUAAUAAAUAAUAAUAACUCAGAAUGAAAAAAAACAUUCCAAGUAAAAUUUUCUUUCCGCACUAAAUACAAUCUUAUAUGUUUUAAUAGCCAUAUUUUGUUUAAAAUAAAAAUUGGUAAACAUUGCGGGAUCUGUAACAAAUCACUUUGUAUUGUAUACGUACACCACCUUGGUCUUUUUUACAUUUACUUAGCUAACUGGUUUAUAUACUCGUAAAGGAAUUACAUAUCAUUAUAAAUGCUAUGAAACUGUUGUUUUGCUUAAAUAAGAUUAAUCGAGGAGUUAUGGAAUCCUGUACAUUUUCUCGCCGGGAAUAUUUAUCUCCUUCCAAUCAAAAUCAAACUAAAACGGCUUAAAGACACAAUAUUUGGAGGGUCCGAGAACUCACCACUCACUCAAAAAUAACAUGAUAACAAAUACAUACCAUGAAAUUUAGAAGAUACAAAUCUCAUGCAUACACCAUAAGAUAAAUUAUACACUCUAUUUGUACGUACACUACACUAUAUAUUAUAUAUAUAUAUUAUAUAUAUAUAUAUAUUCUUAAUACGUAAGUUACGUAUAGAUGAGUAUAUAUAUAUAGAGAGAUUUAGAGAUGGAGAGUGGUCCAGUUUGAGUCUCUCGCUGACCGACUUGUAAGAGAGAACAGUCGUCGUGUGUGAAGGGAGAGAGAUUCCCUCUUGGCCAGCUUUCUUUUUGGUCUUAUCCUACAUGACUCUUUGCAACAGCCCAAAAGCUUACUAUCACAAAUAAUAAAAACAAAAUUAUAUUUAUUAAAAAUUUUACCGACGACCCCCCCCCCCAAAAAAAAACAAAACCUUUUUUUUAACUUUCUUGGAAAAUAUGUCCAUCCCAUUUUUCAACCCAUCAAACAAAUGAAAUAUCUUGCGCUCCAUAAGUAUUUGUGGGAUUUAUAUUGAGAAAACUAGUGUAAAAACAUUCAUCAAUUUGAAAUAAAGUUUCUACAUGUAUAUAUAAAGGAAUGAAUAUUUUAUGAAGCCAGAAUUCUUAUAUAUUUAUUAUAUAAAUUUGCAAAACAUUAGUUGAACUUCUUGUAAUUGUGUACUCUAUGACAACCAUAAGAAAACAUAUAUAGUCGUCGGCUUACAAAGUUAAAAAAUUUAUUUUUCAAAGCCUUAAAAAUUAAAAAGAAACAUAAAUUUAAGAUUAUAUAAUUCUGUCAAUUUGGUGUAUUCUUUAAAUUGUCUUUCUAUAUAUUGUACUCUUAAUAUGUAAUUAUUUACAUUCUUACUUGUUUUCUUCUUCAUAACUCUCUCUGUCUUCUUGCUCUCAGAUUUUUUACUUGAUUUAGUAGAGAACUGUGAGACAAAUGAAAGAGUGUUUCUGUAUCUCUCUCUGUCCAACUGUUUUGUCUUCUUACUUCGAAACUCUCUCUUCCUCUUUCUUUCUCUCUCUCUUCUCUCCCAACUAAACCAACAUGAUGAUGCCAGAUGAUCAUCAUCACCUCUCAGUCCCCAGCUAUGUCCUUAACCAAGAACACAUCACCCCAAAUCCUAACCCUAACCAUAAUACUGCCACCUCAAACUCAACCAAGAAGAAAAGAAAUCUCCCGGGAAAUCCAGGUAUGUACACUCAAUCCAAAUCUUGGACUUUUCAUAUAUUCAAUAGAUAUAUUUCUUGAUAAUUAUUUCUAUGUGUUUCAAUCAAGAACAAUGACCUUGUUCCAACUUCGGAUCCUUUUGUCUUGUAAUGUAUAUAUAUAUAUAUAUAUAUAUAUAUAUAUAUUGAUUUCCAUUUUUUCAUUUCCUUGUUUUAAUUUGGUAAACUAAAACAAAUUAACAAAAAAAAAAAAAAACAGAUCCAGAUGCAGAAGUCAUCGCUCUAUCGCCAAACUCCCUCAUGGCGACGAACCGAUUCAUCUGUGAGAUCUGCAACAAAGGAUUUAAGAGAGACCAGAACCUUCAGCUUCACCGGAGAGGCCAUAACCUUCCAUGGAAGCUAAAGCAAAGGACGAACAAAGAGCAAGUCAAGAAGAAAGUGUACAUCUGUCCUGAGAAGAGCUGCGUACACCAUGACCCAGCUCGAGCCCUCGGUGACUUAACCGGGAUCAAGAAGCAUUUCAGCAGAAAACAUGGAGAGAAGAAGUGGAAAUGCGACAAAUGUUCCAAGAAAUAUGCUGUCAUGUCCGAUUGGAAAGCUCAUAGCAAAAUUUGUGGUACCAGAGAAUACAGAUGUGACUGUGGUACCCUCUUUUCCAGGUAAUUUUGAAACACACUUUUCAAAGUAUAAAUUCUCUCUGAUUGCUUCCUUUUCUCUAUAUAAACCAACUGAUUUAGUUUGAGCUUCGUCUCAAGAUCUCUGGUUUGUUUAAGUAACGUUCUUGAUUUGGUUUCUUUGAUGGGUUAAAACAGGAAAGAUAGUUUCAUUACGCAUAGAGCAUUUUGUGACGCUUUAGCUGAAGAGAGUGCUAGAUUAGUCUCAACUCCCGCACCGGCACCUGCACCCGCUUAUUUGAACAAUGCCCCGGACAUGGAAGUCAACCUUGGAAACAUGAAUGCAAAUCCUCAAAAUCGACAACUGAACACUACAUCUUCUCAACUGGACCAACACGGUUUCAAUACCAAUCGCAAUAACAUCAAUGCCUUCUUGGGACAAACCUUUACCAACCAGCUUCCCUUACCAACAAACGUAUUCGCCUCCUCAUCAUCGCUUUCACCUCGUAGUGCAUCAGAAUCGCUUCAAAAUCUUUGGCAUGUACAAGGACAAUCAUCUCACCAAUGGCUCGUCAACGAAAACAACAACAACAACAUUCUCCAGAGGGGAAUCUCCAAGAACCAAGAAGAACAUGAGACUAAGAAGGGAAUUAGUAACGGUUCUUUGUUCUCUUCAGAAUCUCGCAAUAGUUAUACUCCAAACGGUGGACAAGUAAUGGCAUCCAUGUCGGCUACUGCAUUGCUACAGAAAGCGGCUCAAAUGGGAUCAAAGAGAACAUCAUCAAGCUCCGACAAUAGCACGGCUUUUGGUUUAAUGACUUCCUCCAUCUUCAACAUCAAACAAACGGAGAGUAAUGUAAAAGCUAAGGAAGUUGAUGAAAGAGGCUUCACCAGAGACUUUCUUGGUGUGGGAAGUCAACACCGUCCCUGGCAAUUAUUAAUGGCCAACCAUAAUCAUCGCGAGUCAUCUCCUCCGGCAAGAACCAACGGCAUGAAUCAGUAAUCAGGUAAAUUAAACUCGUUGUUACAUGUAUAUGAUUGUCGUCAAUAACAUUUUGUUAUAUGUAUCUAUAAAUGAAUUUGAAGAAGAUUUAAGAAUCCUCUGUUUGUAAUAUUUUGUAAAAGCAGAAACUAAUCCAAGUGACGAAGAGUGUACAAAUCAACCACGGCAGCACAAAACGAAGAAAACUGUGAAAGAUGAUGAUAUUCCGAGUCGGAGAGAAUCUCUGAGUUAACUCGGUGCUGCAGACUGGGUCCUCGCGCUUGACGAAGAUGGCUAUUAGGGUCCACUCCUGCAUGCAUGGGGAAACUUCUGACCAUGCAUGCACAACAAACCAUACGCUAUGUCUUUUCCUAUUCUUCUUUUUCUUUUCUUGUAACUAUUUCAUGACUUUUAUUUUGAAAGAUUCUAAAAGAAACGAGGACAAUGUUUGUACGUAGGUUAUGUUAAAACUUUAUGUAGAUGUUACAUUUUUUUCCCCUGGUAAAAGGUUAAGCUUGUUAAAACUUUUUCUUAUAACCAUAAGUAAGUUAACCUCUAAUUUUUUGGUAGUAAAAUUAACAUCAAAACCAAAAAAUAUAUAUAUAUACAGUAGCGGAUCUAUAAAAAAAAUAGUUGAAAACAUAGAUUUAUAAAAAAAAACAAAAAAUUAGUUGGGGGUAAUUUAUUUAUUUUUACUAUUAAAUUAAAAGUUUUUGAUUAAAUUUAUUUAAAUUAUUUAAAAAAGAUAUAAACAGUAAAGGGCACUUGACCCAUUGAAUUUUUACUACCUCCUCCCCCUAUAUAUAUAUCUAAUUGUUAUUGCUUUAGAAUGAGUUACGUUAUACUGUUAUAAAGAGAAAACAACGGUUAAACACAACGAAGAAGCAAAGAGUGGAUGGCCUCUCACAUAUUGGAUAGCAUUUGGUAUUUGUGAGACAUAAGCUCAUCAAACUUAAGGUGGUUUUUUUUUUAAUAACUGUAGGUAUCCCAGAAACUGUUUAGGCCCAAAAACUAAUCCCAGAAGACCUUGCAUUAGGAUACACAUUUGGAAAUAUUUCAAAUUUAAAGUACAGUUAAGUGGUUAAGAGGACUCGAACCCAUGACAUGUUAACCAGAAUAGGUUUUCUCUUUAUCUACAUGUUAACCAGAACAGGUUUUCUUAAUAAUACAAUCGGUGAUACCAAGACGGUCUUGUUCCAGCUUCAAUCAAAAGUUGUUUUAAAUUCAACUAAAAGUUGUUAGUGAAAUCUUUAUUGUCUGACAUUCAGAAAAUAUUUUUCAAUUGAAAUUGGCAAGAGAAAUAUAAUGUUAUAAGAAUUUCAUAAAUUUGUGAUGGUGAGAUACUCAUGAAUUUUUCAAUCGGAGUAUCUCAUGAAUUUAAUACUAAUAUUUUAAGAAUAAUUUUUUUUUUUUGAGAUAUCCAGCAAAUUUUUUGCCUCCAUUAAUGAGAUAUCUAAAAAUACUUUUCACAUAAAUAUUUUAUUUUCUGUCAUUUUUUUAAUUGAAAUUGGCAAGAAAAAUAUAUAUAUAUAGGCCAUGUUCGUUUUUGGAUCUAGAUGUUGCAUCUAGAUUUUGCAUAUAGAUCAGCAUCUAGAUACAACAUCUAGAUAUUGUUUGUUUUGGAAACUAGGUUUUGCAUCAAGAUGCUACGUUUAGAUAUUAAAUUGUUCGUUUGUAAAUUUAGAAAAAUAGUUGGAUGCAAAAUAUAUCAAAUGAAUAAAAAGAACAUACUUUUGAAUUAAUAUUUUUUAAUUAAUGAUGUUUUUAUUAAAUUAAGUUUUAAAAAUAUAUAAAAAUAUUUUUUUUUGCAUUUUUUUGUGGGAAAACAUGAUUUUGUAUAUUUGACGCAAAAAUUUUUUACCGAAAUUUUGAGUUUUUGAUAGAAAAUCUAGAUAUCAUGUUUUUGGCAGGAAAUCGAGAUUUUGCGUUUUCGGCGAAAAGCUGAGAGUUUUUGUUUUUGGUGAAAAAUCGAGAUUAUGUGGUUUUUGGCGAGAAAUCAAGAUUUUGCGUUUUCGGCGAGACACCGAGAUUUUUCAUUUAUUGGCGAGAAAUCGAGAUUUUGCGUUUUUGGCGAGAAACAAAGAUUUUUUUCGUUUAUGGCAGGAAACCGAGAUUUUUCAUUUUUGGCGAGAAAUUGAUAUUUUGCGUUUUUGGCAAGAAACCGAGAGUUUUCGUUUUUGGCGGGAAAUCGAGAUUUUGCAUUUUUGGCGAGAAACCUAGAUUUUCCGUUAUUGGUGGGAAGGAGAUUUUGUGUUUUUUGCGGGAAAUCGAGAUUUUGCGUUUUUGUCGAGAAACCGAGAGUUUUUGUUUUUGGCGGAAAAUCGAGAUUUUGCGUUUUUGGCGAGAAACUUAGAUUUUUCGUUUUUGGUGGGAAAUCGAGAUUUUGUGUUUUUUGCGGGAAAUCAAGAUUUUACGUUUUCGGUGGAAAACCGAGAGUUUUCGUUUUUGGCGGAAAAUCAAGAUUUUGCGUUUUUGGCGAGAAACCGAGAUUUUUCGUCUUUGGCGGAAAAUCAAAAUUUUUCGUUUUUUUGAGAAAAAUCGAAAAUUUUUUUGUCUUAGCAGAAAAUCGAGAUUUUGUGAUGUUUGUGGAAAUCGAAAUUUUGUGAUGUUUGUAGAAAUCAAGAUUUUUAUUUUAGUAAGAACAUUAAUAUCUUUUACAUAAACUAGAUGCAAACGUUGUAUCCGAACUCUCUAUUUCUCAGCAUCUAUAAUAUCCAAAUUUUUGAGAUGCUAAUCAAUUUGCAUCCAAAUGUUGCAUCUGAACGCAAAUUGUUUUGUGAAAAAACGAAUAACAUUUAGAUAUUUGCAGCUAGAUGCAGCAUCCAGAUACAUAAACAAAUAGGGCCAUAAUAUAAACAGUUUUAUACUUCAAAUCACUUUUCUACUUUUUAAUUACAGAUAUAUUAUUUUCUACUCUUCGAUCACUUUUUUCAAUUUUUAGAUAGUGCAAAUAAAAUUCUCUCCUUCUUCUAUUUCUAAACAAAUAUACUUUUUUGAGAGAAGACACAUUUACCCUAUAGUGUGAUGUUUUGACUAUUAUAUCCAUUUUUUAAAAUGAUAAUGACUCUUAUCUUAUUUCUUUUCUAUUUUAUUUUUAUUUAUAUCACAUAUCCUACAUCUUUUUGUUUUUUUAUUUAUUUAUUAUAAACAAAUAUAUAAUCUAAUAAUUAUUUUUGCACUUUCUGUUAUAUUUCUUUCACUACAAAAAAAUAUGUCAAAUUUUGACCAUAUUUUUUUUGUCAAAAAAUAUAUCGACAAAAUUUUGACCAAUAAAUGACAGAUACUGAAUUGGUCGAUAAUUAGUCAAAAAUUUUUGACCAAAAUGUAUGGUUGAUUUUUCAUCAAAAUUUUUCGACAAUUUUGCGAUUGUUGAUAGAAACGAUCACAUAUUGGACACAAAAUUUUGACAAAAUUUAACUGAAAAAAACUGGUCAAAAAUUACUGACUAUAGAGCCAUUAUAGAUGUCUGUAGCCAUUUCAAAGUUUUUAUUGACCAUAUACUAACAAAUUUUAAUUUUGGUCAAAAACGAUCAAAAGUAAUAUAAAUCCCACAUCAAAAAUAAAAAUAAAAGUGGUUUAACAUGUUCUAUAUAAAUAAUGCUACAUUCUGAACAAAGUAUAAAGUGUUCGAACUUAUACCAUUGGGCUUCGAAAGGCUCACCAUUAAGUUUAAUUAUAUAUCUAAUUAAUCUCUAACUUUUUUAAUAUAUAAUUUUUUUAAUAUGUUAGAUACUAAAAUUCAUCAUAAAUUUUUGACCAAUAUUUGGUCAAUAUUUUUUGAAUAAUAUAUUUGGUCAAAAGUGUUUGACCACUUUUAAUUCGUCAAAAAUUUUUGACCAAUGUAUUUGGUUAAAAGUUUCUGAUCAUUUUUAUUUGGUCAAAAAAUUUUGACUUAUUUAUUAUCGACGAACAAUUUUUAUCAACCACUUUUUGGUCAAAAAAUAGUCAAAAACACCUGUUUUAACGGAUUUAUAACUGUAAUGAUGGUCAAAAUAUGACAUAUUUUUUGUAGUGUUUUUUUUCUCUUUAUUUUGAUACCAUUUCACAAUUUUUUACUUAUAUACGAACCAAAAAUUUUAGAAGAAACUAAGCAUAUCCAUAUAGUUGAAUAUAUGUGUGUCAUAUUCUUGUGUAUACGCAUGUAUGUCCAUGUAAUUGCAUCCAUAUGUACCAUAUGUACGUGGAUACGUCUACAUAUCAAUAUAACUGCAUCCACGUAUACGCAAGUAUAUAGAGACAUAUACAUUUUAUCUAUUGAUAGUGUAAACAGAAUUGUUAAAUUAUUUUUUAUAAGAAAAAAUAAGCAAAAUAAAAUAUAUGGGAUAUAUGAGAUAGAAAAUAAAGAGAAGAUAGGAAAAUGGUAGGAAAACUAAAAAACACACCUACUAAUGAUGAAGGGUGCCCCAACACAAGAUGAUGAGGGUUUUUUGCAUCAUUUACAUUAUCUAAAAAUUGAAAAGUGCUAUGAUAGUAAAAAACGUAUUCAGUAAUUAAAAAACAAAAAGUGAUAUGGACUGUAAAUAACUCUAUAAUGUAAGCCCAUUAGGCACAUGUUCAUUAGGCUCUGAUUGGCAAUGACUUACUUUCUCAAAAUAUUUUUUUUUUCAGAGCUGCUGUCGCCGGUUUGCUCUCCCUCACUUUUUUUGUAGUUUUCUUCAGCUUCAGCGAAAUAGUAAACACUCCUUUAUUCUUCCUCAUUCCUCGCUGGCAACUUGCUUACUCAAAAUUAGGUUUUUUCAUUUUCAGAUCUGUUGCUGCUGUUGUCGCCAGAUUUUUCUUUGUUGCCGCCUGCUACUUCUUCCUUCUCCUUUAGAGUUUAGGUUUCCUGAGUUUUUUUUAUUAUUUCAAUUUUUUGCAGACUUCUUUACAAUUUUCAGACCAAUGUUGUAAACUUCUUAUGUAGUUUUUUUAAAAAAUUUCAGACUAUUGAUCAUGAACUUUUUUUGAGUCAUGCAUUUGGUUAUGAACUUAUUUUGUGUAAUGAUCAUAAGUGUACUGGUAUGUAUAAUGGUCAUCAAUUGUAAUAAUCAUCAAGUAUGGUGGUCAUCUAUAAUAAUGGUCAUGAACUUGUUUUGUAUCUUUAUCAAGUGUGAUACUUCUUAUGGAUUUUUAGUACACUUCUUAUGGAUUCAAGUAUACUUCAUGUAGAUUUUAGUAGACUUCUUUUUAAAUUUUAGUAGACUAUUUUUUAUUAUAGGAGUCUUCAUUUGAAUCUGGUAAUGAGUAAGUUAACUCCACCAACUCAGUUUUCUUGUCCAGAUUACAAUCAUCUUGUGCCAUUCAAUAAGUUUUUAAAGGUACAACCAUCACUCAAAAAGAAUAUUCUUCCUCCUUUGCCAUUAUCUACCACAAAAUGCCACAAAUUUUUUUCCAUAUUCCAUUCUCCAUAAAUAACAGGUAUUUGAACCAUUCUCUGUUAGAAAAUACAAAAAAAUUAUAUUAGCAAACAUAAUUAUGAACUACAUUAUUACAAACACAUAAGUAACAGAUUUUCUGUAUAGGAGACUUCGUUUAAAGCCUUCGUUGAAAUCUACUUCUUCCUCCUUUGCCAUUAUCUACCACAAAAUGCCAAAAAUUCUCUUCCAUAUUCCAUUCUCCAUAAAUAACAGGUAUUUGAACCAUUAUCUGUUAGAAAAUACAAAAAAAAUAUAUUAGCAAACAUAAUUAUGAACCACAUUAUUACAAACACAUAAAUAACAGAUUUUCUGUAUAGGAGACUUCGUUUGAAGCCUUCGUUUGAAGACUUCAUUGAAAUCUACUUUUUCAAGCUAAAGAGUUAUUAAAUCAAGAAAUUUGAUUCGUUCAUAAAUAUCAACUUAAAACAAAUCAAACGCAUUGAGCAUUUAAGACAGUAACUAACACACAUGCCAAAACCUAAAAACCUGAAAAAAUCAUUAUAAUUUUUUUAUAAAAGCGUUUUUAAAAUAAUUAUACCACACAGACUUCUCCUGAAGAUUUGUAUGUAGAUUUCAGAUGAAGCUUGCAUACUCCAUUAGAAGUAUGCCAAAAAAGUCUGCAGGAAAACAAGUUAUUUUAUAUUUGACCAAAAUGUUCACUUUAUAAGAGUAGACAUCACCAGUAGAAAUCAGAAGAAAAAUGUUAGUUUUGCAUUUGACCAGAUUUUUGACUUUGGAGUAGCUUUAGGUGAAAUCUGCUACUUUAGAGUAGAUUUCAAUAGAUGUUUGUGAAUGAAGUUUGCAGACUUCUACUGAAGUCUACAGGAAAAAAAAGAUCAGUUUUGCAUUUGACAUGGUUUGACUUUUCAGAGUAGACUUCAGGUGAAAUUGGAGACAAAAUGGAAAAAUUAUGAGGUUAUGAGUUCUGUUAUUGAGUAAUUACAGCUUACAAAAUCGGUUGAAAACAUUUAAGGUUCAAAGUGGUUGAUAAUAGUGAUUGGAGAUACUGUAAAAUAGCAUUUUCGUAGUUAAGUAAUUGUUCUGGGUUAAUUUUGUCUUUGUGUUAUAAAUAAGAAAAAUCAAAAUAUUAAAUAUAUUAUACUGUUACGUGAAUAUAUGUAAGUAUGAAAGAUAAAAUAGAUAUAAAAUGGCAAACUUAAGAAGGAUAGAAAAAAAUGAUUAGUCUUGUGUUUGACCAUAAAUCUUAGGUUAUUUCAGGAAAUUUUCAUUUAUUUUUAGUCCGUAACUAUAAAAAAGUUUGGUUCUAAAACAAUGACUGUGAAUUUGAAAAAAAUAAAAUUAAAAGCCAUAUGUUUAGGUUUUUUUUUUAAAACACCAAUUAUGUAGAAAAAUAGGAAACGGCUUAAAAAAACUUUUAAACCAAAAAGUCUGAUUGACUAAUUAAUGAAUUUUAACACUAAUUUUUUUAGAAGCACGUACAGUUUUCAAAUUUUUUUUAAAAGCAUGUACAAUUUUUUUUAGUAUUUUAAUCAGUAAUUUAAUACACAUCAACUAGAGAACAAACAAUUGAACAAAAUAAUUAACCAGCAGAAAGUGAAAGAAAUCAAAUCUAUUUGGUUCAGUUCCGUACAAUCAAAAUUAUGUACCUUGCUGGCGAAGCUGAGAAAUUGUGAUAAAUGUCGUUUCUAAAGGUACAAAGGUAUAAAGACGAAUGGAUUCAAUAUAUGUAUUUUUACUUAUCAAGUAUAUGGGUUAGUCCUAUGUGUUCUUAGUUUGAUUCCCAGUAGAAGGGAUGUUUUACGUUAUGUCAUAAAGUAUUUACUUCCUGGACCAUGGAGGAUUAAGGCCCAAACCUGAAUCUCUCCUAAUUAACAAACAAAAAACUUCUAUAUUUGUUUUAAGAAAAUAUAAUUUUGAAAUAUCAUAAAAUCUAUAUAGUAAUUGUGGUAUAUAAUAUAAUAUAUAAUAACACCUUUUAGUUCUACAUAUAACACAAUAAUAACUUUUUUUUUCUUUUUUUAUCAGGCUUUCUUUAUAAAUAAAUUAAAAUAAAAAUUCUAAAAAACCAGAUAAAAACCAAAAGAAAUCGAGAAAAAAAGAGAGAUUGAAAGAGUACAAAACAGAAACUCGUUUAGUGGAAGAGAAUCAGUUUGCCAAAAGGCCAGAAGAGUCGACCCAAACUUGGAACCUGCGAGGGAUAGAGUCGUGCACUUAUCAUGCAAAUAAAAGAAAACCAGAGAGGUAAUCUUAGAAAAUGGAAGAGGCAGACCUUGAUGGAAUCUUCUAUUUUGCUUGUGCCAUAUUUCAUAGAGACAAACAUUCAAACCUUCAAGUAAUGCAAGAGAUUGGUUUGGAUCCGUAGAAGCCACAGAGAGCCAAAGGAGUGAGAGAUCCCAGUUCGUCGAAGGCCCGAGGGGUCCAUUCUUAGAGCACACCGAGAACCAAACUUCUUUGGAGUGAACACAAUUCAAGAAUAGAUGAUUGCUCAAUUCAACAUCAAGACCACAAAGCAGACAAGUGCUUUCCACAUAAAUCCCUCAAGAAGAUAGUCUAACCAAAGUGGGAUUCCGAUUAAGAAUAAACAGCCAAACAUUUGUAGCAUGCCGCAGAGAAACCACUUUAUGCCACAUCGGAGAAUACCAAGAAACCUCAAGCCUAGGUACACGCAAACUGUUCCAAAUGGCUUUUGAAGAGAAGCGCCGAUGCGAACAUCCAUAAACCGACCACACCCGAUAAUCGCUGGCAUUGGAAAGCAAAACAGUUGAAACGAAGGCAUAUAGCUGGAGGCAUUUAUAAGACCUUGCCGGAGGGAGACACCAGCCAAACAACGUUCAGACGUCACCAACCACAACGAAUAGAGGAAAGCCUAACCUUUGCGGUGCAUCAGGACCUCAAACGUGAUAGAGGGAUCUGAAGAGAGUCCAUGGAUCCAACCAGAAGAAAGUAUCACCCCCCUUAUCCACACUAACUAUCAGAAACUUGAAAGCUUUGAGUAAAGCUUUAAUAACUUUCUAAACAUCCACGAGAAGUCAUAGUUCCUCUCGUUUAAAGUCUAGAACAAAGAGUGAGAGAGAUAUUUUGCUCUGAUCCAGGCUACCCAGAUAGAGCCAGCCCUGAAGUAAAGCAUCCAGAUGAGCUUCAAACCACAAGUAUCCAUCCAGCCCACUGUAGUUUACAGGCCCAAACCACCCUCCUUUUUAGGAAACCAAAUAUCAGACCAUGACACCCUGGCUCCGGUGGAUUUACCCGCAUCUCCAUUCCAAAGGAAAGAAGAAGAUAACGAAUUGAUAAGCUUGAUAACUCACUUUGGUAGGAAGAAAGCUGACGUCCAGAAGCCCAGAAGAUCAGAGAUACAAAUGAUAGCAAGGUGAUACGACUGGCAAGACUAAGAAAUCUGGUCAUCCAGCCAUUAAUCUUUCGACAAAAUUUGUGCUAAGAGAGGGUCACAAUCUGCCACAAAGUGCCUCUUAGAGCACAAAAGGAGACCAAGGUAACAAAUUGGCAAAUCCACCUUAAAAAGAUGAAACUGCUGAAAUAUUGUGACAAUCAGGAUGAAGUCCAAGCCCACAAAACAUCGAGGUUCUCGAGAUAUUAAUCCCAAGUCCCAAGAUAUAUUAAAAAGAUUCAAUACCGAGAGAGCCCCUGCCAAAGACGUUGCUGUUCCAUCAAGAAAUAUAAGGAGGUCGUCGGCGAAGGACAAGUGAGUAAGCUUUAAACUCUUGCACCUAGGGUGGUAAUUGAACAGACCAGUCUCUGCUGCUUUGUUGAGAAUAAGUGACAUGACAUUCAUAAUCAACACGAACAUGUGAUGACACCGUAUUUUUACCACUUUUAUGGAUCAUUUUGAAAUACUUUUUCUAUGUUUUUAAUUGCUUUCAAGUACUUUUACUAUGUUUUUCUAGUAUUUGUAGUUCCAAGACUCUUUUCAGGAAAUUUAGGGAAAAACUUAACAAAAUGGAUAGAAGACUAGAUUUUCAGCUCAGAGUCAAACCGUCAGAAGUUCACCCCCGAUUGAAGGCCUUCUUACCGUCUGAUUCAGCUCAAAUUUGGUGAUCUCAAAGAUGGAAGUAUCAGCUUUCCAGCACACUUUACACCUUGGCAAUCCAACGGUUCAAUCAAAAGAUACGCGAAGAGCAAGAUGUCCCGUAAACCAGUCGGCAAGCAUUUCCACCCGCGGCCAACAGCCAUUUCACCAUGGUCAGAGGCUACCCGACCGCGGUCAAGCACCCAUUCCCCGCGGUCACGCACUUCCCGACCGCGGCCAGCCAACUCCGAGUUAGAAGGCCCAUUUCUGAAGCCUAGAUCAUUUUCUCAGCCUCAAUUCCGGAAUCCUAGACACCAGAGAACAUUGAAGACUAUAAAUACUUAUCAUUUAGAUCGUUUUUAGGAGAUACGAAAUACUUUACAAGAAAUUUUACUUUAAGCUUUUGUUUUUAGGUUUAGGGAGAGAGAGAUCCAUCUCUUGAACCCUUGUUCUUUCUUUUCCAAUUUUGACUAUUGCUAUACUUUUUAAUAUUAUGUUUUUGAUUUCGUUCAUCAUGUCUGAGUAGUUUCAUUGUUGGAUCAAGGGGAUUUUCGAUGGGGAUAAUAUGUUCGAUGAAGAUUCCAUGAGCUAUUGAAGCCGAAUCUUAGAACUUUUUCUUCUGAAUUUAUUUUUACUGCAUGAGAGUAGCGUCAUGAACUACAAUCUGAUCCAGAUGUUUCGUGACACGAAAGUGUUCAUACGGUGUCAGAUCUAGUUUGGGAGAGCAAAACAAACAUAGGAGUGGAAACCUACCUAUGGGCGAUUUGUGAAUGCUGACGAGUCUUAAACAUAAUGCAUCUUUCUCUUCCAGGGCCAUAGUGGAAAUCUACUGGUCAGGGUUGAGAGAGAUAGUUAUCUAUGAUCACGAAAGUGGCGUAUUCAUACGUCCAUGGCUCUAGUUCAAAAAGUUUAAGCUAAGAUCUUAUCAAAUUUACUCUCUAGCAAUGUUUUGAAUCGUUCAUACCCCGGAAAAAACUUCCCUGAAACUCAGCGCUUUAUUUUCUAUAGAUUUACAUCGAUUUUAUUUCAAGCUUUAGUUCAUCAUUUUCAUUCUCUUAAUCAUUUUUCAUUUAAGCAAUUAGGUUUAGCCAUUUUUCUUGUUUUUAGUCGAUUUCGUUUAGUUUAGUGAUUAAGUCAUUUUAAUUUCCGUAUUUUCUUGUUAUAUUAGUUUUUACGUUUUAAAGACACCACCAAAACCCUUUCAAAAAUCGCCUAGUUCUAGACUUCCUUACUUUAAUUUUUUUCAAAGGCUUUUGCAGGAAAGAUCCUCCUUCCCUGUGGAUUCGAUCCCUAAGUACUACAAUCGAUCAGCUGUGCUCUUGCGGCUAUUGAUUUCAUUUAGGGUAAAACUUGACACUCUCACAAAUAACACCUGAUUUUGACAACUUUUAUACAUCACUUUUAAUAUCUUAUGUAGGUGUUUUCACUCAUAUUUAAAGGUUUUUAAGUGAUUUCUAUGUUUUAGAAUCUCAAAAGAGUUUUCAGGUUAUUUUGAUAAAAGAAAUGUACUUGGGAGCAAAAAGCAUAACUUUGGGUAAAUUCAGACCGUCGGAAGUUUGGUAACAAAACGAAGGUCUUCCCCAAAUUAUGACACAAGAUAGAGGAGACAACCAGCUUUCCAAUACAAGUGGAAUCAAAGCAAUCCAACGGUUAGAUCUCCAGAUAUGGUCGAUACACUGAAGGCGAAUCAUCACAGUCAAACGCUCACCCGCGGCCAAAACAUCAUCCGCCGGGGGUGCGAAAUUUUAGACCGCGGGGAGCUCAAUUCCGAGCCUCAGAAGCCCAUAUCAAAGCCCAAGUCACUCCCGUCAUUAUUCCUGCAAGCCCUAGGCGUUCCCGAGGACUCAAGACACUAUAUAAACCCCUUUUAAGUCGUAUAGAAGGGUGUGCUACAUCUUUCACCAGGAACCCUAGAAGAAAAGCACCCAGAAGAGGAGCCACCGAGAGGGGCACCAUCGGCACUACGUAUUCAAACUGUUCUUCGUUUCUAAACUCUGUCUAUUUCAAUUCUCUACAAUUCUAAAUACUCUUGUGAUGUUGAAUUCAACUAAGUCUGAGUAGUUUCUCAGUUGGGUUUUUAAGGGAUUUUUCAAAGGGAAUUUCAUGUCUUGAUCUCAUGCUUUAUUCGAUUUAGGGUUCAAAGUCUUCUAGGAGUCCUUCGUUCAUUCUUGUUACCUAUGCUAUUUCUGUUGCUAACCGCUUAGAAAUUGAUCUCAGUAAUUGGAGCCACGAGAGUGCUGUAUCGAAUUAAAAGACCUAGAAGUGAUCGAGCGAAUUCGCUGUAGGAGACGAAAGCUACCUACAGAGAAUCGCGAGCGUGGAUGAAUUCUGUUUUUUAAUGCAUGAUCUUAUUCGCAGCAUGAGAGCGAGAGUUAAUUGCUGUGUUGAGUGAUUAGAUGAUUAGGGUGACGACAGUUGGCUAAUCUUACAUGUGUCUAUUCUAGUUCGGGAACCUCACUAGUUGAUUUUCUUUAUCGAUUUGUUUGUCUUUUGAUCAGUUCAUGAACCCCUGCAAAAACCCUUAAGACCCAGCGAUUUGUUCCUAUUGUUUUACAACCUUUAUAUUUUGAUUUACACUUAGAUUUAGUGACACCAAAACCAAAAACCCCCAUUUGCUUGUUCUACUAGUCUUAAGUCUUGAUUGAUUCGCACUGAAAGGUCAAAAUCUCUGUGGUUCGACCCCUUAGUACUACAACGUACAUCUGUGCACUUGCAGAUAUUUAGGGUUAUAAAUUUAAAACGUGAAGCUAGAAGUAACCCUUGAUUCUCUUAGCAUCAAGUUUUUGGCGCUGUUGCCAGGGAUUUUGAUUCCUUUCGUUGCAAAUCUCUGCUUAAUUCGGUAGAACUUUUUCUAAUUUUUGUUUUUCUUUGAUUUUUCAGGUACUUUUUCGAUGAGGGGUCAGGAGCACAUCCUUGAUCCUCUCGCUGAAGAGAACCCUUUUCUAGAUGGUGAUCCAUCAGAUGAUGAGCUUAAUGACCCAAUCGAUGAUGGCAAUGAAUCGAUUGGAGAACCAAAGUAUGCCAAGAAGGGAGAACAACUGAUUGGAGAAUGUGAUACACACAAACUUUUCGCAGAUAGGCGAGCAAUUCGACCACCCUUACCUAAGGAUGGCGACUCUGAGGCUAAAGUACAAUACAUUAGCUAUAUCAAAAAGUAUAACGGUUUUUCUACUGAACACCCAAUAGAUCAUAUUGAGAAUUUUGAAGAGCUGUGUUCAACCAUAAUGUAAAAUACCGAUUACCAUAUGUGUGUCAUUUUCCCAUUCUCUCUAACUGGUAGAGCUAGUAAAUGGCUUAAAACUUUGCCACCUGCGUCCUUGAAGACGUGGAAAGAGUGUAGAGAGGCUUUCCUAAGUCACUUUUACACCAGAGAUCGUUCCAAUCUCUUAAGGGACAAGAUAAAAAAAUUUCAGCAGGAGGACACAAAAGACCUCUACGACGCCUGGGAAAGAUUCAGAGAUUACCUAAGAGAUUGCCCACACCAUGGUUUCUCCGAGGAGCGCCUGAUGACCAUCUUCUACCAUGGAGUUUAUGAAGAACUGAAGUUUUCUUUUGAUACCUCUAGCAAUGGAGACUUCUUCACUAGAACUGUAGAUGAGGCUCACGCCUAUAUAUUACUAAUCUAGAUGGGGGUAUCAGAAAUAGGAGAAUUCUAACCCAAACUAGAUGUUCCAAGAUCGAGGAAAAAGAACCACCUGUUAGUAAAGAAUGUCUAGAUCAGAUUAGGGAAGACAUCCAGAAGAUCCUUAGUGCGAUUGGUCCGAUUCAUAACUCUGAUGAUAGAAGCAAAUAUAACAAACCCUGCGUCAAAAGAUGAACAACCUUGGGGUAGAGAGGAGUUUAUAAACUCGGGAGAUGAUGCAAACUGCCGAUGUCUAUCAGAUUGAAGAUGCUGAGCAGAAUCAACCCCACCAAGGGUGGGAGCCUCUCAGCCGCGGCAAAACUGACAUUCACUGUGGGUGGGAAGCUUUUGGCCGCGGCCAAGAUGAGUUUCACCACGGGUCAGAGCACUUCACCCGUGGCCAGCCUGGUUUUCAACACACUUUCCAACCUUCUUUCGAGCAAACCCUGUUUGAUCAAUCCAAUCCCACAAUACCUCCUUAUUAUCCUUUCUCCAAGAUUGAAGAGCUAGAAAAAGAGGUUGAAAGAUUCAAAAGGGAGAUGGAGAGUCAAUCAAAGAAGCAUGAAGAUGCUAUUAACAAGCUCUCCACCCUUUUUCUUCUUCAGAUUAGUGAUGAAUCAAAGGAGACAGAUUCUUCAGUUAAUGAUCUUGAUGAACCUUUUUCUGAAAGAAUAAAUGAAUUGGAGACCUCUGAUCACUUAAAAUCAAUAACUCUCAGGAGAGGUUUGGCUUAAAAGGAACCAGAAUAUCCAAAAGAUUUCGAAGAAGGAGAAAAAGGAGAAGUUUCGGCUAAUAAAGAAGGAGAUGCAACAGUUGGGAAAAAAAGAGAUAAGGAGAAGGAAAACGCCCCUCAAGAAAUUGCUGAAGAAGAACCUAUACCUCCUCCUCUUACUCGUGUCUACAAGCCCAAAGCACCCUACCCACGAGCUUUGAAAGGACCAAAGAAGGAGAAAGAAAAGGCUAAGCUGAAAGAGAUAAUCGAGCAGUUAAAUAAGAGGUUACCUUUCAUUGAAGCUUGUGUGAUGAUACCUGCUCUUAGGAAAUACAUGAAGGGCAUUCUAACAAAUUCUCUAGCAUUAGAAGAAGGCGUUAUGAUGAUAACUCAUAAAUGUAGUUCCAUAUUACAAAACCAUGUCCCCCAGAAGAAAGAAGAUCCGGGAAGUUUUGUACUCUCCUGCACAAUCAGGAAUAUGACUUUUGAACGUUGCCUAUGUGAUUUGGGAUCGAGCAUCAACAUGAUGCCUCUCUCAGUUGCAAAACGUUUAGGAUAUCAUACUUUUCAGCCCACAAAAAUCUCACUGGUUCUUGCCGAUCGAUCAGUCAGACGACCAGAAAGAGUCUUGGUUGAUGUAUCAGUCAUGAUUGGAGAAAACUGUAUUCCGACUGAUUUUGUAGUGCUUGAAUUGGAGAGAGAACCAAAGGACCCUCUGAUUCUCGGUAGACCUUUCUUAUCAAAUGCAGGAGCAAUAAUCAAUGUUCCGGAAGGAAAAAUAGACCUCCAUCUAUGGAGUCUGAUUAUGCAGUUCGAUAUGAACAAAAGUCUCGAGAAACCCACCUUAGAUGGCGGGCUCUGUCGGGUUGAUGAGCUUGAUGUUAUUACUGAGGGAGUUUAUGAAGAAAUCCUUCUUGAUGACUCUUUGAAAAUCAUCCUCACAACCACAAAUGAUGAUCGCAACCUGCUCGAAGAAGUUUCAAAAGAGUGUGCGCAAAUGCUUAAAUAAGGCCGAGGAUUAUGCAAAAUUUGUGAAUUAUCUGGACCUGAAUGAGGAAACUCACAUCCCUAAUCCUCCAAAAGAUACCUUGGCAGCUAUAAACGACCCAUGGAGCGAGCUCAAAGCUCGAAAAGUCGAGCUCAAACCUCUUUCUGAUGGGCUCAAGUAUGCUUUUCUUGGACCAAACUCAACUUACCCUGUCAUCAUAAAUUCUGGCUUAAGUAGAGCUGAAACUACCAAGCUGUUAAAUGUGUUAAGGAAGUAUAGGAAAGCCAUAGGUUAUUCCCUUGAUGGCAUACAAGAAAUCUCCCCAGACCUCUGUAUGCAUAAGAUAAAUCUUGAGGACAAUGCCAAGAAGUCGAUUGAAAGCCAAAGGAGGUUGAACCCAAACCUUAUGGAGGUGGUAAAGAAGGAGAUCAUGAAACUUUUGGAGGCAGGAAUCAUAUUCCCUAUCUCGGACAGCACUUGGGUUAGUCCUGUGCAUGUUGUCCCGAAGAAGGGAGGAGUGACUGUUAUCAAAAAUGACAAGGAUGAAAUGAUUGCUACAAGAACAGUGACGGGACAUCGAAUGUGUAUUGAUUACCGAAAACUGAAUGCAGCAACUCGGAAAGAUCAUUCAUUGACCAAAUGCUAGAAAGAUUGGCAAACCACGAAUAUUACUGCUUUCUAGAUGGUUAUUCCGGAUUUUUCCGAAUUUCAAUUAGACCUGAAGAUCAAGAAAAGACGACAUUUACCUGUCCAUACGGAACUUUUGCCUAUCGGCGAAUGCCUUUCGGAUUGUGUAAUGCACCUGCAACCUUUCAGCGGUGCAUGAUGUCUAUUUUCACUGAUUUUUUCGAAGAUUUCAUGGAAGUCUUCAUGGAUGAUUUUUCAGUCUAUGGAUCCUCUUUCGACAGAUGCUAGGCAAACUUAGGGAAAGUUUUGCAGCGCUGUGAAGAUAAGCAUCUUGUCCUUAACUGGGAAAAAUGUCACUUCAUAGUCCGCGAGGGAAUUGUGCUUGGACAUAAAAUAUCUGGAAAAGGUAUUGAAGUUGACAAAGCAAAGAUUGAAGUCAUGACUAGACUACAACCUCCAACUAAUGUGAAGGGAAUCCGAAGUUUCCUGGGGCAUGCCAGAUUCUAUAGGUGAUUUAUAAAAGGCUUCUCAGAGAUAGCUAGACCUCUCACACGUCUGCUCUGCAAGGAAACGAACUUUGAAUUCGAUUAUGAGUGCUUGGCAGCAUUUCAUAAGAUCAAAAACGCCCUUGUCUCCACUCCAGUUGUGCAACCACCUGAUUGGGAACAACCGUUUGAAAUCAUGUGCGAUGCAAGUGAUUUUUCUGUUGGAGCUGUGCUUGGUCAGCGGAAAGAAAAGAAACUACACGCAAUCUACUAUGCGAGUAGAACUCUGGAUGAAGCUCAAUGUAAUUACGCGACCACGGAGAAGGAGUUUUUAGUCGUCGUUUUUUGCAUUUGAGAAGUUUCGAUCUUUCUCGUAGGAUCUAAGGUUACAUCCAUACUGACCAUGCUGUAAUCAAGUAUCUCAUGUCUAAGAAAGAUGCCAAACAGAGGCUGAUCAGAUGGAUACUCCUGCUGCAAGAAUUUGACAUUGAAAUUCGAGAUCGGAAAGGAGCAGAUAAUGGAGUAGCAGAUCAUCUUUCUAGAAUUCGAGUGGAAGAGAAACUCCAUUUGAAUGAUAGUUUGCCAGAAGAAAAUGUUUACGCUAUGGAGACUAUACCUAUUACCGUGCAAGAAAAGCCAUCCCAACCUCCUAUACGGCGGUCAUAUGCUUUUGACACCCCAUGGUUAAGGCAUAUAGCAAAUUACUUAGCCGUAGACAUCGAACCUCCACAAUUCUUUGGCUAUAAAAAGAAGAAAUUAUUAAAGGAAAUCCGGCAUUAUUUCUGGGACGAAGAUUAUCUCUAUAGGAUAUGUGUAUAUGGUUUAUUCAGAAGGUGUGUGGCUGAAGAAGAAAUAGAAGGAAUACUGUUUGGAAGCAAUAGUUCAGCGUAUGCAGGACAUUUCGCGACCUACAAAACGGUUUCAAAAUUUCUUCAAGCAGGAUUUUGGUGGCCUACAAUGUUCAAAGACACUCACGCCUACAUCUCACGCUGUGAUUCAUGCCAACGAAUGGGCAACAUCAGCAAGAGGAAUGAGAUGCCUGAAAACUUCAUUCUCGAAGUCGAAAUCUUUGAUGUAUGGGGAAUUGAUUUUAUGGGACCUUUCCCAACUUCUUUCGGAAAUCAAUACAUCUUAGUAGCGGUAGACUAUGUCUCUAAAUGGGUAGAAGCAAUCGCCAGCCCUACUAAUGAUGCAAAAGUGGUUAUAAAGCUGUUUAAAUCAAUCAUUUUCCCUCGUUUUGGAGUUCCUCGAAUUGUGAUAAGCGAUGGAGGAUCCCAUUUCAUCAACAGAGUCUUCAAAAAUCUGCUAAAAAAGAAUGGAGUCACACAUAAAGUUGCAUCUCCAUAUCACCCUCAAACAAGUGGACAAGUGGAAAUCUCUAACAGAGAGAUCAAGUCGAUUUUACAAAAGACAACUGGUGUUAAUCACAAAGAUUGGUCUGAAAAACUCGACAAUGCACUUUGGGCCUAUCGGACGGCAUACAAAACUCCUUUAGGGACCACGCCGUUCAACCUUGUUUAUGGAAAAACAUGUCACCUCCCUGUAGAGCUGGAGUAUAAAGCGCAAUGGGCUAUAAAGGAGAUGAACAUGGACUUUAAGGCAGCUGGAGAAAGAAGAAUGCUUUAAAUGCACGAAUUAGAAGAAAUCCGCCAUAAUGCCUACGAAAACUCCAAGAUAUACAAGGAGAAGACAAAGGCAUAUCACGAUAGAAGGAUCACACAUCAGUCCUUUGCUCCAAAUGACAGAGUUCUUCUUUUCAAUUCUCGCCUUAAGCUUUUUCUAGGAAAGCUAAGAUCUAGAUGGUCUGGACCUUUCACAGUAAAGGAGGUCAAACCGUAUGGAGCACUCAUUCUUUGGGGUAAGAAAGGAGAUACAUUUGUCGUCAACGGACAACGUGUAAAACCAUACCUCGCAGAAGAAGAAGAAAGAGAAGCAAUGCUCUUGGCAGACCCGCCGGGCUAGAGUGAUAUAUUCAUAAAUUGCAUCAUUUAAUGUACAUAUUCUAGUCCAAAUCAUGUCUCAUUUGCAUGAAUUUUAGGUCUUUAGGCAUUGUUUUAGGACUUAGGAGAUUGCUUUAGGUCCAAGAGAGUUUUGCAUGUUUUGGAGUGUUAAACAGGUGCUUUUGGAGUUUAUUUGGAGUGGAGGAUGUGAUUCAGAUGAAGAAAUGUAGUUGAACUUAUCAAAAAUGGAGAAAAGGAGCAAUUUUUGGUUUCUCGGCAAAAUGAGGUACUGAUGGCCGAAGAUUCUCGGCCAUAAUCCUUCCCGCGGGUAGCUUUCUCGACCAAAAACACGUACCACAGUCAAGUCUCUCGGCCAAAAAUCCUGGGUGCAGAUACAUUUCCGAAAUCACGUCACCAGAAGCUCUUGCCGGCCGAUUCAGCUUACAGGGUCUUCAGCAAAGUUGGAGAUAAUUGAGUCCAGAACCCAGGACAGGUUGAAUAAAGGCAUUUGGAGCACUGAGCUGAAAGAUACGAUCACCGGAAGACAGACCUCUCUCGCAUCCAUUCCGGAGCAAUCCGAUACUCCUGAAUGAUCGCCUGUUCGGCGAACCUUCCGAUCCGAUUCAGUUGUCGGGGGCUUCAUAAAAGUUUAAGAAGAUUGGAUCAUGGUUCCAGAGCAAGUGGAAUCAUGGAAUUCGGACGCGUGAGCAGAAAGUUAAGCUCGUCGGAAGAAACUCCUGUCUCGCUGCCGUCUUGGACCGACCCGAUGAGCUCCGAAGAAUGCGAAGGACGGCGCACUUUCAGGCCGAUUCGGUUUACUUCAUGAGAAUCCGAGAUAUUUGAGUCCUCUUUCCAGAACGUCCAAGAUCAUUCAAUUCGGAUCUAUGAGCAAGAAGGUAACGUUUCCGGAAUGGAUACAUGUCUAGGCGCCUCUCUCUGAUCGUGUAAAUGCACUGCGAUGAUGAGCCCUCCAGGAAGCCUUCCACUUCCCAAUCGCCGAAGCUUUCUUCACCAAAGUUGGAGAUAUACGAGUCUUCUGUUUUCUAUGAAACUGGAAUCACACAAUUCGGACCAGUAUCCUGGAAGUUACGCCUCCUGGAAUGCAAAGUGGUCCAAGCUGCUCUGAAUGCUGCGAGAUAGCCUUGAGACUUGGUUAACUCGCAGGCCUGAAGAUGAAUGCCUGGAAAUUGACGUUGCGAGUUGAGAAGUGCGGGUAAGCUAUCACUGAAUAAGGUAUGAGGCUCCCGAGCAAGAAAAAUGCUAAUUCCACAAUCAUGCAACUUAGGCAUGCGAGUUGGCCGUGCUUGAAACUAAGCCGCACGAUCACUCGCAAUCUACUCCGACUUGGGCAUGCGGCUUGGGAAUAAGGGAUGACCAAGUCGCCUUGGUCCUGCGAGUUGAAGAAGAAGAAGAUUAAGCCGCACAAAGACUCGAAAAACACACCUACUUGGGCGUGCGGCUAAAACCAAGCGAUUUAAGUCUCACAAGACAAGUUCUUCACCUGUGCGACUUGGGCAUGCGACCUGGGAGACACUGGACCAACCCGCACAUUCCCCAAUUUACCCACUAAAGCCGGGUCAGGACCCGGUUUGUUCCGGGCUGACCCGGUUCAUUAGCACUUAGUAUAUAUAGCUUUUUGGAGAAAAACCCUAGACAUCUGAUCUUCUACUUAGUUUUCUCUCUACUUUUCUUUCCUUUUUAGUGUAAAGUUUUUGAUUAAGAGAUAUCUGAAGGAUUUGAUCAUUCCAAAGCUGCUUCUUAUCAUCUCAUCAUCUCAUUUCUGCUUCUAAUCAUGAUUAACAUCAUCUCUUGCAAAAAAUUAGAUGUGUUCUUCAUGAUUAGUGAGUAGUCAUCUUUUAAACUUCUAGGUGUGUAGAUUAGGGUGCUUAGAUGUAGAUUAAUGAUUGUUUAAGCUUAGAUUCUCUUCUCCUUUCCUUAUUUAGCUGAUCCUAAUGCUAGAUCCUUGCACAUCACUUGGGUCUAGAAUCUGGGUUUUUCAUGCACCAAAAGUGUUUGAUGAAAUGCCUGAAUGAAAGCUAACUAAGGGUUUAUGCAUCAAUGCCAUGGGAAUGUUUGUUAAUUGCAUAAAUGACAUAUUAGAGUUGAUUCUUAAUGCUUACUAGUUCAUAUUUCACAAAUGGGAAUUUGGUUUGAAAAUGGAUUAGUAUAGAGAUUAAUACCUUCAUGAGGGGAUUAAUCUAGCUUUAAACUCUAAGUUGAUUGGAUUAGAGAUCAUGUGCUUGCUUGCUAUGUCUUUCUGUAUAAGAUUCAGUCUUCUUGGUUGAGAGAUUGUUUGGUCACUUAUUAGGCUUGAUGCAUUAUGCUUGUUGAUUGCUUGAUUAUAUCUAAUGGUUGUUAGACUUGAUUAAGUGAUUAGCAAAGGGAUUAUUGUCAUGGGAAUGAAUUAAUCUGAUUAAGAAGCCUAGACUAAAGAGUAGCAAGUGUUGCAUUAUGUUCUUAGCAUCAUGAUUCAAUAUCUAAAGCACCCUAAUCAAUGAUCACAUCUAGAGGUUUAUCAUCUUUAUUGUCACCAUCAUCUUGUUGAGCUUGCUUUAAUUAGUUCAUUCAUCAUAGAUUGCUUGUUCCUUGUUUAUAUUUUCACUUGUUACUUGUCACCAAAUCUUUCUUGUUUCACUUGAGUUAAGAACUUGUCACAUAAACUAGUGUCUAGCAAACACACAUUUGGAUUGAUACCCUUUGUACUACAAGUGACAUAAGGGAUUGAUAACCCUUACAAAGAGCCUUGAAAACUCUUAGUUAUCAUAGAGCAUCAGCAAAGUCAAGCUAAUGACUUUAAGCAAGCGCUUAGUGGGAGGCAACCCACUUGCUAUUUUACUUAUUCUCUUUGAUUUGCCUUUUUCUAUUUUUGCUGCUUUGUUUUUGUUUUCUAUAAUUUCAGGUUUUUAAGCGAAGAACGAAUAAGAGGUGAACAGAAAUCACGAACCAGAAAGCAUAUCACCAGGUAAGUACACCUAAACAUUCCAAAUUUCAGUCCAUCAUUAUCCCAUCCUCUCAAAGAUUUCUCACACUGGGGGCAGUGGGAUUUAAGUCUGGGGGAGGAUGUUCAUCCUUUACUAAUGAAAUUUGGUUUGUCUUGAGUUUGUGUUUCAUAAAAAGUUUUCAAAACGGUUUUCAAAACAGGAACGCUGGAACAAAAUCGUGUGCUUCUAGACCUUACAUGUUAAGUUCUUUUGUGGUUAAUACUAAACUAGGCGGUAGCUAGAGUACUUGCACUACGAACUCUCAUCAGAGGAUUUCUAUUCAUGGAGAUCUUUUCCGCCAGGAUACACUAGCUCAUUCUACUUGAACAUAAUCUUGACAUCUAAUUUUCUCAUCAUUGGUUUUAGGCAGGCAUCAUGAUAUACAUCUAGGAAAUCUUUACAUCAUUGUUACCACUCUUUGUUGUCCUAGAUGGCCAGUUCAUCUUUAGCUGGUACCACACCUUUUACCCCAAACAAUCAUUUCAAACCUCAUGCAUUCUCUCUUUAAUUCUUUUGGCAGAUAUGUGCAAAAACGCCGGAGAGUGAGGAACAACAUGGUUUUCAGUCACUCAAGAGAAAGACUGAAGAAAUUUGGUAAAGAGGAGUAUCAGCAAUCCUAUCAAGCUUAAUGGUGCCUCAAAAAGCUCAUUCAUAAAGGUAAUUUUCGUGAUCCUAAGACUCUAUGUCUAAAGGCGGUUUUCCCUUUCCAAAAAAAAAAAAAUCGAAAAAAAAGAAAAAAUGAAAGGAAAGGAAACCAAAAGCCUAAAGAGUCUAGGAUAACCGAAAUCAUUGGAAGCAAAGGCUACAAGUAUUCAUAUGUAAGGAUUGGUUUUAAAACCUGGACAAAAAUCUAAGUUUGGGGGAGUCAUGAGGAGAACCUGAAGAAAGGAGAUCAAAAAUCUUAAGGCAAGAAGAAUGUGACUGGAAACUGUGGGGGCAUUUACAGUUACAUCCUCUCUUGCUGUUUUGCAUAAUGUCUUGUCUUUCCAGAAAAAUGUAACCUUAAAAACUAAGAACAUCACCCCUAAAAGAGCCAUUUUGAAUACCUAGCCUUGAUUGCUUUACUAAAGUCCCUUUGAUGAGAACCAUUUUAGCUUUUGAAUGAAUGUUAAGAGCUAGUUGACUGGAAGAUAAGUUUAAGUAUCUAGACUUUCGCAUGACGGAUCAACGGACCAGUUAUGCCUGUACUUUGGUGAAAAUUUUCUAGACUAUACCCAAUUUGAGCAUAAUGACUAAACUCUGGUUUGGAAGUAUUGUCUCUGAGAUUUUGUUAGUUCCUGCGAUUUUCAAACCUCUUCUCUAGGUUCAUAUCUUUUGUUUUGUUUGAGGACAAACAAAGGUGACAAACAAAGGUUUAAGUCUGGGGGAGUUGAUAACCUGAUUUUGACUAUUUUUAUGGAUCACUUUUAAUAUCUUAUGCAGGUGUUUUCACUCAUAUUUAAAGGUUUUUAAUUGAUUUCCAUAUUUUAGAAUCUCAAAAGAGUUUUCAGGUUAUUUUGACAAAAGGAAUGUACUUGGGAGCAAAAAACAUAACUUUGGAUAAAUUCAGACCGUCGGAAGUUGGGUAACAAACGGAGGCUUUCCCACCGUCUGAUCAUCCCCAAGUUUUGACACAAGAUAGAGGAGACAAGCAGCUUUCCAAUAUAAGUGGAAACAAAACAAUCCAACGGUUAGAUCUCCAGAUAUGGUCGAUACACUGAAGGAAAAUCAUCACAGUCAGAAGCUCACCCGCGGCCAAAACAUCAUCCGCCGGGGGUGCGAAAUUUUUGACCGCGGGAAGCUCGAUUCCGAGCCUCAGAAGCCCAUAUCAAAGCCCAAGUCACUCCCAUCAUUAUUCCUGCAAGCCCUAGGCGUUCCCGAGGACUCAAGACACUAUAUAAACCCCUUAAGUCAUUUAGAAGGGUGUGCCACAUCUUUCACCAGGAACUCUAGAAGAGAAGUUCGCCCAGAAGAGGAGCCACCGAGAGGGGCACCAUCGGCCGUCCUUCUUCAACCUGUUCUUCAUUUCUAAACUCUGUCUAUUUCAAUUCUCUACAAUUCUAAAUACUCUUGUGAUGUUGAAUUCAACUAUGUCUCAGUAGUUUCUCAGUUGGGGUUUUAAAGGAUUUUUCAAAGAGAAUUUCAUGUCUUGAUCUCAUGCUUUAUUCGAUUUAGGGUUCAAAGUCUUCUAGGAGUCCUUCGUUCAUUCUUGUUACCUAUGCUGUUUCUGUUUCUAACCGCUUAGAAAUUGAUCUCAGUAAUUGGAGCCACGAGAGUGUUGUAUCAAAUUACUAGACCUAGAAGUGAUCGAGCGAAUUCACUAUAGGAGACGAAAGCUACCUACAGAGAAUCGCAAGCGUGGAUGAAUUCUGUUUUUUAAUGCAUGAUCUUAUUCGCAGCAUGAGAUCGAGAGUUAAUUGCUGUGUUGAGUGAUUAGAUGAUUAGUGUGACGACAGUUGGCUAAUCUUACAUGUGUCUAUUCUAGUUCGGGAACCUCACUAGUUGAUUUCCUUUAUCGAUUUGUUUGUCUUUUUAUCAAUUCAUGAACCCCUGCGAAAACCCUUUAGACCCAGCGAUUUGUUCCUAUUGUUUUACAACCUUUAUAUUUUGAUUUACACUUAGAUUUAGUGACACCAAAACCAAAAACCCCCAUUUGCUUGUUCUACUAGUCUUAAGUCUUGAUUGAUUCGCACUGAAAGGUCAAAAUCUCUGUGGUUCGACCCCUUAGUACUACAACGUACAUCUGUGCACUUGCAGAUAUUUAGGGUUAUAAAUUUAAAACGUGAAGCUAGAAGUAACCCUUGAUUCUCUUAGCAUCAAGUCACGCAGCAGACACAUCAAGUUUUUGGCGUCGUUGCCGGGGAAAGCACGCGUUUUCUUUUCUGCAAAACCCUAAGAAAAGUUGGUAAAUCGACUCUAGAACCCUUUUUCUGCAUAUUUCCAUUUUUCGGUUCUUUUGUUUCCAUUCCUGAAGCAAUGGACCCUAUAAAUCGAAAUCCCUACUAUGAGGGAGGUUUUUACAACAUUCCUCAAGCCACCAGACGCAGAGAAGAGCAAUACAUACACGAUCUCUACGACAAAGUUCGAACCUUAAACUACUGAACGUUCCUGAACCCCUACAUGCCUCCAAUGGUAAACCCUAAAUCACCUAUGCAUCUCCUACCUCACCAGAUUCUCCAGCAAGAUGAGAACGUCCAGCUCAGUAAUCGAUUGAGUCAGCUUGAAACGGUGAUCAUGCAAUUUAUCGCAGUUCAAGCUGUAUCAAGAGCCGCACUUCACGAGAAAAUUGACAACAUGUUGACUCACUUUAACAAAAAGCUCAAAGAUCUUUCUGCUCAAGUUAAAACCAGCGAGAAUCAAGCAAACAAAGACGCCGAGACUAUCAAGGAGAGGAUAGAAACGGUCGUAGGACGAGUCGGAGAGAAAAAAGGCAGCAUUCGCAAAGUUAGUGGAAACAUCCGCACCUUAGAGAUCAAACUCGAUGGAGCAGAAGAAACUAUCAAUGAUCAUAACAACCAAACCUACUCCUACGUGGAAGAGAUUUGGGAUGGAGUACACAAGGUUCGAGACAAGACAGAAGAGAUCGACUCAACCGUGGACAAGGUAGUUUAUGCUCUUGAUGAAGUCGAAGAGAUUGUCGAAAAGCUUAUGCAAGGACGCGAGAUGCAUGGUUCGACGCUUCCCAUCAAAGAUCUUGACCUCAAAGAAGAGGAAAUAGAGUUGAAAGAUCCAAAAAUCAGUUUAGAUGGCAAGGGAGAAGAUGAAACAACUGAACCAUCUCGGAGACUCUCAUCCAUGGUCGCAACUCCCGCGACCGCGGCCAACAACCCUCCGGCCGCGGUCGUGAGUCUCCUAUCUGCGGAAAAUAGCCCUCCUCCUGCGGUCGUAUGUCUUUCACCCGCGGCAAACCAUCAGUCAGAUUUGCAUCAGCCUUCUCCGAUUCUCACAGGUCAGUGUUCAUUAGAUGCACCUGCUGGAAUGGCCAGGACUCUUUUUCUUGAGCAAACAGUGUACACUAUCAGCUCCAAAACAUCUCAAGAAGAAGAUGAGGUACUUCCCUGCAACAUAAUUUUAGCAUAUGAAGAUGAAUAUGAAGGAUAAUACCUUGAGGACGAAGACUAUCGUCUGUUCAUAGAAGGAGGCAAUCCAGACAAAUUGGUGGAAUUAGGAGCACCAAUCUCCAGGGAAAGACUCAUUGAAUUCAACAAGUUUGUGAAAAGGAUCCCUCUUUAUACAGGAUUCGAUUAUAUAUGGCAUCUUGGUUGCUUAAAAGUUUUCUUUAGGUACAGAAAGGAGACAAAGGAGGAUAUCCGAACCUACUUUGGGAGAGCCAGACGCCUAUCCCUUCCCAGGACAUCACCUGAUGCUGCAAUUUAUUCAAUUCACCUUCAAAGACCUGAAGAAUGCAGCUACUACACCAACAAAAUCAGCAAAGAAAAGCUUGAUGAGUUCAAUGAAGUAGUUCGAAAUUUACCUGAAGGAAUCACCUUUGCCAGAGCUUGCAAGGACUUCAUGAUAGGCCACUACUUCUGCGAGAGCAAGGAAUUAAUCCCUGAAAUAGAAGACUUGUUCAAUCAUGCCAGAAGAGGUAAACCUGUUCAAACACUUCACAAAAUCGAAGGUGCAGGUCAGUUUCUCAUAUCUUGUUCUAUUAGAGGUGAAAUGUUUAAAAACAUACUUUGUGAUUCUAGAGCUUGUCUUAACAUGAUGUCCAAAACUGUGGCCAACACGCAUCCUACCGCGGCCGGGACAUCUUGAUCCGCGGCCAGCACCAUCCGGCCUUCCUUGGCCACUUCAACAUCUACCUUAAUUCAAAUCCAGAAAAUUGGAUCAAGCACCACUCCAUAUCAUCUACAAUCCACCAUUCAACAUCCAACCACCACCACAACCACCUCACAUUCCAUCACCAACACCAGGUAAGUUUUCUUUUCUUUAAUCUUUUUAAAUUUUUCACAUACUCUAUUUCUCGUCCUUGCCUGGUUUAUUUCACACUGGGGACAGUGUGAUUUAAGUUUGGGAGAGCAUUUCAUAUCUUUCUAACCACAUUUUCUUGCAUGAGCCUUUGCAUUCUGCAUUUUUCUUUAAAAAAUUUUGAUUUUUUUCGGUUUUUCUUAAAACUUUUCAAAAGUAUUUUGAGUUUCAAAAAGUGUUUUCAAAGGUCAAAUACAAUUUGAGGGAAUAAUGACAAAAUCGAUGAUGAUGACCAACCUGUUUCCUUCUACACCAUCAGCUCAUAAAAAGCUCUUUCAAGGUUUAGUACUAGACUAGGCGGUAGCUAGAGUACUUACACUACGAAAUCGUCAGAGGACUUCUAUUCAUGGAGAUUUUUUCUAAUAGGAUAUACUAGCUCAUCUUACUUGGACUUAAUCUUGACAUCUAAAUUUCUCAUCAAUGGUUUUAAGAAGACAUCAUGAUAUACAUCUAGGACAUCUUUACCUUAUUGUUACCACUCUUUGUUGUCCUAGAUGACCAGUUCAUCUUUAGCUGGUACCACACUCUUAACCCAAACCAUCAUUUCAAACCUCAUACACUCUCUUUUAAGUCUAUGUUGACAGAUAUGUGCAAAAACGCCGGAGAGGGAGGAACAACAUAGUUUUCAGUCACUCAAGAGAAGGACUGAAUGAAACCAGAAAGGAAGUGUACCAAGCAAUCUCAGCAAGCCUCAUGAUGUCUUAAAAAACUCAUUCUUAAACGUAAUUUUCGUGCUCCAUAAGACUCCAAGUUAAAAGGCAGUUCAAAAAAAAAACGAGAAAAAGAAAGAAAGGAAAGGAAACCAAAAGCCUAAAGAGUCUUAGAAGCCAAAAUUAUUUGAGCCAGGGCAAUAGGUAUUCACUUAAGGAGUUAUGGAUUCACAACGUGGAUAAAAAUCUAAGUCUGGGGGAAUUAUAAGGAAAACCUGAAGAAGGAGAUCAGAAAUCUUAAAGCAAGGAGAAUGUGACUGAAAACUGUGGGGGCAUUUACAGUUCCAUCCUCUCUUGCUGUUUUGCAUAAUGUUAUGUCUCUCCAGAAAAAGGUAACCCUAAACACAUUAAGCCUUACCAUUAAAAAACCUUUUGAUACCUAACUUUGAAUGCCUUGUUUAAUAUCCUUUUGAUGAGAACCACUGAAUUCUUUAAUGAAUGUUAAGAGCUAGUUGAUUGGAAGUUAGUUCUAAGUGUGUGGAUUUUCGCAUGACGGACUAGUUAUGUUUGUAUUUUGGUGAGAAUAUUCUAGACUUGAUCUGAUUGAUGCAUUGUCCAUAAUUAAGGUGUAGAAGUAUGGUUGCUGAUAUUUUUAAGUUCCCUCUCAUUUCUGUUGAAUGAUACUUUUCCAGAUUGGAUCUUGUUUUGUUUGAGGACAAACAAAGUUUUAAGUCUUGGGGAGUUGAUAACACCUGAUUUUGACCCAUUUUCACCAAUGAUUUUAAAUGUUUUUUCAAAUGUUUUAAUAGGAACUUUUAUUAUGAUUUCCAUGUAUUUGUAGUUUCAAGGCUCUUUUCAGAAAACUUAGGAAAAAUGAUGGCAAAAUAGAAGAAAUCCACUUUUUCAGCUUAAAAUCAGACCGUCAGAAGUUCAGCCUCAAAUGAAGACUUUCUCACCGUCCGAUCCAGCUCAAAUUUGGAGACAACCAAGAGGAGACAACCAGCUUUCCAUAACACUUUACAUCACAAAGAUCCAACGGUGCAAUCAAAAGACACAUGGAGAACAAGUUGACCCAGUUCACCAGUCCCGGAAGACUCUCACCCGCGGGAAAACCAUGUUUCACCUGUCCUGGAAGACUCUCACCCCCGGUGGACCUUAGCACGAGCCAUAAGGCCCAACAUCAAAUCCCAAUUCGCCAUUCCUCUUCAGAAAAGCCCUAAAUGAGACCUGGAAGACUCUAGGACCUAUAAAUACAUUUCUUAGCAGCCCUAAAUGGGUGUGUGCUCCUGUAAUGAGAUUUUGAGCCACCAAACUUUGUUUUCUAGGGUUAGGAGAUGGAGAUGGGGAUUCUUCCCUAUAUCCAUUGUUCUUUCUCCUUUUUAUCUUAUUAACUUUUCUGUUUCAUUCUUUUGCAUUCUUCUAUGUCUUUUAUCAUUCAUUGCAUCAUGUAGAUUAGUCGCAGAGAGUCAAGUUGUUUGAAUAUUUCGAUAGGCAUACAUAUUGAUUAGGAUUUCUAUAGUUCUAAACCAUAUUCUGGAUCUCAUCUCUUCUAAGUUGUUCAUAUUGCAUGAGAUUAGAUUCAUGACCUAUUCUCUGAGCCUAUAAUCGAUCAGAGCCAUGAGAGUGUUGUAUCAGAUCAUCCGUACCUACCUUCAGAAGAACAUAGUCGGUAUAGGAGUCGAGAGCUACCUAUAGAGAAGAUGUGAGCAGACGAUUUCAAUGUCUAAUGCAUGAUCUUAUUUCUGGCAUGGAGCGAGAGUUAAUUGUCAGCUCUGAGUGAUUAGUUGAUUAAGAUGGCGAGAGUUGGUUAAUCAUACAUUUAUCUAAUCUAGUUCCAUGCAGAUCCCAGAAACAGAUGAAUUAAAGAUAAAUCGCCCAGAAGCUAAUUGGAAGUGCCAUCAUACAUCGAUUAGAGUAAACCGGAGAAGUCUAAAUCGCCAUCUAUGAGUUUAAGAGUUUUUAGUUUGAGUCGAUAUGCUUGAGAUAUUCUUUUAACAAUUCAUCCUGCAUUGCAUUUUAUUUCUUGUGAAUAUUAGUUUAGGUUUAGUUUAGAACUCUAAAGCAAAAACCCCAAAUUCUCAUUGGUUUAUAACUUUGCUUACUUUCUCAGUUUGUUGUUUCUCGCAGAUUAGACAUCCUCCAUGGGGAUCGACACCCUAAGUCGUACAACGUACAUCUGUGCACUUGCAGACACUAGGGUUUUAUAAAUUUAAAACUUUUGGAGGACCAACAGGCUUGUUAAAAACAAACCUUAGGCCCGCAAGCCCAUCACUUUAGAAGGAACUUAAUGGAAUUGACAGCAUUUCGUGUAGUCAAAAUUUUAUGGAAGAAGGAAAUGUUUUGAUCCCCGAGCUGGAGCCACUUUCUAGACUUUGUUCUCAAGAAACUUUCCUCCGCAAGGCAAAGAGAAGACCAAGACUCUCUGGAUUCUCUCUCGUUUAUUAGAUUAAGUGAAAAAGGAUCCUCUAGAGCUAGGAGCUGACGAUCCUUGAGCAAAGAAUGAGCAGUUGAGACUCUUUUCUCAAUGUCACAAAAUUUCUCUCUAAAGUUCUCUUUGCAGAGGGACUUCGACGGCUUCUUAAUGGACUUGAGUUUGAAGCAGAAACUUGUAAGAGAAUAAGCAGGGCAUCCUGCAUCAGACCAAGCUUUUUGCAGACAUGGCAUGAACAAAGGAUGCUUAAUCAGGAAACUGAACACUUUGAAUGCUCUCGAGCUGAAUCUCAGGGGAUCAGUAGCAAGCUUGAAAAAUCCCAAAGAGUGGUCAAAAAAUUAGGGGGCCUCAAAGGAACAAAGACUUGAUGAAAAUUUAACCAUCCAAGCACCAUUAACAGACAAGGAUUAAGUUUCUUACCAACUGGAUCAGAGGGAAGAGAUUUUGGCCAGGUGAAUUUUUAGGACCCUGGAAAGGAAGAUCAAAUAGGCCGACUUCAUCUAAACAGUCCUGAAACCUUCUUAUUACAGGUGAAGAUCUGACAAUGGACGGGUUAGACGUUUCCAAAUGGUGGAGGAUUUUGUUGAAAUCCCUAUUGACGAUCCAAAAGACAUAUCCGCUAAAAUGAAAGAGUCCUCAAUGCUUCUAAAAAAGACCACAGAUUUCUCCUUUCCUCUUCAAUAUUAGAUGCAUAAAUGAUAGUAUAGACAAGUUUGGAGCCAUCCUCUAGGGUGAUAUCGCAGGUGAUAGACUGAAGAUCAGCCACCAAAAAAAUAACAGAAAUAUGAGCUUUAUAAAUUAUCCAGAUUUUCUCCAGAUCUGAAUAAACAUAAUUAGAUAAAGCAGUCCAUUCAGGACCAAUGGAGGACAAAACUUGGUUCUUAUUUAUUUCCUCAGCAUGCAUUUCCACAAGCGCUAAAAAAAAAAAAGAAAUAUUAAGUGAGAAUUCAGCCAGGAUAUAAUAGGCUGAUGCUUGGUGGUUUCGUUUAAGCCCUGCAUGUUCUUAAAAAUGUACCCAACUUAAAAGAUUAGUUCGAGACUUCGAGUAACGAUCCCCUCUAGAGAAAUAACUAAUGCCACUGUUGAAAGGAGAUCUUUGAUUGUACCUCUUUUGCUUCUUCUUGUUCUUGUUUGAAGAAGAUGAAGGAAUCGUAGGCUUACUCUUGACAAGGGGUGUAGCCACUUCUACAGAAGGGAUAGUGGGCGUCUCAUGAGACUCCAAGGCACCAUACAUGUUAUGAGAAGAAUUUAGGGGGGAGGAAUGAAUAAGCAGCUGCUUCGAGGCAACAAGGUUUCUAGCUGGGAUAAAAAGAGACUUCUCACCAAUACCCGAAGCAAUCUUGUAGAUUGGAGGCGGACUGACAUAAAAAAUGCUAGCAUCCGUAGGGCAUUGAACCUUUGAAGAACUGAUCGGAUCCGAUAUAGAAACAGAAUUUGACUGAGAAUCACCAGGCUGAGCAACCUCCCGAGGAUCCCCUGACGAGGCAAAUAACACAGAAUCCAACGCUACCAGCAAAGCGCCUUGGACAGAGACCUUCUUUCCUUGAGAUUCAACACCUGGCUUCCUUUUGUCUUCUGGGAAACCUGGGGUGAAAAGAGGAAAAGAGCAGGACCAUGACCAAACUCAUUACAAUUAGGAAAAAAGGCGGAAGCCAGGGAUAAAUCACCCUGACAACGUCGAUCCCACCAUCAUCUCUUUUAAGCUCUAACUCUUUGGGGAGCGGGAGAGGGAAGAGGAAGUGGGGAAGGGGGGAAAGGGGAGGGGGAGGUUUUGGGGAAGCUUUGAAGAGCAGAGAGGAAGGGGGAGGCGUAAGGCAAGACAUAAUUCUCGUCGGUGGCCAUGCAGCUCACCAAACGGCGGCGACUAGGAAAAAAAAAAACAUAAUCGCCUUUUUUGCACUCAGGAGAAAGAGGCUUGAUUGCGUCCACUCCUAACACAAUAAUAACGGAAAAUUGGUUUUUUCAGGCUUGAACUUUUGGAAAAUGUUAAAUGUAUACUUAAACUUAUGUACAGUGCUUGAUCAUACUUAAUCUAUAUUAACAUUUGAAAUGCAUACUUAAUCUUCGUUUUUAUUUGAAUUUCGUCUCUAAACUUUAUUUUUUGUGCGUAAAACAAUUACUAACCAGACGCUGUUAAUUGUUCUGUCAAGUUUUGUUUAUGUGUCGUCCACAUAAGAGACGAUGUUGUUUUGGGUUUCUUCGGUUUCAGAUAAAAAAAAAUGCAAAGGAUGUCGUUUGAAUAAUUUCUAACCUCGCUUUUCCGACCUGUAACAAGCAGAGAGUGUGUGUUAAGCCUGACAGAUCUUUUUACUUAUUGCAAAAAACAGAAAAAAAAAAGAUCAUUUUUGGUCUUCUCACUAGUUCAAUGUGAUGAAUUGAUCCACGUGUUUCAUCAAGUCUACUCUGCAACUCGUCCCACUUCUUCUUCCUGUGUUCUUCGUUCUCCAUCUCGCUCCCUUUCUCACCCAACUGCUGAUACAUAGCUGCAUUUUCACCAAUAAAAUUGUGCUUUGGACUCAUUUUUUCUAAAAACUCAACUUCUGUUUUCGACAAAACUCUGUUAAUAAUAAACCUGUGAAGAUAGAGAGAAUCUAUAGCUGAGUUGGGAUAUCAGAGAGUUUCUUUGCAAGUGUGAGAGUAUCUCCCUGGCUUGUACGGUGUCGUGUAAGCAAAGAGCCAUACAGCUAAUAUUACCUAAUGUCAGAGGAACAAGAUUGAUUAUACAUACAGAGCUGGUUAACUCAGAUAAAGAUGCAGGCUCUAUAUCACACUCACGAACACAUAAUAUAGAAAAACAUAUAAAAAAUUACCCAAACUGCUAGAAGAAGAUAUCGGUCUCGAACAAGAAUGUACAGGUUGAAGGUCUGGAUUUACAAAUCCCUAAUUCGUCUCUGAGUUAAGUGAGGGGUUGAAGACGAAGAUCAGUCAAAACGGCGUGGUUUUGCUUUUUUCCCCCAUAAUUAUAAGAGUAACGACGUCGUUUCGUAUUUUUUUUUUAAACCGAGAAAACCCAAUACAACGUCGUCCCUUAUGUGGCAUCCACGUAGACAUUGUUUAACGGAGAGUUAACAGCAUUUACUAAAAAGUUGGUUUGUGCCAUUAAAAUGAAGAUUAAGUAUGAAUUUCAAAUAUUAAUAUAGAUUAAGUAUGAUCAAGCACCAUACAUAAGUUUAAGUAUACAUUUAACAUCUUCGGAAAGUUCGUGUCUGAAAAAGCCAAUUUUUCACCUUUUGGCUAAGACAAUCUAUGUUUAUUUAUUACAUUUUAGUACAUGCAUAGAAGAUAAUUAUCCCAAAUUUAUAUUCUUUACUUUAAUUUCCGGUGUGAGAUUGAGAAAAGGAGAAUAUAAAUUAUGAAAAAUUCGCUUUCCCAAAAAUUUUAGUAUAAAGAAACUCAAAUCUUUUUCAUUAAUUGCAAUAACUCAGACGACAAAAAAAAAAUUGCAAUAACUAAACAUAGUAAUACACAGAUUUUGUUAUUCAAGACGAUACACACUCCUUCAAAGACAAAAUUUAAACCAAUUAAUUUAAAAAUGACGAGACUGAAAGAAUUAAAUAUUUUGCGCUAUAUCGCGUAGCCAUAGUUGAAUCAAGAGCACAGGUUCGGAGGAAUCGAAAGCUUAUUUUGAUAUAUAAUUUGUCACUUUUACAUAUUUUAUUGUAAGAAUUAUCAAAGAAAAUAAUUUUGUUUGUUAAAGGUUACUAAAGGAAAUAAUACAAAGUCUUAUCAAGUGUGACUAAUUAUUUUGCAGAUAAUCUUAAGGACCCAACGAAAGAAGAAAGGAAUAUGGAACACAAUCCCAAAACAAUCUUCGGGAAGACUGACUACGAUGGUGCAACACUUCUUUGUGACCUCUCUGAAUCUGAAGUGCGUUAUUGCUUUUACACAAUUUGGAAUUGUUUUUACGUCACCUACACAAGCUAAAGGAUUAGGUAAUAAUCCAUCCUCUGAUUGAGGUGCUAAUGCUAAUGCCGUAGAUGGAGCAUGUGCAAGAUCAUUUCUUUUCUCAUUUCCAUUUGUUUGUAUAGAUAUUGAUAGAAUCAUUAUCAAAGCUAACAUGAUCGUCGCCCACAUUCUUUGCAUCUUUCUACUCUAUCGUUGUUUAGUGUAUUUUUUGUAUGAUUUGUUUUCUCUCCAAAAUCACAAUAUGUUCCUUAGUAUUUAUAACUCUUGUAUGGUUUUUUUUUGUUGGGUAGGUAAUCUAUAUUUUUUCAUUACAUUUUAGUAAAUGCAUGUAUAGAGUAUCUGUCCCUUCAUUCAUAUAUCUUACCUUCCGGAGAAAGUUUUAGAUAAGAACAUUUAAAUCAUACAAAUUUACUUACUCAAAGUGUUUACUAUAUAUAUGACUAUAUGUACUCAGUUUUCUUCAUUAGUUGCAAUAACUGGACUCAAUAACACAUAAAUUGAUUGGUCAUGCCUAAAUAUACAUUAAUUUAAUACCUUUCAUUCCAUAAAAUUUGACUCAAAUAUUGUAAAUCUCAAAAACACACAUAAUUUAGAACACUUUUUUAUCAUAAUAUGAAAUUUAGUUGAUUUUUAAUUCUUCUUUAAAUUAAAAACUUUAAUAUGUUUUAUUAAUUAAUUUACAUUAAAGUAUUUUUAUAUAUUAGAGAAUAUUAUGAGAGAGAGAGAGAGAGAUAAAUUAUGUACAAUUUUGUAGCAUUAAAUCUUCCUUCUAUUUUCUAAAGUUUUGCUUUUGAUUCUUCCCAAGUAAAUAAGAUAAUUAUCUAGAUAUUAUUUUCUUUUUUUUAUUAUUUUUUAAGAUUUUAUCAAUGUUACAUCUAUUAUAUUAUGUACAGACAUUUUAAUCUUGAUUUUGGUUUUAUAUUUUAGAGUAAAAAUUACUUUACUUUAUGCUAUUUUUAUUUACAGUUUUUAUUAGAAGUGAGAUUAGCAUUCCUAAUGAGCUAGAUCCAUCUUAAUAAUUAAAGUCUGUUGAUCAAGUCCAGUGAAAAAACAGACACGCUCAAUCAACAAGUUUUAUUAUGCAGACGUCAUCAUUGCACCAAGCUACAGUGGUCCAAACCGGGUAGAAAUCGAUACGUGGAGAAACAGUUUACCAACAGUGCUCUCAGUAUAGUAGAUCGGCGACGAACUCAUCGUUACCUACAUCCGCAGAGCAGUUCGAACACAAGGCUUAAGGUUCAUGCCUCCAAAAGACGCUGCAAGCACCACAUCACCUUGGAUACGCAGAGAUCCGUCUGUUCAACCCCCGCUAUAAAUACGCUGUGAAAGCUCAUUUAUGAAGACUUUCUUUUUAGCUCUCGACAUUAUAUUUCUCUUUUUUAAUAAAACACUUAAACACUGUUGUAAAGCACACUGAGCUGAUUAAUAUAAAGAACAUGGUCCCUGACCUGUUCAUCUUCGACUCAAAUCUUGCCUAGAAUCAAAUCUCUUCUAAAUUACAGAAAUCUCACUCUAAUCUUACUAUUAUCUUACUUAAUCAUACUUAGUGAUCUCUUGAAUCAACAAGUAGUGAUAGAAGGAAGGAAUAUAGAGAUUUUCUACAUGCAAAGAAGAUUUCGAAAUGGCAGGACCACCAUCCUCAGGAAUUCUGAAACCAACACCACCUAUCGAGCAACCAGCGGCAGCACAGGUUGUAACUCACGUGGCACUUCUGUUGCUCGCGCCGACUUUCAAUUAAAACCAAAGGAGAUUCCAAGACCUACGGACUCCGGGGUUCCUCCACCACAAUCAGCUCCGCCCCCUGCUCCGGAGCUUGCACUGACCAGCAGUACCACUCGUCAGACCCCAAACCUCUUAAUGACACCAGCUCCUUUCAUAUAGACGGUCCCACCUAGCUUGAGAUACGCAUUACAACCGGCCUGGUACAUUGAUUCUAGAUCAACCACAGCAGUCUCUUCCGUCAAACAAGUAGUUUCGAAACGUAGAGACAACGUCUCAGGAGUGGGCGAAAAAGGAUAAUCAAGCCUUCUGCAAAUUCCAUCUAAGGAAAAUGCAUCCCACCGAGAAGUGUCAUAAGCUCUAGGAGGCCCUCUUAGCUCAAUAUAAUAAAGGAGAGAUCAGAGUUCCUGACCAGCAGCUUUCGCGGGAAAACAAUGGCCGAUCUAGGAUCGAUAACCGACGCGGUCAGCAGGAAAAUCAACGUCCGACCGAUAACCAGGCUCCAAGAGAUAACCGACGUCAACGAUCUCCCUCUCGAGAGGAAGAUAGAUGGCAGCCCGCUAAACAGCAAUCUGCACCGCGAAGACAAGAGUUUCCCUCUCCAGCUCGGACAAUGAUCGGAAUGAUCAUGAGUUGCCUCCUCUCUUGCACUAAUUCAGUUUAGUCAAUCAAGUUGCACGAAAGGAAGACCACUCCGACAGAGAUGUACGUGGCCAAGAUAAGGGACACAAACACUCAGAAUACAAGCAGAAAGGGAAUCACGUUCACCGAGACAGACGUCAAAGGAGUUGACCAACCGCACAAUGAUCCCCUCGUCAUUCAGAUCCGCGUGACUGACUACAAUAUAACCUGGGUCUUUGUCAAUAUGGACAGUUCGGUUGAUCUCAUAUUCAAAGAGACCCUCGAGCAGAUAAAUCUUCGUGGCAUCGAGAUGAAGCCAUCCGUCACCCCUCUGACCGGCCUCGCCGGAGAUACUAUCACGGUGAUCAGCACCAUCAGGGUACCUGUCUAAACCCUAAGUCAGCUAUCUACAACAUCAUACUCGGAACCCCGUGGCUACACUCAAUGAAGACGAUCACCUCGACCUACCACCAAUGCCUCAAGUUUCCCAACCAAUCCAGAACAUUCACAGUAUAGAGCAACCAAUGGAUCUUGCGUUCAUCCUUCAUUAUCGAGCAUAAAAUCCAUAUCUCUGCCCGCACCCAGCUCUGCGCAACGAUAAAAGGAAAAGGCAUAUCGAUCUGCCAGGUUGUUGCCCCAGAGCUCCCAAGGAAACUAAUCCAAGAAAACCGUCCAGCCCUCGUCAUCCAGGUGAACAUUGAUCCGAGUAACCGCGAUUGUUGCGUUAGAAUCGGCGCAGAAAUUGUAAGAAACAUUAGAAAUGAGCUCAUCAAAUUCCAAUGCUUGGCGAGCUCAUACAAUCGCCGUUCUGACUACUCACCCCCUUUCGAACGAUCCUCCACAGCCCAAGCUAGUCAGCAAGAAUGAUGAAGUAGACAGUGGAGCUUAGCGAGUAUGACAUCGACUACCGCAAAUGCACCGUUGCAGAAUACCAAGUAUUAGCAGAUUUCUGAGUAGAGCUAUCUCUCGAGCUAGUAGGGGAGGAGCCCGACAAAAAAUGGAUUUUACAUGUCGACAGCUCCGCCCCGAAGCACGGCUCCGGAAUCGGCAUAUGUUUGGAGUCGCUGACCCGACCCGGCAAAACCCGACCCGACCCGACCCAAAAAUACGGUUUGGUUCAAAUUUGGUAUUUCAAUAUAACCCAUGAUUCCUCUUCAAAUUUUAUUCGGGUUUCGGUUCAGUUUGGUUUUUACUCGAGAACCAUUCAGAUAUGGAAUAACCUAAAACACAUUAACCAUAUUUUUCUAUUUUUGGUUUAUUGAUCAAUUUGGUAUUAUCCACUAUGGGCCGAGUUGGGUCAUUUCAUAUUAUCUAAUUUAUUUUUGUUAAUUAAGCCCACCUACAAAGAAUUCACAAAGUAUUUUUUUCAUUGUAUCGUUUUCUUCCUCUUUUUUUUUGUUAACGUGAAAAGAUAAUUAAUAUCAUCUUCUUCCUCAUCUCUUCUUCUACAUCUCUUUUUAUUCUCUUCUGAUCUUCUAUCAUCUCAUCUCCUUCUUCUCCUUCCCACCUCUAAUUUUUCUAUUCACUUCAUCUCGCGAUUAGGAGAACUCUCUCAUCUCGACACUUCAUCUCAUCUCUCUUUCAAACCCUGGGCAAAUUGAAGUAUCUUCUCAUGGUCCUCGUCGGAGACAUCCGUUACAACUCUUAGCAUCGUUAUUGCAGGUCGAUUCAGUGCCUCGAAUAAUCGAUCUGACAGUGGCUUCAAUUGAGGCUUGGUUGAGUUAGGGUUUGCACGACCUCCAUCACCAAAGCUUUCAAAGCUGAAGCUCGUUUCUCCAACCAUGGCUCACACUCCAAAACCAGAGAUCGUCAUAUCCCAUCAAAUGUCUCUGACUCAACUGUCGAUGGCGAGUUUUUCAUCCGAAUGUCGACAAAAGGCUUAAUUUUGACUUACAUUUCGGGUAAUUCGGGUUUUUCGGGUAAAAACUCUACCCGAAUUGAACCAAAAAAAUUCAGUUCUACAUCGGUUCUAAUUUGAAAUCAAGAAACCGACCCGAACCCGAAAAAGACCCAAACCAAAUCAAACCAAAAAAUUUCCAAGACCCAUAUGGGACAAUUCUUCUCUAUCCAAAAAAUCUGAAACCUGAAAAAUCCAAACCGACCCGACCCGAAGACCUGAAUGCCCAGAGCUACAUAGAACAAUCAUUCCGCCUGGCAUUUCAGACAUCAGACAACAAGGCAGAAUAUGAAGCCCUAAUCGCUGGCCUGAGACUUGCAAAAGAGAUCAGCAUCAUCACAAAUCAAUUUUGUGGUGAGUACGAGACAAAAAACGAUCGCAUGGAGGAGUAGCUCAAGGGGGUCCAUGGAUUAGCAUCUGAGUUCUCCGAUUCAGCCUCACUAAAAUCCCCCAAAGUGAUAACACCUCUGCUGACACUAUAGCCGCCCUGACCUCUCUUUCUGACCCGAUCCCAACGGCGCGUACUCCCAGUAGAAAGCAUCAAGCUGUCAAAAGGAAUCAGCCUAAUCAAUGACUUUCUUGUCAACGAGCUUGAUAACAACCCUGAAGAUGCGCAAGGCGAUAACAACCUGCCACCUCUUCCAUUGGAACCCGAGAACCCGGAGGCGAAUACAUAUUCUGCGGUACAUCUUCGACGGGAACGUACUAGAAGACCGAUGGGCAGCUUGGCGAUUGAAGAAGAAGUCGGCCAAAUAUUUCCAUUCAAUGGAAAUCUGUUCCGAUUGACCAAAACAGGUGCCCUGCUCAGUUGUCUAAACAGCGACGAAACCAUCGACGUAAUGAAAGAAAUGCACGAAGGUGCUGAAGAGAACGACUGCAGCAGACGAUCUCUCGCACUUCGGAUCCGCAACCAGGAACACUAUUGGCUGACAAUGGUCCAAGACUGACACAAAAUCGUAGCCCGAUGUGAGAAAUGCCAGCACCACAGGACGAUGAUCCACUCACCAACCGAGCUCCUCACCACCAUAGAACUGCCCUACCCAUUCAUAUGAAGGGCCAUGGACAUCGUAGGACUACUGCCCAGAUCCCACCAAAACCGCUUCCUCCUGGUGAUGACCGAUUACUUCACCAAAUGGGUCGAAGUUGAAUCAUAUGCCAAGAUAACCGUCAAAAUGUUCGCAAGUUUGUGUGGAAGUUCAUCAUUUGCCACCACGGUCUGCCAUACGAGAUCGUCACAGACAAUAUCACCAAGUACACAUCGAUAAUAUUCGAGGACUACUGUGCAAAAUGGAAGAUCAGACUGAACAAAUCCACCACUAGGUACCCACAAGGCAACGGCUAGGUCGAGGUAACAAAUGAGACAUUCUUCGAUGGCCUCAAAAAGCGGUUGAACGUGAAGAAAGGCCUCUCGGCGGACGAGCUUGAUAGAGAAUUAUGGUCUCACCGCACUACACCUCGGAGAGCAACCGGCCGGACCCCCUUCAGCUUGUCACAUGGCAUGAAAGGAAUGGCUCCCUUAGUGAGGUUGCCAACCAUGCCCCAGUUUAUGCUCACACAACGAGCCGAUUUCAACAACAACAUGAUCUUCAGUGAGCUUGACCUCUUUGAAGAGGAGCGCGACCAGUCUCUGCUCCGCAUGCAGAAUUAUCAGCAGAUAGCCUGCAAAUACUACAACAAGGAGGUAAAAGAAAAUUUUUUCACAGAAGGCAACCUGGUAUUACAGAAAGUUUUCGAAAAUACGGCUGAGCUAAACUGAUAUGAUCGUGACCAGCUCAGAGGAGGAGGAACCAGAGGUAGCUGGCAGGAUCACUCGUUCCAGAGCUAGAGAGAUGGCUAAGGAGGCUCACGCACUCAUUGCCACGGAGGACAGCGAUCACCAGGAGGCUGGAGCUCACAUCUUCAACAUCUCUAUCUUGAAGAAUGAAGAACCCAGUAACAAUGACUAGGUAACUUAGGUGAUGAUUCUGUACUUUUUUCCUUGGUGAGGAUUUUGGAAGGCAAGGAGGUUCUUCUCCAAGGUUUUUAACGAGGCAGAAAUCAUUGCUACGUCGAGUUACUUAGAAGUUGUUACUAAUGGGUAAUAAUGUGCAAAGUCACAAUGACUUGUGCACUUAGUAUUUUGGCGCACCACUUAGGAUUUUUAGGGACGCCUCGCUGUUUUUAUUUUAAAUCAAACUUCCUGUUGUUUUUAUUUAAACUUCAUGUAGUUUUGUUUCUUUAGGGCUGCGAUUUCUCUAAGUCUAUAUAAUAGAGAAAUCGCCUAAGUCAUUAGGCAGCUUGGAAUUUUAACGUAAAAAAAGAACAGCAUCGUUUUCCUUGAUUCCUUGACUCAAAAGUUCAUUGAAUUCGAUUUUCUUACAAGUGUUUCUUACAAGAAAAUCUUCAACCUAUCAUCUAAUCGAUUCCCCAUCCUCUAUUCUCGCCAUCAUCCCUUAUCCAUCGACCAUACUCUCGCGAAUCCAUCACUACCAGAUCGUUUCGGAUCCGAUCUCUUCACGCCACCAUCUCGCAUCAUCAAUCCGAGCCACUCACUACCAUCGCCACUCAUUGUCUCGCUCACUAGACCACCAUCGCAAAUCCAUCGAGUCAUCACCGCGCCACCACCACCACCUUAUCGCCUCAUCGUUCCAUUUUGGUCAAUAUAUCGCCACCUGUAGCCUUGUUCUUCAGAGUAGAUUCCCUUGGAUCGUAUCACGUGGUAUCAGAGCCAACUCUGAACCAAAGGCUGAGCGAAACUCUAACCCUAAUCUCUGUGCUUUGAAUUUUCGUCUCUGUGAUAUUAGGGUUAGCGAGUUUUGUGACUGUGUGCAUCGAUUUGAUUCCUUUUGUUUCAUAUCAUCGCAUCGUUCCCUCUUGUUUUGUGUUUAGGAUCGAUCGCUGUUAGGAUUCCUGUUAGAUCGUGUUCGUCUCAAGUUUAUUUCGAGUCUGAUUGUUUUUCGAGUCUGCUCAUUCAUUGUUUUCGUUCGGAUCGAUACGAGUCUGCGUGUAGUCGUGUUCUUAGGGUUUGUUAAGAGUCUGCGCGACUUCGUUAGGUUUGUUAGGGUUUCGUGAUCUCGUAACUUGUUUGUUAGUGUGUUAGGGAUUCGUUAGUCUUCGAUUUUUGUUGUUAGGCCUCGUUUUUCAUCGUUUUUUUUCGUAUAGGCUUGUUAGGAAAUCUUUUUUUUGUGAUUUCUGUUAAGUUUAGUAAAAAAAAAAAAAAAAAAAAAGAGUACAAAAAAAAAAAAAAAAAUUUCGUUAAAUUUCAUUAGUUUCGUUAAGUUUGUUUUUAGAUUUCGUGGGGAUCUUUUAAUUUUUUUUUUAUGAUGCGUUUAGUUUUGCUGUUUUUGUGAUUCCUUCUAGAACAAGUUACUGCGAGUUUUUUUAAAAAUUUUCAGGUACCAUGGAGCUUUCGGCUGAGGCGAUGGAAGCUCUGAACCGAGCAAUGUCUCAACAAAUUAAAGAAGCGAAUCAGGCCAUAGCAACUCAGCUCACACAACAAAUCGAACAACUCAAUGACAAGUUCGAGACGAAGAUGACUGAUCUGCUCAAAGACCUCAGCGCAAGUGGAGAAGAGUCGUCUCAAACUCCAACUCCUUCGGAAGCAAUGCGCUUAGCAAAGGGUAAAGGGCACAUAGGAUCUUCCCGAAAACUUCCACGCCACCCAACACCUUCCGAAGCCAGGACUAAAGCUAAGUCCAGUCGAAGCCAGAUUGGGGGCAGAGAGACUACGUUUAAUCCGAGGAGGAAUCCUACUGGUGCAGAACGAGAUGGCCCAAGGGUAGAUCGUCAGCACCGCCGAGAGGAAUAUAUUGCUGGGCAUCGAGUUACCCUGGAAUCAGACCCAGAAUACUAUGAGGAGGACGAAGCUUCUGAUCAUAGCAGAGAAACUGUGAGACGAGAUCGAGGCCGAGGACAUGGUCGAGAUUAUGAUCCUCUACAACAGCAGCUGCGUCAUAUCAAAAUCCAGUAUCCUCCUUUCCAUGGAACUAAUGAUCCCGAAGCUUAUUUAGAUUGGGAAAGGAAGAUGGAGUCUAAUUUUCUGGUCCAAGGAACUUACGAGCUCAACAAGGUGAAGAUUGCGGUUUCGGAAUUUCAUGGGUAUGCGCUUCUAUGGUGGGAGCAGUUGGGAGUCACCAGAAAUCGCUUGAGGGAACUUCCGAUUACUACUUGGGAGCAGCUCGUUAUACAGAUGAGGAAGCGGUUCGUUCCGGCCCAUCAUCAGCGCGAGAUACUCAACAAGCUUAGGCGCCUUGUCCAAGGUACGAAGUCUGUUCGAGAUUAUUAUCAAGAAUUGGAAACUUUGCUCAUUCGUGCAGAUUUACGAGAAGGCGAAGAGAUGGUAAUGUCGAGAUUUCUUGGAGGACUUAACCGAGAAAUUCAAGACAAGGUGGAACUUCAGGAUUUCGCAGAUAUACAAGACAUGGUGCAUAAGGCUGAAUUGGUGGAAUCUCAAGUCAAGAGGCGAAAUUUCAAGUCCACAUUCACGCCUAGUGUGCCUAAGCCUAAGGAGAUCAGCAAGCCAGCUUACUCCAGAGACAUCAAACCGCCAUCUACUGGAGUUAAAGAAGAAGCUAAAGCUGAGUUCAAGCCUCGAGGUGGCACUUCUAUCAGCAAUGUGAGGUGUUUCAAAUGUCAAGGAAUGGGACAUUACUCUCGAGAUUGCCCAAACAAGAAGGUUUUCUUGUUACAUGAGGGAGGAGAGAUAGUUCCUCAAGAGGAUUCAGAGGCCGAAUAUGAAUUAGAGGAAGAGGAAGAAGCUGCUGCUGUGGGCGAGAUGCUGGUUGCCAGAAGGACUUUGAGUGUUCAGAGUCAACCUGAAGAGACUUGUCAGCGAGAGAACCUGUUCCAUACGAGAUGCUUCAUUCAAGGAAAAGUUUGUAGCCUGAUCAUAGAUGGAGGAAGUUGUACUAAUGCUGCAAGCGAAGAGAUGGUUAAGAAGCUCCAGCUCAAGACUAUUCCUCAUCCAAGGCCGUAUAAGCUUCAGUGGUUGAAUGACAGUGGAGCCUUGACCGUAUCUCAGCAAGUGAUGGUUUCUCUAUCCAUUGGGAAGUAUGAAGAUGAGAUUCUAUGUGACGUCAUUCCCAUGGGUUCGAGUCAUGUGUUGCUAGGCAGACCGUGGCAAUCAGAUCGUAGGGUGAUACACGACGGUUACACCAACAAGCACUCAUUCGAGUUCAAAGGUCGCAAAAUUACCCUCCUACCUCUCACGCCUACCGAGAUUUAUCAAGAUCAAGUUCAAAUGAAGCUCAAGGAGAAGGAGAAAGUCGCCAACAGCCUCUACAUAAACCACAGUGAAUUUUCUAAACUCUUUGAUCCUGAAAUGACUACUUUUAUGUUUGUGUACAAGGAAUCCCUUGUUAGUACUAACCCUUCAUAGGAGCUUCCUAGUGCUAUGUUUGAGAUUUUGCAGGAAUACAAGGACGUUUUUCCAGUAGAAAUUCCACCAGGGCUACCUCCAAUUCGCGGGAUAGAGCAUCAGAUUGACUUGGUACCAGGAUCAGCCUUACCUAACAGGCCAGCAUACCGAACCAACCCUGUAGAGACUAAGGAGCUGCAAAAGCAAGUGGAGGAGCUGAUGAGCAAAGGCCAUAUCCGAGAAAGCUUGAGUCCAUGUGCGGUUCCAGUUCUGUUGGUGCCAAAGAAGGAUGGUUCCUGGAGGAUGUGUGUAGACUGCCGAGCUAUCAACAACAUCACUGUGAAGUAUCGGCAUCCGAUCCCAAGGCUAGAUGAUAUGCUGGAUGAGCUCUGUGGGUCGACAAUCUUCUCUAAGAUCGACUUGAAGAGUGGAUAUCAUCAGAUCAGAAUGAAGGAAGGGGAUGAGUGGAAGACGGCAUUCAAGACAAAGCAGGGACUCUACGAGUGGCUAGUUAUGCCGUUUGGCCUCACCAAUGCUCCCAGCACCUUCAUGAGACUAAUGAACCAUGCCCUGAGACCAUUCAUUGGCGUGUUCGUAGUGGUUUAUUUUGACGAUAUCCUCAUCUACAGUAAAGGUUUGGAAGAACAUCUAGAUCACAUCAGAUCGGUUCUUGAUGUUCUUCGCUCUCAAUCUCUCUUUGCUAAUUUAUCUAAAUGUUCAUUCUGCACUAACGAGAUUGUUUUCUUAGGCUUUGUAGUAAGUGCAGGAGGAGUUAAAGUAGAUGAAGAGAAGAUAAAAGCUAUCAAGGAGUGGCCAACCCCCAAGAAUAUUGGAGAAGUCCGAAGUUUCCAUGGCUUAGCAGGAUUCUACAGGCGUUUUGUUCGUGAUUUCAGCACCAUAGCCGCGCCUUUAACCGAAGUAAUCAAGAAAGACGUGGGGUUCAAGUGGGGAGAGGCGCAAGAACAGGCUUUUACAGCCCUUAAAGAGAAGCUUAUCAAUUCGCCCUUACUAGUACUUCCUGAUUUUACUAAGACUUUUGAGAUUGAAUGCGAUGCUUCUGGUGUAGGUAUUGGAGCAGUUCUUAUGCAGGAUAAGAAGCCCGUCGCUUACUUCAGCGAAAAGUUAGGAGGAUCGACGCUGAAUUAUCCCACGUAUGAUAAGGAGUUAUACGCAUUGGUUCGAGCUCUCCAGACGUGACAGCAUUACCUAUGGCCUAAGGAAUUCGUCAUUCAUACCGAUCACGAGUCCUUAAAGCACCUCAAGGGUCAGCAGAAGCUUAACAAAAGACAUGGGCGAUGGAUGGAGUUCAUUGAGACAUUCCCCUACAUUGUUAAGUACAAAAAAGGUAAAGAUAAUGUGGUCGCAGACGCAUUAUCCCGGAGGUACACUCUUGUUUCGACUUUAACAUCAAAGUUGAUUGGAUUUGAGCAUAUUAUAGAUCUUUAUGAAUCUGAUACUGACUUUUCUGAGAGCUAUGCCAAAUGUCAUAAGUUUGCCUGUGAGAAAUUUUAUAGACAGGAUGGAUACUUGUUCUUCAGUAACCGAUUGUGCAUACCACGAGGAUCCAUUCAAGAAUUAUUGGUACGAGAAGCUCAUGGAGGUGGAUUAGCUGGACAUUUUGGUGUUACAAAGACACUUCUUGGACUACAAGAGCACUUCUACUGGCCGAACAUGAAGAAGGACGUUGAGAAAAUCUGCUCUAGAUGUGUCGUAUGUAAGAUGGCUAAGAGUAAAGUUCAACCUCACGGUUUGUAUACUCCUUUGCCUAUUCCUUCUCAACCUUGGACUAAUAUCUCUAUGGAUUUUGUAGUUGGCUUACCUCGCACCAGAAAUGGUAGAGAUUCUAUUUUUGUAGUUGUUGACAGGUUUAGCAAGAUGGCUCACUUCAUCGCUAGCCACAAGACAGAUGAUGCUGUGAAUGUAGCUAACUUGUUUUUCAGGGAAGUAGUACGACUGCAUGGAAUGCCACAGGUUAUCGUUUCAGAUCGAGACACGAAGUUCUUAGGACACUUUUGGCGAACGCUUUGGGCUAAGCUGGGAACAAAGCUCUCAUUCUCAACUACGUGUCAUCCUCAGACCGAUGGACAGACCGAGGUGGUGAAUAGAACGUUGUCCACACUUCUAAGGACUUUGGUGAAAAGUAACCUCAAGACUUGGGAAGAGUGUCUGCCUCAUGUCGAGUUUGCUUACAAUCACGCUAAGCAUUCCGCUACUCUCUUUUCUCCUUUUGAAAUUGUAUAUGGGUUUAAUCCACAAUCACCUCUAGACUUGAUCCCUUUGCCUUUAAGUGGAAAAUGCAGCUUGAAUGGCAAGGAGAAAGCUGAACAGGUCCGCAGAAUACAUGCUAAGGCUAAGGAGAACAUCGAGAAGAAGACAAAGCAGUAUGAGAAACAUGCCAACAAAGGGCGAAAGGAACUGAUUUUCGAAGAAGGAGAUCUGGUGUGGAUCCAUCUGAGGAAGGAGCGAUUUCCAGCUGAGCAAAAGAACAAGCUAAUGCCCAGAGUUGAUGGACCAUUCGCAGUCAUCAAAAGAAUCAACAACAACGCCUAUCAGAUUGAUCUUCAAGGUAAGUAUGAUGUUUCUGAUACUUUCAAUGUUUCUGACUUGCUUCCUUUUGUUGCAGAUUCAGAUUUGAGGGCAAAUCCUUUUCAAGAGGGAGAGGAUGAUAUGAUCGUGACCAGCUCAGAGGAGGAGGAACCAGAGGUAGCUGGCAGGAUCACUCGUUCCAGAGCUAGAGAGAUGGCUAAGGAGGCUCACGCACUCAUUGCCACGGAGGACAGCGAUCACCAGGAGGCUGGAGCUCACAUCUUCAACAUCUCUAUCUUGAAGAAUGAAGAACCCAGUAACAAUGACUAGGUAACUUAGGUGAUGAUUCUGUACUCUUUUCCUUGGUGAGGAUUUUGGAAGGCAAGGAGGUUCUUCUCCAAGGUUUUUAACGAGGCAGAAAUCAUUGCUACGUCGAGUUACUUAGAAGUUGUUACUAAUGGGUAAUAAUGUGCAAAGUCACAAUGACUUGUGCACUUAGUAUUUUGGCGCACCACUUAGGAUUUUUAGGGACGCCUCGCUGUUUUUAUUUUAAAUCAAACUUCCUGUUGUUUUUAUUUAAACUUCAUGUAGUUUUGUUUCUUUAGGGCUGCGAUUUCUCUAAGUCUAUAUAAUAGAGAAAUCGCCUAAGUCAUUAGGCAGCUUGGAAUUUUAACGUAAAAAGAGAACAGCAUCGUUUUCCUUGAUUCCUUGACUCAAAAGUUCAUUGAAUUCGAUUUUCUUACAAGUGUUUCUUACAAGAAAAUCUUCAACCUAUCAUCUAAUCGAUUCCCCAUCCUCUAUUCUCGCCAUCAUCCCUUAUCCAUCGACCAUACUCUCGCGAAUCCAUCACUACCAGAUCGUUUCGGAUCCGAUCUCUUCACGCCACCAUCUCGCAUCAUCAAUCCGAGCCACUCACUACCAUCGCCACUCAUUGUCUCGCUCACUAGACCACCAUCGCAAAUCCAUCGAGUCAUCACCGCGCCACCACCACCACCUUAUCGCCUCAUCGUUCCAUUUUGGUCAAUAUAUCGCCACCUGUAGCCUUGUUCUUCAGAGUAGAUUCCCUUGGAUCGUAUCAUAAACGUAGGAAAGCUCGGGGCCAGCUGGGAAAGUCCCUACCUCAUCUCCUAAGUCGUCAAACCAGAGGUGUACGAGCUGGUUACAAUUGGUGGUAAAGCAAUCCCGCACUCAUGGAAUGCGAUAAAUCUGAAAUGAUAUUACUACUAGGCUCCUGAGCUCAUAAUCUCAUAUAUGUAAACAACCAAACUACAACUGGCUUGAUCCCUUCUAUUGAAAGAUAUGUAGGCAGCCUCUAACUCGGGCACAGUUACUAGUAUAGUUAAAUCUUUCUAAACAAAGAAAAUUUCUCCUAAACUACAUAUUCAAAGCUUAGUUCUGACUCACACAAACCAUAUGUGUUCAAGCCAGGUUCUGACCUGCACCAAACAGCACACAAGCUUUAAGUGUUUUAAGCCGAGCUCGCUAUUCACAUCUCUACCAAACUUUCUUUAAAGUUUAAGCCGAGCUAGCACCUUGCAAUUUCCAAUAGGAUUCGCAGAAAAAUCAUUGCAUUUAAGGAAAAACGGUCCACGGACUACAACCAAAAAUAAUGGCACUUUGGCCAACAACAUGAUACAAAAAAGGGUGAAAAACAAAAGGACAAAGACUUCGAGCUAUAAUCUGUCAACCCGGACGCCGCCAAUGUCUUCCGGGCUGACCAAGCGCAUAUUGGUUCUGUGGUCACCAUGGAAAAACUGAUUCCGCAAGCCAUAUUCAUCAUCUUCGGCAGCGCCGCCCUUAGGAGGAUCCGAAGACUUGACAAUCAGGAUAGGCUGCUAUUCCUCUGGAGCAGUCGAAUCGGGUGGGGCUUCAGUUAGAACGGGGAGAGUCUGCUGGAUCGGUAUCACAAGAACCUGCUCAGUCGGAACCUCCAAAUCCUCCGGGGUAAAAUCAGGAUAUUCAACCUGCUCCACCAGCUCUGUGAAUUUGACUUCAUCCUCCCUCCCUCAGCUUCUGCAUCAACUCGAGAGGAAUGACCAAACCUCUCUUCUUCUCCAGCUUCUCCAAGCAUUCUCACGUACCCACCACCUGACUUAAAAGCAGGUGCUAGUUCAACACCUGAUCACGACCUACCAAAUAGUUGCAGAAUUUUUUCAGUUUGGCAGCCCACCUCUGAUUUCUAACCAUCCACGUCGCCAUAAACCUUAUCAUUCUCAGCCUUCAACACGUUCCUGUCUUCUAGAUCGUGACAUUAUGGGCGGCGGCUUCGCCUCGGAGCUUGUCCCGCUCCUGCACAACCAGCUCAGUCACUGUCUUCAAUAAAACACGCUUCUCCUCUAGAGCCACUGACCUAUUCUUCUCCACCACCAGCUCAGCCCAGAGAUUAUCAGCCUCGGCAGCACACUGUUUUCUCCUCCAGAUGAACCUUUUCUUUGUCCAGCGCUGUAGAUCGGAUCUUCUCGUCCUCCAGUUCCUUCUUCAAUUCGUGAAUACGGACGGUAAGCUUCUUCUCACCAAGCUCGAUGCGCUUCUGAAGCUGCUAAAACUACUCCCGAGCUGCGUCUAGCCGCACCUCGUACUGCUCCGUAUGGACGGUCAUAGAGAUCAUUGCCUGCAAAAAAGGUUCUGAGGUAAAGUAAUAUAUAUUGAUGAGGACACUAACAUGGAGCAACUCCAAGAUUUGAAGAUCCCAUUCAUGCGAGAGCCACCAAGGACAUGAUCAAGCACAAGAAACAUGAGGGAGGAAUUCAAUGAAGCUGUGGAGAUUAUGUUGAUGCAAAAAGUCCCCAAGGAUCUCAUCAAGACAAUGGAAGCUCUCAAGAUAACAAGCUCAAGAGAUGCUGUGGACACCAAAGAACCAAGCCCACAUUCAAAACUCGAAGCCUAGCCGCUCUUAAAGAGUUAUCUCGGCCCAAAUGUGCAUAUGAUAUCUCCAACACCAAACAACCACACUUCGAGCCAGCCUUAAAGCAAUGUAAGGGAUUAAAUUUGAAUUCAUUAACGAAGUUUCGUUUUUCUGUUUUCCAGGUUUUGUUCUUUAGUCCUUUUGUUAUUUUUCCUUUUUAGACUUGUCUUAGGAUUUGUGGAUUGUUUUCUUUUUAUUUUCCCCGAGUCUGUUGCAUUUUGAACUUUCCUUUUUUUGGUUUGUCGACCCUAGAAAGUCAAGGCUGAAGGACUAUUUAUAAAUUCCAAUAUGCAGCCGUCGUAGACACAACUUUUACCCUAUUAUCAAUAAAGAGAGAAUUUUCUUCUAAAAACCCUAAGAGCUAAGAGUCUUGUGCGGCAGCCCCAUGUCUUGUGUUCUUUGACUUAUAAAAGCUAGAGUCAUCAGCUUUGUAGCAUCCAUCGAUCCAUCAAUUACUCAGCAUAUCAUUCCACCCACUCGAUUAAGUAAAGAGAGCCAUCGAGACCAGUUACUUAGUCUCCAUACUCUUUCACAUCUUUAUCAUCACUUGCCCGAGUAGAGAGAGCCAUUGAGGCCAGCUAAUUACAUCAUAUAUACUGAUGAUGAUCUACUUAUCCGAGCCAGAGCUCGAGCCGUAUUCUGAAAGAUGUCCAACUCAUCUAAGUCUCCAACCUCGCGAUUAUCGACCUCCCUACCAAAGCUCAUCGUGUAAGCCAGCUCGGUGCAUGCCUACUUGUCCUUUGGGAAGUCAAGAUCUGAGUUCCGAUAGUGGAAAUCGAAACUAUUAUCGGCCUGCCCCUUAGGAAUGCUCUGAUCGGUAGCCUGACCCUGUUCCCCAGCUCCCUCGUCACCUGGCAGCUCGGUUUAUUGAUCCCCAGCUACCUCGUCCCCUGACAGCUAUGUUUGCUGAUCGACAGGCGACACAGUCCUCUCGCCCUCAGCCUCUUUCUCUCCUGAGACACCGUAUCCACAGUCUACCUUUUCUUAGCUGGAGGCUCGGAAAAACUCUCACCCAGCUUGGAGGCUCCCCUUGUGGCAACACCUUUUCCCUUCUUCUCAGCAGUCCUCCUCCAGGGAGCAGAUGGACCGACCUGACCCAGUGCGCCAAUCGGCGCAAGCUCAGUGAUGGAAACAUUCCUUUCUUCACCAUCUGUUGAAGAUUUCUGGAUGGAGGUCUCCACCUCACUUGAUCUUGGAGGACCUUGACGAACAACCUUAUUCUGCUGCCAGUCGUUUGCAGCAGAAGUCUGCUCCCAGACUCUGGGAGAAGUAGUAGGAGGUGUCGCCACAAAUGAGGCGGAGUAAAAAAGAAUGGAAAACCUAUGUCCUACAUAAAACGAUAAAACAGAUCAGCACAAAUCAAACCACAAGCUAGAAAUAGUUAUUCCCGACCUACCAGACAUCACCAUUCAAACGCUUGAUAUACCUUUGCCUGGGUAAAUGAUUUCCACGACCUCUGAUCUGCCAAUCUGAGCUUGCCUAUGACCUCAGCAUAGCAAUCUAAAUAAUGGACGCCCAAUCUGCAAACCUCUACCAAGGGAAAGAUUCCACCGAGUCUUGUAUUGUGCAUGUGCACAAAAACCGGCUGCCUCGUUAGCCCGCAUGAAAAUAUAGUUUCGCUCCCAAAUACCGACCUUACUUGGCUUAUAAAAGAUGAUCCCCACACCCGGCCUAAAGGAUACGUAAAAAGUACUCGGGGUCGCCGGGUUGCCCUUGUUAGUCGUAGAAUCCUCAAACAUGCGACAAGUCACAUCAACCCCGUGCUCAGAUCCCAGAGUUAGCAACAACACCAUGCUUUGAAUGGUGCUCGGACACACCUAUGAGAUAGCUAACUCCCUCUUCUCGCAGUAGAAAAUAAGCAGCUCGGGGAUUAGAAAACGCAGCCCACACUGCAUGAAGUAAGAUUCGUAGAUGCAGAAAAACCCCGCGAGAGGAGUCCAAGGACGUUCAUUCUCAUUAGGGACCCUGACCUCCAUGUGGACAGGGGUCCCCCAUCUGGAAAGCAUUGAUCCGAUACUCUUCGCCGAGGUCCAGAUCUGGGAACCCUCGUAUUGAUAGGACACCUUCGGAGGUUUUGGAGCCCGUGUCCUCUGCCAGUUUGCCGACUACCCCAACUUUGACCGCCUUGCUCAACCCUACCUCUUCCCGAAGAAGAUGCCCGAAAGCAAGAACCCUAACAUGCUUCCCUAUCUGUCGAGCCCUCUGAGCCAAAGGGACAGAAUCAACAUCAAUUUCCUCCUCACGUCGGGCAGACGCGGUGUGUUCCGAACUCUUCUUCGGCGAAGAACUUUCUAGGAUUGAUUCAUACAAAUCUUCACGAGAAGACGAAUCGGUUUUGGACUCGGCUUUAAUCCUAUUAUGUAGUGACACCAUCACGGAAUAGGUGAAAGAAAUCGAUGAAGGAGAACCCGUGAACAGCGAAGCAGAAAUAAAAAAAAUAAAGUAGGGAAUCGAAGGAAGAAGAUUCCCAAAAUAGUGAAACAAAGCUGAUCAAAGAGGAGAGAACCCGAAAUCACGGUGAGCAAAGAUAAAAUCGGGAGAGUCUGGGAAAGGAGAAGACCCGAAAUCGCAGCAAACAAAAACAAAAUCGAAAGAGAAGAAAAUAGAAGAAUACCUGAGAUUUCUUUCGAAUAUGCAGAAGUGAGAAGGAAAGAGGAGAAAACAGUUUAAAUAGGAAGAGAGAAGAAAAAACAACCAAUCAAAGAAGUAGACGGUUGACACUUGUCAAAAUGGUUCGAUAACCGAGUAAAACCCUAAUGAUGUCACCGCUUUGGUGUCCACAUCGAGAAGCACAACAGUCAAAAAUCAAAAAAAUUCUCUUUGAUGUCAACGCGUAGCAAACACGCGCGAGCAAUUCAGAAGCUCUGGCGCAAAAAUCAUCCAAUUUCCCGCCUAACUCCGGAAUGCGAAAGGUCUGCCCUAAUUCCUUAAAUGAACCGAGCUAUGACAUUCCGAGCCACGAGGCGCUGAGCUAAUAUCACAGACUUUGGUGCAUUUGCUAUCUCCUCAUACACCGAACUAGGGGGGACUAUUGUUGAAACUGGGCUUAGAACCCCUAAUUAGCUAGGCCCAUCUUAACAAUUAAAGCCCGUUAACCAAGCCCAGUGAAAGUCAGACAUGCCCACUCGGCAAGUCUUACUGUGCGGACGCCAUUAUUGUGCUGAGCUACAGUGGUCCAAACCGGGGAAAAGUCAACACAUAGAAAAGCAUUUUGUCAACAGUGCUUUUAGUAUAGUAGAUCGGCGCCGAAUUCAUCAUUACCUACAUCCGCAGAGCAGCUCGAACACAAGGCUCGAGGAUCAUGCCCCUGAAAGGCGCUGCAAGCACCUCGUCACCAUGGAUAUGCAGAGAUCUGCCUGUUCAACCCCCGCUAUAAAUAUGCUGUGAAGGCUCAUUUAUGAAGGACCUUUUGUUUAGCUCUCGAUAUAUAUUUCUCUUUCUUGGCAAAACAUUUAAACACUGUUGUAAAGCACACCGAGUUGAUUAAUACAAAAACAUGGUCCCCGACCUGUUCAUCUUCGAGCCAAAUCUUGCCUAAAAUCAAAUCUCUUCUAAAUUACGAAUAUCUUGUCCCAAUCUUACUAUUAUCUUACUUAAUCGUACUUAGUGAUCUCUUGGAUCAACAGUUUUAAUAACCAGGAUAUUGAUUAACCUAUAAAUUUUUGACUAAUAACAAAAUGAUAAAAAUGAUUAUGUUUCUUUGUAAAAAUAUAUCAUUUUAAACAUAAAAUUAAAUUCCUAUUUAUAGAAUAUAAAAAAACUUAGAUAUUUCUAAUCGAAAUGAAGACUUUUAAAAUGGUAAAAAAUAUUAAUGGUAAAAAAAUUGCGAAUGCUAAAAUUACUUAAACCAGAAACGUGAAUUUUAAUCGAAAACAUCAACCUCUAUCCAUCCAUAAUCUGUCACGCAAAAACUAUAAUGUGAAACGAGAACGCAAACGUAAAUAUUUCAACUGAAACCCCUCCGAUUGUGAUGCAGAACUCUCCGAUUUGGUAAGAAACGUCCGAAAAAACAGUCAGCAAUAAAAAAUGGAAGAGACGAUGCAGAAAAAAAUUUGUUCUUCGAAGGAUUCGAUAUGGUCGAGAAAGAGAGACCAAAUGCUUUCUCCAAAACAAAUUUUCCUUGGUAGAAUGAAAUAACGCCAUGUCAUACACGAACCUCUCACAAAACAGGUUUUAAAAACUCUAAUAUAAGAACCGUCUCAACAGAUUUGUGGGCUUUGACAAAUAAAAUAACCAAAAAAAAAAACUUAGAACCCCGCGUAUGAACCCCUAUAAACCCACGUUGGACAUGCUCUAACAUCAACAAAAGUGGAAGGUUUUGUUUCAAUUGUGAUACUUUUAGCCAUUUUAAAGAUAUUAUUGACAGAUAUCAAAGUUUUCAGACAAAAUGUACAACUAUUUAAAAACGAAACGUUAUAUAUGUUACUUAUAAGAAUUGAAAACCCAAAACUUCAUACUUUGCUUGCUGAACGAGUGUUAAAAUUUUGAACUUCAGAAUUUGUCAUUCUUCAUGCUGGGUAACAAUUUCUCUUGUUCUAGAAUUUCACGUUAAGUUUUGAGAGACGAAAGCCUAACCUUACAUGAAAGCCUUUUGAAGAAUAAAUAUGAUGCAUGCAUAAAAACAUUUAGUCUACUUUCAUAAUCAAUAAGAAUCAGAGACAUUUAGGUUGAGAAAUAUGGCAUAUACAAGGUUUAUGAAUAAGUCUUUUAUGAAUUGUAGUUAUACAGUUUAUGUUCUGCAGGUUAUUUAUUUUAUUUUAUUUUAUUUUGAAGCAUCAAUUUUAUUUUAUUUUAUUUUGAAGCCUCUUUUAACAAAUUGUACUCUCAUUCACUACAUGAAAAGAGGUGAAUAUAUAACCCUACUGCCUGUAAGCCCCAAGCCAAGUACACAAGAAUAAGCUCAAGAUGCACGUUCCGAGAAAGCUUGAGAGUUAGUGACAUUUCCACUGUCGUUUGGUAGAAUGAUGUCAAAGUUCGACUCUAGCUUUUGCAAUGGGAUUAAAACGGAUUUUAGACACGGCUGACAAAAAUAAAAAUAUAGAAUAAUAUUCGAGUUAGUAGAAAUAAAAGUAGAAAAGUAGAAAAUACUCAAAAGUUAAACACAGAAAACUCGGUUUGGUACAUAGGGAGAAGUGUUGAUGGCCAUGGAUCACAAUGAUUGGUUCAGAUACCAUAUUGAUAAGAUACCUUCGGAGGUUUUGGAGCCCAUGUCCUCUGCCAGUUCGGCAACUACCCCAACUUUGACCGCCUUGCUCAACCCUACCUCUUCUCAAAGAAGAUGACCGAAAGCAAGAACCCUAACCUGCUUCCCUAUCUGUCGAGCCCGCUGAGCCAAAGGGACAGAAUCAACAUCAAUUUCCUCCUCACGUCGGGGAGACGCGGUGUGUUCCGAACUGUUCUUCGGCGAAGAACUUUCUAGGAUUGAUUCAUCCAAAUCUUCACGAGAAGACGAAUCGGUUUUGGACUCGGCUUUAAUCCAAUUGAGUAGUGACACCAUCACGGAAAAGGUCAAAGAAAUCGAUGAAGGAGAACCCGAGAACAGCGAAGCAGAAAUCCAAAAAAAAAAAAGUAGGGAAUCGAAGGAAGAAGAUUCCCUAAUAAGUGAAACAAAGCUGAUCAAAGAGGAGAGAACCCGAAAUCAUGGUGAGCAAAGAUAAAAUCGGGAGAGUCUGGGAAAGGAGAAGACCCGAAAUCGCAGCAAACAAAAACGAAAUCGAAAGAGAAGAAAAUAGAAGAAUACCUAAGAUUUCUUUCGAAUGUGCAGAAGUGAGAAGGAAAGAGGAGAAAACAGUUUAACUAGGAAGAGAGAAGAAAAAACGACCAAUCAAAGAAGUAGACGGUUGACACUUGGCAAAAUGGUUCGAUAAUAGAGUAAAACUCUAAUGAUGUCACCGCUUCGGUGUCCACAUCGAGAAGCACAACAGUCAAAAAUCAAAAAACUUCUCUUUGAUGUCAGCACGUAGCAAACACGCGCGAGCAAUUCAAAAUCAUCCAAUUUCCCGCCUAACUACAGAAUGCGAAAGGUCUGCCAUAAUUCCUUAAAUGAACCGAGCUAUGACAUUCCGAAUCACGAUGAGCCGAGCUAAUAUCACAGAUUUUGGUGCAUUUGCUAUCUCCUCAUACACCGAACAAGGGGGGACUAUUGUUGUAGGUGGGCUUAGAACCCCCAAUUAGGUAGGCCCAUCUUAACAAUUAAAGCCUGUUAACCAAGCCUAGUGAAAAGUCAGACAUGCCCACUCGGCAAGUCUUACUGUGCGGACGCCAUUAUUGUGCUGAGCUACAGUGGUCCAAACCGGGGAAAAGUCAACACAUAGAAAAGCAUUUCGUCAACAGUGCUCUUAGUAAAGUAGAUCAGCGCCGAAUUCAUCAGUACCUACAUCCGCAGAGCAGCUCGAACACAAGGCUCGAGGAUCAUGCCCCUGAAAGGCGCUGCAAGCACCUCGUCACCAUGGAUAUGCGGAGAUCUGCCUGUUCAACCCCCGCUAUAAAUAUGCUGUGAAGGCUCAUUUAUGAAGGACCUUUUGUUUAGCUCUCGAUAUAUAUUUCUCUUUCUUGGCAAAACAUUUAAACACUGUUGUAAAGCACACCGAGCUGAUUAAUACAAAAACAUGGUCCCCGACCUGUUCAUCUUCGAGCCAAAUCUUGCCUAAAAUCAAAUCUCUUCUAAAUUACGAAUAUUUUGUCCCAAUCUUACUAUUAUCUUACUUAAUCGUACUUAGUGAUCUCUUGGAUCAACAGUUUUAAUAACCAGGAUAUUGAUUAAGCUAUAAAUUUUUGACUAAUAACAAAAUGAUAAAAAUGAUUAUGUUUCUUUGUAAAAAUAUAUCAUUUUAAACAUAAAAUUAAAUUCCUAUUUAUAGAAUAUAAAAAACUUAGAUAUUUCUAAUCGAAAUGAAGACUUUUAAAAUGGUAAAAAAUAUUAAUGGUAAAAAAUUUGCGAAUGCUAAAAUUACUUAAACCAGAAACGUGAAUUUUAAUCGAAAACAUCAACCUCUAUCCAUCCAUAAUCUGUCACGCAAAAACUAUAAUGUGAAACAAGAACGCAAACGUAAAUAUUUCAACUGAAACCCCUCCGAUUGUGAUGCAGAACUCUCCGAUUUGGUAAGAAACGUCCGAGAAAACAGUCAGCAAAAAAAAAUGGAAGAGACAAUGCAGAAAAAAAUUGUUCUUCGAAGGAUUCGAUAUGGUCGAGAAAGAGAGACCAAAUGCUUUCUCCAAAACAAAUUUCCUUCGUCGAAUGAAAACACGCCACGUCAUACACGAACCUCUCACAAAACAGGUUUUAAAAACUCUAAUAUAAGAACCGUCUCAACAGAUUUGUGGGCUUUGACAAAUAAAAUAACCAAAAAAAAAACUUAGAACCCCGCGUAUGAACCCCUAUAAACCCCACGUUGGACAUGCUUUAACAUCAACAAAAGUGGAAGGUUUUGUUUCAAUUGUGAUUCUUUUACCAAUUUUAAAGAUAUUAUUGAUAGAUAUCGAAGUUUUCAGACAAAAAUGUACAACUAUUUAAAGACGAAACUUUAUAUAUGUUACUUAUAAGAAUUGAAAACCCAAAACUUCAUACUUUGCUUGCUGAACAAGUUUUAAAAUUUUGAACUUCAGAAUUCGUCAUUGUUCAUGCUGGGUAACAAUUUCUCUUGUUCUAGAAUUUCACGUUAAGUUUUGAGAGACGAAAGCCUAACCUUACAUAAAACCCUUUUGAAGAAUAAAUAUGAUGCAUGCAUAAAAAAAUUUAGUCUACUUUCAUAAUCAAUAAGAAUCAGAGACAUUUAGGUUGAGAAAUAUGGCAUAUACAAGGUUUAUGAAUAAGUCUUUUAUGAAUUGUAGUUAUACUGUUUAUGUUCUGCAGGUUAUUUAUUUUAUUUUAUUUUAUUUUGAAGACUCAAUUUUAUUUUAUUUUAUUUUGAAGCAUCUUUGAACAAAUUGUACUCUCAUUCACUACAUGAAAAGAGGUGAAUAUAUAACCCUACUGCCCGUAAGCCCCAAGCCAAGUACACAAGAAUAAGCUCAAGAUGCACAUUUUGAGAAGGCUUGUGAGUCAGUGACAUUUCCACUGUCGUUUGGUAGAAUGAUGACAAAGUUCGACUCUAGCUUUUGCAAUGGGAUUAAAACGGAUUUUUAGACCCGUCUGACAAAAAUAAAAAUAUAGAAUAAUAUUCGAGUUAGUAGAAAGAAAACUAGAAAAGUAGAAAAUACUCAAAAGUUAAACACAGAAAACUCCGUUUGGUACAAAGGGAGAAGUGUUGAUGGCCAUGGAUCACAAUGAUUGGUUCAGAUACCAUAUUUUGAAGAAUACAUUCACGGUGUACGAUAUGUGGAGCCACCAUUUGAUGAAAGAAAGAUAUCAUAGACAGGAAGGUGAUCUAGGCAGGAUUUUCAUAAAUAGUCCAGUGUCCUUCAAAUUCCAAGUUGAUUCUUCAUCCGUUUCUACUCAGGUUUCUAUAAGUUUCGCUUAUUUCCCCAAAAAGACAUGCGAGACUCCUCAAAUAUUUAAAAAACUAUAUUUUUUUUUUUUGAAAACACGAUGUGGCCUAAAAAGACAAUGUGAAACAAUGAUAAAAAACUCUGGAAAACACGAUACAAUUAUCUAUAAGCCCAAACCAAAUUUGCACAAGAAUCAGCUCAAGAUGCAUGUCCCGAGUAGACCAAUGCGUCUGUGACAAUAUCACUCUUAUUUGGUAUAGAAUAGGACCAAAUUGUGACUCCAGCUUUUGUAACGGGAUUAAAAUGGAUUUAAGUCCCCGAUUACCAACAUAACAUAUAUAGAAAUAAUAUUUUGAGUUAGACUAUGUACAAUGGUUUUCUUUUUCAACACCUUCUUUUUUCUCUUUUAACACUCUACAUCAUAUUCUCUCUCUUUCACCUAAUCAUCCAACACACAAUUCAAUUUUUAUACUUACAAUAGUUUUGUUUAAUAAAAAAUUCAACACUCUAACCCAUUACUUUUAUUUUAUAUUUUUAUAUCUUUUAUAUAAAUAUUAAUAAUAAUUUUAAUAAAAUUAAAUUAAAUACUUAAAAUUUUUAAAAAAUCUAAAAAACAUCUCUUUUUAUUUUACAUUUUAAUUUUUUAAAAAUAAAAAUAAAAAUAAAAAUAAAAAAUAGAAAUAAAUAAGAGUUUUUGGAGACUAAAUAUAGUUUAAAAAAUGGUUUUUUCUGUGUCCAAAUGAAAUAAAACAAGUCUCUAUUUAUAGAGCUUGAAAAAUGAUGAAUUUUGGUACAAAAAAAAAUAAAUCAAAUAUAUUUUUCUAAAAAAUAAUUGAUAUUGAAUGAUUGGAGGGGAAGGAAAAAUAUCAAGAAUCUCAGCAACCAAUAAUAAUUGAACACGUGUCAUAAAUACCCCACAAUUUUUUUUCACGCUUGUUGAAUCUUUUCUACAGUUUUGAAUCCACAACAUCUUUCUUUUUUAUUCAACACAUCAUUGUAGAGAUUCAUCAGUUAAAUAAAGGGAAAGCGGCUUAUUAAUACCUCAACUGCAUGUAAUGGUACUGAUUUGUGCUUGUACAAUUUUGUUGUGCCUACACAUACCUGAACUAUUAAUAAUGUGAAUAUUCAUACCUAAACUCAAUUUUUUUUGGCCGAAACAUACAUUGACUUUUUAAUUGUUAGUCAAUUCCGUCAAUUUGUUAACGGAGCUGAGUCAUUUGCCACGCUGGAAUCUCCAUUAGACAGAUAUAUAUGAAACAAUGUCGUUUUGAAUUUAAAAAAAAAAAAUUAAAAAAGGUUUAAAAUUCCAGGAAUCGAUUCUUGUAUCUCGCUCCAAGAAAAAUGCCCAGUAACCACUACACCACAUAUUGUUUUCAAAAUUAAAACGCACCAUCAAAUAUAUGUACUAGGCGUAAAAAAAAUCUCUUGUAAAAUCUCUCUCUUUCUCUUUCGCCAGUGACUCGCGACAAUCAGGUCUGAAUCAUCCUGAGGUGUGAAUCCAUGGCAGAUGUAAAUCAAAUGAAAUCAUUGAAACCCAGAUAAAAAAUCCAAAUUUUUCAACACCCAUCUUAAUCCAACAAGAGAAAAAUCUGGAAUUUACACAGAUUGGGAGAAAGAUUCAAUCAGAAAAACCUGGAAUUUUUUCUUUGGGCUGGUUUUGUUUGUGGGUUCUAUGAUCUAAUUUUGUUUAAUUUGAAGAAUAGUUUACAUAAUUUGAAGAUUGUUUCCUUUUUUGGUUGAAUCUGGGUUCGAAAAUCACGAGAAUCUAGGUCGAAUCUGGAUCUUUUUUCUUUCUAAUAGCUAAUAGCUGUGUAAGUAUUAAAAUAUGUAAUAAUUUGCUUAAUGUUAAUAAUUGUAAUAAUUGUAAGUGGCGUAUUGGUAGCGUAGCUUGAGUUUUUGGUGGAGGAACACGGUUUAAAUCCCCUCAGAUUUGUAUAACUUUUUUUUUAAGAAUAAUUAUAAGAAAUGACCAUCCCGCCAUCAAUAUUUGCAAAAAUGACCAAGGGUAAAAAACGACACUGUUCAAUUUUUUUUAAUACCCUUUAGCCCAUUCACAUCUAUGCGAACACCUAUGUACUAGGGAAAAUAUUAUGUCAGAUAUUCAAAUAAAAUAUUGAUAAGGUAUUUGCAUUAAUGGAAACACUGUUCAUAUUCAACAUUUUGUCGGGGUAAAAUUCUAAUCGGUGUUUUAUCUUUCGGUCAAUCGAUACGGCGUUUCGGUUGCAAAUUGUAUUUGUCACAGCCCAUUUUUAUCAGUUCCGAGGUCUGUACAAAAACGUGAGAGCAGGGCACUGAUUCAGUAAAGAAGAUGGAGCUAUCAUUACCAGAGAGAAUAUUCGCCGCCGGCGAAGAACCUGUCGGCGAAAGGGUUAAUUGCUACCACAAAUCCAAGGCGAUUAACAACAUCCUUAGCGCAUUGGACGAAGAGGAGAAGGAUUAUAUGCGAAAAUCUCCGUUUGGCAAACUAAUCGCGACUGCGAAAAAAACCCUCCCUUUCCAGGAGUUUCGGCCACUUCAUCAUCACGAGGUUGCUCAAGGUUAGUAAAAAGUACGGAAUAUGGAUUCUUUUCGCCGGGCGUCCGAUUAGAGUGUCUCUCCGAGAAUUUGCGAUUGUCACCGGACUGCCGUGCGGCAAGUACCCAAAAAAGCAGAAGAAAAAGAAGAGAAACCCCAUUCGGGAGAAGCCAUACUGGCCGGACUUAUUUAGAAAUCUGAAGACAUGCAGCAUCGAAACAGUCGUGAAGAUGUUGAAGAAGAGGACAGUUGUUGACCGCGAGACGCGACUGGAGUAUGCAUGUCUUGCUUUAACCGGCGCAGUUUUGUGCCCCACCAAUCACAGAUCCAAAAUUGUCGCCGAACACGUGGAAUUGAUUAGAAGCAUCGAAGAGUUUUUCUCACAUCCGUGGGGCAGAGUGGGUUUUGAGAUGUUGAUGUCUAGCAUCAAAUCUAAAGAUGAAGUUGCACUGGCACAAAGCACGGUAGCUGUUAAAGGUUUCUUUCACGCGAUACAGUUAGUGUUGGUGGAGGCAUGUCCAUCGUUAACCGAAGUAGUUCAAUUGAAUGAGUCUUCCUCGGAAUCAGAAUCUGAAGGAGACGAAGAGGAGGGAGAGUCCGAUGACGUUGCCCCAGCCAACAUGCCGGAGAACCCCUCAAAUGAGCAAUCGAUUGCUGGCGAUGCCGAGAAAAACGCUGGAAAGCCUUCGACACACACAGAGUCGGCGAAUGUCGGACUAAGCCCAAGUCAUGCAAGGGAGAUCGACGAAGGAUGCAAGGUAAUAUCUUGCCCGUUAACUUUAACAUUUACUAUGUAACAAACUUUUUUGUUAUUUAACAACUUUAUGAUCGGACUAACAUUCGUGAUAACGAUGCAACUUUUUUGUACGCAGGUCUCGGUUUUUAGCAUUAUCCCCGACGAUUCAGAUUCUGCAAUGGAGGAUGCGGACUUUUGCUGGUCCGACGAGGAAGACGAUCCAAGGGUUGAUAAUAUGGUAAACCUCAUCGGGGAGAACUUUGAAUUCCGCAAAAACAUGUUUCAGGGUGGUUUGUCUCAGGCUGAGUUGGCGAAGAUGCGCCUUGAGAGGAAGGAAAUCAGGGAGCGGAAGGAGAGGGAGAAAGAGAAGGCCCAGGAAAAUGCAACCAAUCUUGGUGCCGCUGGUCCGUCGUCGACUGCUCCCCCCAACAUAGCUGAACUUUUGUCUGCCACGGUAAAGGCAGAGCUAGCUCCAGUUGAGCUAAAGGUGGCAGCCGCUGUCGACAAGAUAUCGACUAUUGAAACCAAUUUGUCCACUCUUGGCACUAUGAUGAAGACAGCUAUGGAACGGAUGAUUACAUCAAUGCAAGAACAAAUAAUAUCCAACAUUAUUGGUUUUCUAGGCAAGUCUGUUUCGGAAUUCGACAGACACGACACUGAAAAGAUAGAUCUACGGCUCGUGGAAACGCGGAGAGGCAAGGCGAUGCAGCACGAACAGGGGCAAGGAUUCAAAUCACCAGACACGGCAUCAGGUCCAAGCGGAUGUAGUUAUAAAUGACGCAAUUGCGUUUGCUAACAAUAUUAAUACCGAACAACAGACGGAUAUGCAGCAGGAGGGCGAAGGAGUUGGAGGUCUGAGUUCAGAAGCUGGCGAGAGCAAUGAGAGCCCGGAAGAGAGACAAGUACGUUAUAAGAUUAGGAUCAUAGUUACUCUUUUUGAUUUUUGUAUACAAUCAUAAAUAACCGCAUUAUAGGAGCUGUAGCUGUCUACGAUCUCUAUUAACUAAGACAACUAUAGGUGUACCUGAUAACAUUAAGCGUAACAACGAUGUGAGUUGUGACUUGUUAAUAUGAUUGAUUUUGCCAGGAUGGUGCUGCUGAAGGCAAUGGGGAUGGGGAUGACCCGGUUGACGAAAUUGGUGAUGAAGGAGAUGGUCCGCGGCGAGGCAAGAGGGCUAGGGUGCAGACAUCGUUCAACAACUUCCACGUGGAUCCGAAGUGGGUUUCAUGCACGAUGGGGAGCAAUCCCUUUUUAUGCCACAUUGAAGAACGACCAACUUAUUUUACAAAGUUUGCACGCUUACACGAGGUUUUGCAUAACUAUCGGUAAGGUCUCCCCAUGUUGGUAACUAUAAUGUUAGAUCGGUAGGUUCAACUAACAUCUGCCAAUAGAUAUGUUAGAGUUGCUAAUUAAAUUGUUAACCAGAACUUUUCUGUUUUGCACUAUAAUGUUACAACGAAUUUUGUGUUGAAAGUUUGUCUCCGUAUGUAGGGUAUUCAAUCUUGGCAGUGGCACAUCUGUUAACAACAAGGACGUUCUAGACAUAGCUGGUAGGACAAAGCCCAUGAUGGCUAAGGUAAUGCCUUCAUUCCACCGUCGUUCGACUUUAUCCACGACAUUAUAAUGUCUAACAAAAGUAAUAUCAGAUAACUAGGGGGUUAGAUUUAUAGUCACAUAACUAUGUUCAUAAGUUUUCAGUUUAAUUGUCUAGAUGUUUGUCUAAUGUAAAAUAAAAGUGUAGAGCCAAGCAUUUUUUUGUAUCUAGAUGAUGGACGCGCUUCUCCUAUACGCCCGCGCUGUCUAUGUCUCACAUUUUUCUGAGUCUCAUUUGAACAAGACGGCGUUUCUUGAAACCAAAUUCACGACUGCACUGAUGAAGACCUGGAGUAAGUUUUCACGUUUGGCUGUCAAAGACCGUCAUAGGUUCAAAUUUGGGGAUGGUGUCAUGGAUCACCUUGAGGUGGACAGCGUAGAGAUCCCUACGCCGGAGCGUUUGUAUUUUCCGUUCAACUUUGACAGGGAGCACUGGGUUGGCAUAGCUGUUGACACAACUGCUGGGAGUAUGCACGUGUUGGAUUGCAACCUCUCUUUGAGGACUGAUAGCGCUAUAAAGAAGGAGCUGGCCCCCAUAUCAAUGAUGUUACCGUACGUACUAAAGCAAAGUCCAUCCAAACAACGUAUUAGUGAGUCUAAACCUUACGUUAUCGUUCGACCUAAAGGGGUUCCACAGAACGGCAUCAUGUGCGAUUCUGGUGUCACAACUGCCCUGCUUAUAAUGUUACACUCGGUUGGAGGAAUUGACCGAUGCAAGAUGCUCACUCCUGAUGAGAUGGCCAAAGAGAGUCAGGUUUUGGCUGUUAAGUUUUUCGAGGAGUUUGAUGCUCCAGCGUAAGCCAAGGGUUGCAGGCCUUAACAGUUUGCUAAAACACUGUUUUUUAUGUUUACUUGUUUAUUUUCUUCUUUUCCUUUAAAGACUUUGUUGAAUUUAUCCCAUGCUUAUUCAUUGGCCAUGCAAACCAUUUUCUAAUUUACGUAUGUUAACAUAUAAGAGUUUUAAGUGAGAUAUUCAUGGAAGGAAUGUAAAUUGAGGAGUUAAAUAAGGUCCCACAACGUUGUGGAAAUACUAUUACGGAGAUUGUGAGUAAUUACGUCCAAACCCUUGUAAGUAGAUGUGAAAAUAUCUAGCAAAAUCCUGCGAGCUGCAAUAUGGACCACUCGUUGUUUCCCGCGCGAAGAAAGCAUUUAAUGCAGAGAUGUGUGAUAGAUCUCAUUGACCUCUGCGCCAUAUCGCUAUAUGUCCGUAUGUAUAUGUUAUACUGCUCAGUUGCUCCGCUAUAUAAUGUAUUAGCAGCUUGAGCCCAUAACAUGCCAUUGUUAGACCUGCAAACAGAAAGUAUGAGAGAAAAAAAUUUAGGUCGUGCCAACAAAACUACAGAAGUCAAGUUUCGUGCGAGGAAACAAGGUAGGACCACUGUAUCUAGCUUUGUUUGUGCGUUUAUGUCGCUGUCUCUUUUGGUUAUGUUCUUGACAGUGAACAUGUAGCUUUAAAUGCAGAUCUCUUAAGUUUUCAUUCCUCGGACCAAAAUAAAUGCUUUGUUGCUUUAAUUUUAGAGUAAAUUUCAUGGUCGGUUUAUAUAUGGAUAUAGUACUAAAGCUUUGUCAUGCUUCUAUUUCAGGAAAAGUAAAAUGGGUUAUAUGGUGAAAUAUUCUAGAGGAGUGUGGAACCGAUCUCCGAAUGGUGAGUGGGAUUUCGAGACCGACACCAACGACAGAGGAUACGGACUAAUGGUGACCGAACAGGAAACCUUUGAGUCACUAGACGGAAUGAUGGGAGCCCGGUUCAGUCUUCAUCCACACACGAUGAUGGCAAUGACUUAUCAACUCCCAACAAGCUCGUCUGUGCCUCAAGGACGCAAGGCAGCCCCUUUCGACAUCAUCAACAAUGGUGAUGUCGACCUCUUCAUGGCUUUGCACAUCGAAGUGGAGACUCUCGCCAUUUGUGUGACCAUAGGAGAAGAGAAUGUUCAGCGUUACCUUUCAAUGCAAAGGAUUACUGAUCAAGUUACCGUUCCGCCUCUUGGCUUUAUCCGUACAAAUCAGGCGUUAUUAGGUAACCUUUCUGGUUACAUCGAUAAACUUUUUAUUAGCGUUUAAAUAAAAAGGUUAACUGACGAUACUUUUGGUGGACUUGGCGAUGUUAACAACUUUUGUGAAGGGCUCAUCAAGGGACCGACCGUGCAAAUUGCUGAAAGUGUCUUCCACGAGAUCUUCACGGAGGACGAGCAGUGUGUCAUCCUGGAUGCCCAUAACGCACUCACUCAACUGGAGGCUUCUCGUCGACCGGCGGGAAGAGAUGAUGGCAGAUCAACUAAGUCCUCCUCAGCCGAGUUCGACCUUCUCCUCCCGGAAACGGGGUUAUCGAACUCUAACCAUGGGAUAAUACUCGGGGACCCCAUCCCCACCGACGCUGAUAAAGGGAAAACAAAAAUGGGCACAGAAGCUGACGACGGCCCUUUCCUCGGUUUGACUAUGACUUGCGCCGGUGAAGGCAGCAACCAGCCGGCACCGCCGGUGAUGGUGGAGGAGGAGGAACUAUCCGAUGAUGAGGGCGACUACAUUUGUGAGUAGAUAUUUGGUGAAAGUCACAUCUCGUUAUAGUUCGAUAUAUGUCUUGUUAGGUGUAACGUUUGGUGAUAUUGUGUAAAUUUAGUUGUGGACAUGUGAACAACUUUGUUAGCUUGUGCUUACAUCUGUUAUAACUUUGUUAGCUUGUGCUUACAUCGCUAUAUGUCUCCGAAUGAUGAGUGGGUUUUGGCUGUUAAGUUUUUCGUAAGACAUUUAUUUUUAUGUUUACUGUUUGAUUUUCUUCUUUUCCUUUAAAGACUUUGUUGAAUUUGUCCAAUGCUUAUUCAUUGGCCAUGCAAACCAUUUUCUAAUUUACGUAUGUUAACAUAUGUCGAUUAUUUAAAAUGUAGGUCUAUAGCAAAAUUAAAUGAUAAGAUAACUUGUUUUUUAAACCGGAAAUCAGAAUGUUAGACCAAUAGAGUAAACCAACAUCAGCCAAUUUAUACGUUAGAGUGGUUAUGGCAAUGUUAACUUGAAAUUUCUAUGCCUACGUCUGGUUGUUUUUAGGGCGAUGGAAUAUCAACAACUAGAUAAAAAAGUGGACAGGCAUAGUAAACAACAAUACUUUAUAGCAGGGGCGACAGAAUAGAUCAUCUUACAAACAUAUUUUACAGAAACUUAGAGAGGAGUUUGCUUGGGUUCAUUAAUACACGAAACAUAUUAAAAACAGAAAGUAAUUGAAACCGACAUAGUGUCGGUUUAUGCAGCUCAACAAAAAGGAACCAACUGCAUGGAAUCCAUUGCCUCCAUUCAUCAUCCCCAUAGCUAUAUCGGCAUCUUACAAGAGGCGCGGUUAUGGCCGAAGCUACCACAUCGACCACAGAUGUUUAAACGCCUCGGUAAUCCACCCUGUAACAACGUAAUACGAAUGUUAGUUUACUAACUCUGACAGCUACACGGAUAAACAGAAUGAUAAGCGAGUCGAUAAUAAAAAUACCCCAAAUUCUCCACGAGAGCGGAUGCGCGUUUUGCGAGGCUUCCCAGGCGGGCGGCGGGUGUUAGGUGGCUUCAGGUUAAGAGAUGAGAAGAGUUGGCGCAGACAUUGUUACGUGGUAGAUGCUGCACUCGUAUGCCUUGUUCCAAAAAGCUGUGGUGUAUUCAAUUCCAACCAAUGAGUCAACCCUUGUCUCAGAUCUCAACGCUGCGACUAUAGCAUGGCAGCAAGGGAUCCGCAACAUCUGGAAUUCAUGACAGCUGCAUGCCUGCGUCUCCAGGUUAACCAAGAAAGGAACACCCUCUUUGUUCCGGACCUCGAAUUCAUCUUGAUUUAUCCGACGGAACAAAAACUCUGUUGACAGUUCAAAGUUAGUAGCUAGGAUCUCCUCUACCUUUGGGGUUAGCGUGUUACUUGUCUCCGAAGCAAGGGUACGACGAGUGUUAAACCAACCCAUCAUAGUUGCCCUAAUGUACUCGAUCAAUGGCACAAUUGGGUAAUCCCGUGCAGCUGCGAGCACAUUGUUGAGGGAUUCAGCUACAUUGCUGGUCAUGAUGUUGUACCGGAGACCGUUGAAGUGAGCCCUUGUCCAAUGUUCGAAUCCAAUAGCUGUCAAAUAGUCAGCACAACCUGAGUCCACAGCUCGAAUUUGGUCAAAUAGUUCAUAGAAUUGGGAAGGUAUGUAAGCUCUCGCAGCUUGAGACACCAAAUAGCUGAGAUGCUUCUUCUUGAAGAUCGCUUGGACGUUACGCUGGAGAUGCACAACACACGCAGAGUGCUGUGCCAUUGGAUACACCUAAUCACAUUGAUACAGCAUUUUUAGCCUCAAGCCACUUAUCACUAGUAUUUAGGACGCUAACACUAUGGGUACACAUUUAAAAGGUUUAUCAACGAGAAGCAAUUAUCUCAUUAUCAAAAAACACGUGCAUCACAAGCAGGCACUUAUAUGUUUCGUUAAGCAAAAUAUAUAUUAACGUGAUAACAUAUUUGUUAUCAAUGGUAUAAGACACUAACAAAAUGAGAACACAUAUUAACGCGAAGCAAACAACUUACCACCAAAAUAUUUAUCCAUAUACACGAACUAUUAACGCGGUAUUAUAUGUGUUAACGCACCAUUAAUAUGAAACAAACAACUCAUUAUUAAAAGACCCAAACAGGUAGUUAGAUGUUUCUCCAACUACACCAACUAUUAUCGCGAUACUAUAAUUGUUAACACACCAAUAAAUAAAAUGCAUAUAUAAAACUGCAGAUUAAAGUGUAAUACCUUACGCAGGCCGGCAUAGAUCGAGUUAUGCCGGUCAGACACAAAAACGAGAUCAUGGCUGUCCGGCACCACCUCCUGCAACUUCCGGAAAAACCAACUCUAUGCCUUGUCAUUCUCUCCAUCCACUAUCCCAAAAGCCACUGGGUAAAGCUGGUAAUUUCCGUCUUGACAACUCGCGGUGAGCAGGCAGCCUGUGUACUUUCCUUUAAGGUGGGCGCCGUCGAUUAUGAGGACUUUGCGCAUAUAGGGAUAACCAUUGAGGCAUGCCCCCAAGGUGAAGAACAGAUAUUUGAACCUUUGGCCCACUCCCUCAUCGUAAUCCGUUUCUAGGGAAACAACUGUUCCGGGGUUUGACAUAACCAAGCGCUGUAGGUAGAUGGGUAGCACCUUGUAAGAAUUGCCAGCAGUUCCCAACCCUGUGUCCCUUGCUAAAUCUCUAGACCUCCACGCCUUCCAGUAUGAUAUUGGGACGUCAUGAUCAUCACGCAUAAGCUCCCGUAGUUCAUUAGGUCGGGGUCCGACACCACCGGCGUAUUUGUUUUUGAACAAAUCUCCAAUCACACUUGUCUUAGCUUGCACAUGAAAGCGGCCACGCUCGUCAAUGGUACAGUUGUGGUCAAUCCGGGCACGUCUGAUCUGGAACCACUCUAUCCCUUCCAUCCUUACAGCGUACACCCUCCAUGGGCAGUUUUGCCCGACACAUUCCAAGUCCAUCCUGCUUGGUGUCGAUUUUCGGGUAAAGUAUUGGAACUUUUUGGCCAUGGCAUAUAAUGACAUAUGGAGCUUGAACGCGUCUUGGUCUCUGAACACCAUCCCCACGUAGAGGACGCCUGGUUUGUUAACACCAUCCCCUAUAAAGUAUAAUACGUAUGUUAGCUAGGCACGUUGACUGUUGGAGAUCUAACACAUAAGUUAGCGAGUAUAUAAGUAAAGCGAUACCGAUAUAGUCACACUCUUCGUCAGACAUGUCAUCGUCUUCCGAGUCAUGUUGUUUAGGGUUGACACAACUAGGACCUCCAUUGCAAUGCAUAGACAAACCCAAGAACGGACCCUCGUUGAUAUCUUGGCCGAUUUUAGUUUUGCCUUUAUCAGUCAGGCUAUUGGCUGGCCUCUUCCCCUCACUUGUUGAGCCCAACGAAAUCGCCGAGUUAGCAAGCCCUGGUUUGGUAAAAUAUUCGAUAAGCGUUAGUCAUGUAUUUGGAGAUGCACAUGAAUAACAUACCCGCUAAUGAUAUGCGUAGAUCUCUACCUUCACAUGUUAGAGGUCGUAUGGAGAGGUGUUGAACCCCUGAUGUAACUCCGGACGGCUGUAUAACGGUGUCAGGGUUGCCGUCUACAUUUCCGAUAGUUGUGAUGUUCAAGCUUGUAUCUGGGAGCAUCAAACACAGAUCCCCCGAGGAGUUGCUAGUCGAGCUGUGUCCCCCACCCACGGGCACCCCGUAAGAGGACUCUAUGCGGGUCAUAGCCUCAUGUAUCUCCUCCAGGAAUCGCCUCUCCUCGUCCGUGAAAAUUUCUUUUGCGACACCAUCUGCUAUAUGGAAUAUAGGACCCUCGACAACCCCUUCCCAAAAAAUUUCAAUCGUCAAGUCCACCGCAAGUCAUAUCAGUUAACUUUUCUUGUUUGACGUUAACAAAAUGAUUACCGGUACACGCAGGGAAUGAGCGGGGCAAAGUUGGCUGAACACCUUCAAACCCCGGCGGUGGACCUCCAACAGUCAGGUUGCGUCGCUUCUGAAACUUAUAACGCUCGACAUCAUAAACCCCGAGAGUCACAUAGAUUGCAAGUGAAUCAAAAUCAACUUUGACGGCCAUGAAUAGCUCCACGUCCGCCGUGGUUGCGAUGUCCUGUGGCGCAGCUUUUUUUCCCAAAGGACCCACCAUAGCCUCCGGUAGUUUGUAGGUCAGCGCCAUCAUUUCAUACCUUGGAAUUUUGUAGCGCUCCCUCACCAUUCCGUCCAGCGACUCAAACGUUUCGUUUUCUUGCACUAUCAUCCCGUACACAGUCUCCACUGAAUCUUCUUGAAAAUCCCAUUCCCCAUUCGCGGUUUUCUUCCACACUCCUUGAACAAAGCUUACAACACGGCCCAUUUUUCUGGCUGGUUACCGAGAAAACAAAACUGUUAGAGACCACAAUAGGAUGUAGACACAUUCAUAACGAGUCAAACACUAGUUUUUAGUACAUAAUCACUAACACAUUUACUAGACUAUCACUGGUAACAUUAAAGUUGUACGAGGAUUCAAUAAGUGUUGUAAUAAAAGCAAUCUUUCCAGAUAUACAACCCAACAAUAAAUGUAGGACCUCCAUUACAUAUGGUCUAAGAGCACGUGAUCUUACCUUCUUUUGGAUGAGAGUCAACUAUUUCUUCAAUGGAAACUCUGGAUUUAUCUGCUUUUACUCGGUGCGUUUUUUUUCUCUUGAAGUUUAACAGCGACGUUUCUCAAUUGACAACGAUAACUCCUUAUAUAGCAGGUUAACAAACCCUAGUGUCCUAUACUUACACGCAUACAUCGCAUAUAAGCCCAAUUGUCGAAGCAAUCUUCAGCAUAUCCUUGCAUUUAAUGCUUCUUCGGCGGGAAAAAAAUAUGUGGCCCUCGUUUACGCAGGAAUAUCGCCUCUAGUCUAUCAAAUAUCUCUAGCCACCCUAUAGAUUGUACUUACCGUCAGAAGCCUCUGUUCAUGUCUGGCAUUGGCAAAAUAUCGGGGGGUAAAAAAGUCAUUGCCAAUGACCAAGAACACAGUGUUAAUAUUUGUUUGUGGGCCCUUGGUCAUUUUCCUAAUUUCGUUGCUCAUUUGGUUUAUUUACCUAAUUCACUCUUUUUUUAAUUUCAAAACGUCAUCGUUUUAUAAAUAUAUGUCUAACGGAGAUUCCAGCGUGGCAAGUGACUCAGCUCCGUUAACAAUUUGAUGGAGUUGACUAACGAUUAAAAAGUCAAUGUAUGUUUUGGCCAAAAAAAUUGAGUUCAGGUUUGAAUAAUCAUAUUAUUAAUAGUUCAGGUAUGUGUAAGCACAUUAAAAUUGUACAGGUACUAAUCGGUACCAUUACAUGUAGUUGAGGCAUUAAUAAGCCGCUUUCCCGUUGAAUAAAUUAUUUAACAGUUGAAUAAACAACCAUUGUAACUAGUCUUAUAGGAAAUUCUCAAUAGGUGAAAAUUCCUCAGACUAGCCUUUAAGGUUGAUGUAUUGACAAAUUUAGCCUAACAUAUUGAUCACCUUACUAGACUAACCUUAGAAAGUUGGUGUUAUACCAUUUUGUCCAAAUAAUCAAUAUUAUUACGAAAAUGCCAUUUAUGAUAAUUAAUAAUUAAAUAAUUUUGAUUUUUUAAUAUUAAUAAUAAGAAAAAAAACCCUAAUUUUUGCGGGAGAGGUGAUUCUACGACUGUGAAAACGACCGUCGUGAGGCGAUUUCGGUGGUGGUGAAGAGCUUGCCGACGAUAACUUGGCAGCCUCCCUUUUUCGCAGCUUUCUCUUCACAGCUUUCCUAUUGUUUCGCAGAUCCACACAGAUAUUGCUUCAAUCGCCAUUCAGAAACUUGUUCAGGUUUGUUUUUUCUCAUAUAUCCAAAUUUUUCUUAUUUUUUCUUCUUUCUUCUUCGUCUUCCUCUUUCCCUUGGUCUUCUUCUUUCUGUUUGGCGGAGGAGGAGUUUUACUUUAGGUGUUAGAGAUGUCGGAAAUAUUGGCACGACUCUUAAGCGACGUUCUCGCUGCAUUGCGCACAACCGUACUGGACAGAUGUUGUUUCGAAGAAAUGGUGGUGUCCCGGAGGUUGUCGGCGGCGUAAGUUUUUUUUCUGUAAAACCCGCAACCCUAAUUUUUUUUGUUUCAGGUAAGUUUGGUAGAUAUAUUUGGAAAACGAUAAGUAGUUUGGUAGAUUUAUUGUAUUUUUUUGUUGUAAAGUUCAUAACGUGUGAUUGUAGAUUUAUUUGAAAAACAGUAUGUAGUUUGGUACGUAGAUUAUUAGUUAUUUGAUGGUAGAUUUAUUUGAAAAAUGGUAUGUCGUUUGGUAAAUUUAUUAACCAUCUGAUGAUAGACUUAUUUGUAAAUCGAUGUGGUUUGGUAGAUUUAUUAGUCAUUUGAUGUGAAAAAAAUAUGUGUUUGGUAGUUUUAUUAGUUAUUUAUGGUAGAUUUAUCAGUCGCAUAUAUUUAAAUUUUAGGAAGGAUUACUACACUAACUUUAGAAAGUAUCUAUAUUACUUGUUUGGCGCACUUUUAUUUUUUUUACAAAACUAACCUAGCAUAUCCAAAACACCCUUUUGACCUUUGUUAAAAAAAACAUAAUUACAAAAAUGCCAUUACUUUUUUAAUGCCACGUAGGCAAAAUAUAACGCUGAAAAUUUGAUAAGUCUACCAGGCUUUGACGGUAGACUUAUCAAAUUUUGGUCAACGCAAAAAUUUUGUCGGUCGAGUUAUUAGGUCGAUGGUAGAUUUAUUCGAGAGUUGGUAGAGUUUACAAAUGUUGGUAGACUUAUCUCGGUAGAGUUUUGAUGAUGAGAGGUAGAUUUAUUAUGUUUUGGUAGAUUUGUUGUUAUGAAUGGCAGAUUUGUCAAACGUGUUGGUAGAUUUGUUAAAGAAAGUGUUGACUUUGUCGCAUAGUUGACUUUAUCGGUAGAUUUAUUGACAAUGAGGUAGAUUUAAUUUCUAAGUUGGUAGACUUAUGUCCUUUGGCAGUAGACUUAUGUGAAAAAAAUUGUCAAUAUGUGACGGUAGAUAUAUUUGUUUCAUGGUAGAGUUAUAUUUAGUUGGUAGAUUUUUUGCUUUUGUGGUAGAUAUGUUUGUUUUGUGGUAGAUUUAAAUUCAAGUAAAAUUCCUUCCGGUGAGUGGUAGAUUAUUUGUUACAUGAGGUAGACUUACAAAAUGUUGGUAGAUUUAUUUGUUUUGUGGUAGAUAUGUUUGUUGUGUGGUAGAUUUAAAUUGAAAUAAAAUUUCUUCCGGUAAGUGGUAGAUUAUUUGCUACAUGAAGUAGACUUACAGAAUGUUGGUAGAUUUGUUUGUCAGUUUGGUAGAGUUUAUGUAAUCUGAUAGAGUUAUUGUACGUAUGGUAGACUUCUUAUAAUAAUCAUGUGGUAGAUUAAUUAAGUUUGGUAUUUACAAAGAUAACCUCGAUCUGGUAGACAUAUGAGGUGCUUAUGGUAGACUUGUUUCUAUGGUAGAGUUAUUUUCCAUGCUUGAGGUAGACUUAGUUGUUAAUGUUUGGCAGACAUUUGACUUUUUGGAUUGAAAUUACCUUUUUGUCCUAAAUAUAUUCUCCUAUAUACGAAAAAACCAGCGGUUUGGUAGACUUGUUUUGGAAUGUUGUAUGUUAAACAGGUUUCGUACAUAUGGUAGACUUGUUCCAUGGCUAUAUUUGACUUGGUUUUGUUACCAUUAGCGUUUUCUUUGCAUGAGUUUGCUAAGAUUAUGUCGGUUAACUGUUCUUUACGAUAUAGAUGCCAUAAUCAAUGAUCAAAAAUUUCUAACAUGAAUAUUUUUUCUAUGAUAUAUCUUUUCUCUAUGAUAACUUUGCUUUUCAUAUUAACUUUGAACAUAUAUGUCAUAUUUGUAAUAACCAUCUCUUAACUUAUGAUCUUUUGAUUUUCAUUUUUGAAUAUUUGUUACAUUUAACUCUAUUUACAUAAACUUUUAUAACAUCACAAUGUCAAAUGAUUUCAGUUAUGAUAUAUAUCAUAAUGAAAGUAAAGAAAUAAAUUAAAUUGAAUAAUAACAUUACUAGCAAAUGUGAUAAAAAAUGUGAAAUGUCUGGAUCAAUGUUUUACGACAAAUAUAAUUUGAAAACAAAAAUAUUAUCAUUCAAAAUCUAAUUAUCAUUUUUACAAAUUCAAAUAUAGAUAUACCAUCAAUUUAAUAAUAAAUCUACCAUCAUUUCAAAACAAAUCUACCAAAUGUAAAUCUACAAUUCAUAGUAAAACAUGUCGGAUCGGUGAUGGAUAUCCCAUCGAAGAUUUGUUCACCAUGGCAAAGCCCAUAAUCUGUCAGAAAAAAAUAAACAAAUAUUGUUAUUCAUAUAUAAAAUUCAAAUAUAAACGACUGAUAAAUCUACCAUAAAUAACUAAUAAAUCUACCAAACACAUAUCAUUUUUCAAAUAAGUUACCAUUAAAUGACUAAUAAAUCUACCAAACCACAUCGUUUUACAAAUAAGUCUAUCAUUAGAUGACUAAUAAAUCUACCAAACGACAUCGUUUUUUAAAAUAAUUUUACCAUCAAAUAACUAAUAAAUCUACCAAACCACAUUUCGUUUUCUAAAUAUAUCUACCAUCAAAUAACUAAUAAUCUACCAAACUACAUAUCGUUUUUCAAAUAAAUCUACCAUUUCACAUUAUGAACUUUACAAUAAAAAAAAUACAAAAUCGAUUUCCAAAUAUAUCUACCAAACGUACCUGAAAAAAAAAAUUUAUGCCGCCGACAACCUCCACAACACCACCAUUCCAUCGAAACAACGUCUAUCCACUGCGGUUGUGCGCGACGCGGCGAGAAUGCUGCUUAAGAGUCACCGCCAACCGCCACAUCUCCAUAGUUUAUUGUUGAUAUUAGAUCCAAAAACCCAGAUCUAGAAAAAAAUCAAAGAAUUCGAAAAAAUGAAAAAAAAACUCACAUAAUAGCAGAAUGAAUUAUAGAAACCAUAGGAAGAUCUAGAUCUCCGAGCUUGAAAACGUUGGAGGCUUCUUGAUACAAAAAAUCGGUAGAACUAGUUGUGUUUUUCUCGAUCUGAAACAUCGAAGCUUUGAAGUUCAUAAAGAAUACGUAUUCAUACAACAAAAUUUAACAAAACAAAAGAAAAGAUAAAGAAGAGAGCAAGAGAGGAAUGAAAAGGUUAAGAAGAAGAGCAAUUCCAUGGGAGAAAAAAAAUGGCGCAGAAGAAAGAGAGAGAGAAAAAGAUGAAUUAGGGUUUAUUUUUUUUUUUUAGUUUUUGGUUUUGUAUUUUUUUUUUUUUUGCUUUUUUCGUUUUAAAAAAAAUGUUUUUUUUCGUCAAAAAAAAUUUCGAUUUUUUAAAAAGUUUUUUUCGAAAUUAAAGUUUUUUCGAAAAAAAAAAUUUAUAAAAAAAAAUCAUAAUGACAUUUUUGUAAUAAUAUUCAACAUCUGGAUAAAAUGGACUUAAACCAACUUUAUAAGGUUAGUCUAGUAAGUCUUUCAAUAUGUUAGGCUAGGUUUGUCAUUUCAUUAACCUUAAAGGCUAGUAUGAGGAAUUUUCACUAAAUUUUAUAUACAAAUGAUGGCAUUUGUUUGUUUUUCUCUGACAGAUUAUGGGCUUUGCAAUGGCGAACAAGUCUCUGAUGGGAUAUCUAACAUCAAUCCGACGUGUUCUACUAUGAAUUGUAGAUUUGUAUUUGAUAGAUUUGUUUUGAAAUGAUGGUAGAUUUAUUAUUCAAUUGAUGGUAUGUCUAUAUUGAAUAUGUACAAAUGAUAAUUAGAUUUUAAAUGAUGAUAUCUUUGUUUUAGAAUUAUAGUUGUCAUAAAAUAUUGACUCAAACAUUUCAUCUUUUUACCAUAUUUUCUAGUAAUGUUAUUAUUCAAUUCAAAUUAUUUUCUUUACUUUCACUAUGAUGUCUAUCCUAAGUGAAUGGAAUUUUAACCAAAACACAUGACUAAAGUCAUUUGACAUUGUGAUGUUCAAGGGUUUAUGUGAAUAGAGUUAAAUGUAACAAAAUAUUCACAAAUAAAAAUCAAAAAAUUAUAAGUUAAGAGAUGGUUAUUACAGACAUAAACAAAGAAGGACAUAAGAUAAAUAUUUAAGUGAACUAAUAGAACAUAUAUGUUCUAUUGAACAUAUAUGUUCAAGGAAUUUUACUUGAAUUUAAAUCUACCACAAAACAAACAUAUCUACCACAAAAGCGAAAAAUCUACCAACUAGAUAUAACUCUACCAUAAAACGGAUAUAUCUACCAUCACGUAUUGAUAACUUUUUCACAUAAAUUUACUGCCAAAGGACAUAAGUCUACCAACUCAUAAAUUAAAUCUACCUCAUUGUCAAUAAAUCUACCGACAAAGUCAACUAUGCGAGAAAGUCAACGCUUUCUUUAAUAAGUCUACCAACGCGUUCGACAAGUCUGCCAUUCAUAACAACAAAUCUACCGAAACAUAAUAAAUCUACCUCUCAUUAUUAAAACUCUACCAAGAUAAGUCUACCAACAUUUGUAAAAUCUACUAACUCUCGAAUAAAUCUACCAUCGACCUAAUAAUUCUACCGACAAAAUUUUUGUGUUGACCAAAAUUUGAUAAGUCUACCAUCAAAGUCUGGUAGACUUAUCAAAUUUUUAGCGUUAUUUUCUGUCUACGUGGCAUUAAAAAAAUAAUGACAUUUUCGUAAUUAGUUUUUUUUUAACAAAGGCGAAAAAAAUGUUUUGAGUAUGCUAGGUUAGUUUUGUAAAAAAAAAUAAAAAUGCGCCAAACAAGUAAUAUAGAUACUUUCUAAGAUUAGUACAGUAAUCAUCCCUUCUCAAUAGUUAAACUCUGUUUAGAUGUCACAUUAGCUGGUGAGGUUUGUUUGAUACUCCUUCUUAACUGUAUUUUUUGUAUUUUUUUUUUGUCCUUAUAAAAUACUACCAAGUUGCCAACACAAAAAAAAAAAACAAUUUUUUGUUUUAAAACAAAUCAAACGUUGGGUGUCUAUGGCGAAUUUCCUCUUUUCUUCAUGCUGCUGUUGUUGAAAUCGCAUUCGAAUUCCGAAUCAAUUUGAAUUGUAAGAUUUUCAUUCGCUACACUCUAAUCACUGAAUUUUUUUGUUCUUCUUCCCAAUUUCGAAUAUCCGAUCGCCUUUAAACUGGGAAUAAUAUUUCUUCUUCGACGCUACCUGCUCAUUCCUGCGCCGUCGAUAUCGAAAUUAGGGUUUUUUCUUUUUUUUUUCUUUUGUCUCGCCUAGUGGGUAAUUUGGGUUUGUGAUAAGAAAAAUGGUGUCAUCGUUCAUACGUGAAGGGUUUUGUAUAGAAUGUUAAUUUCAAUGAAUAUAUGCGGAAAGCUUAUAACUUUCGCCAAAAGGUUUGAUCUUACCUCAAAAUAUGAUCUUUAGUGUAUUUCAGCGAAUUCAAUUGGAGAAAAUUUCUCCCUUUUUUGCAGAAGGUUAGAGUUGAUAUUGACUUUGCAUUGAAUGUUAAUUUCAAUGGAUAUAUGGGGAAAGUUAAUCACUUUCGCCAAAAACUUUGAUCUUUACCUCAAAAUAUGACCCUAAUAUAUUUCCGGCGAAUUUGAUUGAAGAAAGUUUUUCUCUUUUUUCGCAGAAGCUUGGAGUUGAUAUUGACUUUAUUGGUGGUGCAUGAAGCUAUUUCUUAUAAGUUAAUAGAAAUUGGGAAAGAUUUGGGAUCAAUAUAUAUAUAUUUACUAUAAGGUGGAGCUACGAAAUGUUGCGUUUGAGUAGUAUUGGAUUCGAUAUCUCAAGAAGUUUCAUUCAUCUUGCUGAGUGGCAUCCUUUGGAAUAACGAAGCUUCUCGGGCUUUGAAGCCCUCUUUUUUGCAGAGUAAGAUUUGUGGUUGCUUUUAGUUUUAAUCUUUAGGGAAGUAGAUUUUCUCUCGAAUCAGGUUUGUGAUUAUGGCUUCAAUGUUUCUUACAGGUUUUCGGAAUUCCUAGCUUUUCAACAUACUAGAGAUUUCAUUUUUGUUUUGGAGUAGAUAAUGUUUCGUGAUAGCUUCUCAUUUGCCCAAGCGAUGGGUUGCUUUGGGUGCUUUGGUUGCUCUGAGAGAUCAAGACAAUCACUAAAACCAUACGAUGAUGAUGAUACGUAUUCCAAUGAUGGUGAUGUAACCAGCUAUGCUGGAGGAGAUGAAGAAGAAGAAGAAAUAGAUGAAGAAGAAGAAGAGAAAGUAGUAGAGCAGCAGAGCCGUUCCAAACGUUCUGAGGAAAUUUUGAAAUAUAAACUACAAAAUGGACUAAUCUGCAGGCGGUUUCUAGUGAAGGAAACUAAUAAACUUAUACGGGGAGAGGUAUGCGACAUUUUUCCCAUGUCCCCAAAGAAACUUAAAUCCUCCUUUAUAUGGUAUAGUGUGUGAAUACCGAAUAUAUUUCGUAUUUGGUUUCCAGGAUGAAGAUGGAAACAAGACAGUUAAUGAGUUUGUUCGUCAGCGUAAAAUUGGAUCUGGAAGCUAUGGGAAAGUAGUAAGUGUGAAAAAACGUCUUUUCAAAGCUUAUAUAUGUUCUUUUAGGCGAAUGCUAAACACUUAUAUCUUGGCUUUCUUAAACUUAUUUCCUUAUGGAUAGGUAGUAAAUAAAGAAACUAGUUUCCUAUGCAUGGAUAAAAGUGAACAAAAAUGGGUUAUAGAAUCCAUAACGUUGUUGUUUGUAUGUAUAACAGGUUCUAUAUCAAAGCACUGUCGAUGGAAAGGAUUAUGCUAUUAAGGUAUACUCACCACUUGUGAGCUUAACUUUGUAUUGCUGGUCUUCUGUGACACUGUUCACUGAAGAUCACCACGACACAGAUUAUAGAAAUAUUUCUUUAGUUGAUCACAUAAUGCAACUAAAUUUUUUGGACAUGUGGUGAUUAUAUAUUUGGAUUUCCAGGCUUUUCACAAAUCACAUUUGUUAAGGCUACGGGUUGCACCUUCAGAAACUGCUAUGGGAGAUGUUCUUCGUGAGGUAUCUCAUAUAUUUCUUUUUAUUUAUCUUAACAACACCCAACUUGGAGGUAAUUUCCCAUGUUGCCUUUUUUCAGAUUCAUGCCAAAAAGACUUGUGUAACGGGUUCCAUGUUUUUGUAUCUCAUCAUUAUAGGUUAUGAUAAUGAAAAUCCUGGAGCAUCCUAAUAUAGUUAACCUCAUUGAGGUUAUUGAUGACCCUGAGACUGAUCAUUUUUACAUGGGUAUGUCUUUCCCCUCUUUUGUUUGUCACUUCAAUUCUUUCUCUUUAGGGGAAAUUUCUUUCAUCUGAUUCUGUGUUGUUGCGUCUUGUCUAUAGUUCUUGAAUAUGUUGAUGGGAAAUGGGCUUAUGAUGCUUCUGGACCACCGGGUGCUCUCGGAGAGAAUACUGCUAGAAAGUACUUGCGGGAUGUAGUUGCUGGCCUCAUGUACCUUCAUUCUCAUGUACGAUCUUCACUCUCUAACGCUUCUUCAUCCAACACUUUCGUUUUAUCCGAUAAGAGACAUGAUUAUCGCCUUGUUUACAGAAUGUAAUUCACGGCGACAUUAAACCGGACAAUUUGCUGGUUACUAGUACCGGGACAGUGAAGAUAGGAGAUUUCAGUGUAAGCCAAGUAUUCAAGGUACUGAGAAUCCCAUCUUUGGUCUUUGUCAAACAUCAGCAUUAGUAUCUUCAAAUCUGUAAACAUGAUACGUUAUGGUGCAGGAUGAUGAUGAUCAACUACGUAGAUCUCCUGGGACUCCUGUCUUCACUGCCCCAGAAUGUUGUUUAGGUAUAACAUACAGUGGCAGAGCUGCAGACACAUGGGCAGUGGGAGUUACUUUGCAUUGUAUGAUAUUAGGACAGUACCCGUUUCUUGGUGAUACACUUCAGGAUACUUAUGACAAGGUUUCCUUCUCUCUCUCUCUGCUGCUUUUGUUUACAGAUUUUGAAUAAAGCAAGCUGUCUUAAAUCUUGUUUUCUUACGAAUAAUGCAAGAUUGUUCACAACCCGUUGAUAAUACCGGAAGGACUGAAUCCUCAGCUCAAGGACUUGAUCACAGGUCUACUUUGCAAAGGUGAGUUCUUAUCAGUUUGCUAUGAGUUUGAAGUUGAAAUAAAAGUUAGGCCUUUUUGUGAAUAACGUGGCUCAAAGCUGCUCACUUGUGUUAGACCCAAACAAGAGGAUGACGUUGAAAGCUGUGGCGGAGCAUCCAUGGGUCACUGGAGAAGAUGGGGUUGUCCCGGAGUACUUUUGUUGGUGCAAACGCAAAGCUCAAGAAGAAGAAGCACAUAAUGGGAUUGAAAUGGUAGCUGAGAUUGCAGAUUCUUAACCAAAGACCAGUUUACGUGAAAACUUGGCAAACAUAUCGUUUUGUCUGUUCAAAUCCCUUUAGGCGGGUCGAAGCGAUUGCGUUUAUGUUGUAUGUAAGAGAGUUCCUUAGAGAGACUUCUCUUGAUUGUUAUUUGUUUUUCCUCUUUUGUUGUUUUUACUUUUCUUUCUUUUUGGUUAUAUUUUUUUUUUCUAUAUAUAAAGAUAACCUGUUUGCCUGUUUGGGUCAUUGGGUGGAAAACAACAAUAUGACGUUUAUUAUAAAUCUCUUUUGGGAUGGGCUAAAUUUUAGAGUACAUGGACUAGUAGUUAAAUUUUAUCAUAUAAUAGUAGUUUGACAAAUUUUAUCAUAUUAAUAGUAGUUUGAUAUGAUUUUUAUUUGAUUGUUUGAAAAUAUAAUAAUAGUUUGGAUUCAUUUGUUUUUUAUUUUUGAGUAUAUUUGUUUGUUAGAUUUUCUUACAUUUUAAUGUUGGAAGAUAUGAUCGUAAAAACAAUAUAGAAUAGAAGAGAGUAAAUAAAAAUAUAGUAGUAUCCAAAUAAUCUUAUUUUAUAUAUAAAAGUUGUUCAACUUUCUCCAUAUAAUUGACACAUUAAUAUUGAAGAGGUUGACACCUGUCUUUAAAUUUUAAUUAAUAAAAUUUAGUAUUAAAUUUUAAAACACUUAAAGAAUAUGAAAAGUUUGUUUUAUUAACUGACUCUUAAUUAAAAUUUAUAUUAAUGUUAAACAACAAUUUAUGUUAUAACUAAUUAAAAAUAUUGAUAGAUAUAUAUUUAAUUUUUAUAUAAUUGUAGAUUACUUAAUAAUAUUUAGAUUACUUAAUAAUAUUCAAGAUGUAUUUUAAAUUAAUUUUUUAAAUUAUUUAUAAUAAAAUACUGACCAGUAACAAAUGAAAUGAUGAUUAUAUUAAUUUUAUUUUUUUAAUUAAUUGAUUAUCAAUUAAUAUUUCUGUAAAUGUUAAACAAAAAUUUAUGUUAUAACUAAUUAAAAACAUUGAAUGAUAUUUAUUAAUCUUAAUAUAAUUUUAAAUUAUUAAAUAAUAUUCAAUAUGUAUUAAUAUUUUAUAAUUUUUUAGAAUAAAAUAUUAACAAGUAAGUAAGUAACAAGUGAUGAUUAUAUUAAUUUUUAUAAAAAUAUAAAAAAAGUUUGAAAAUUUUGAAAAGAAAAAUCUGCACGUAAUGUGCGGGUAUUCACCUAGUUUAGUUUAAAUAGUUUUAAGACCUUUUGAUCAUUGUUCUAUGUAUUUUAGACCUAAUUUUUUGAAGGUUUGUAUGAAUUUAUUCGAUUUGAUCAUUGUUUUAUGUGUUUUAAACAUUACAAAUACCAUCAUUCCAUUAGUUAGAUACAUAUAUAUAUAUAUAUAUUUUUUUUUUUUUUUUAAUUUUUUUGUUAGACUUUUUAAAAAAAAUUUUUUUUUGUUUUGAAACGACAUUCCAUUAAUUUUUAAAAGUUUCCAUUUUUUGUUUCUUUUAACAUUUUUGUUAGAAUUUUUUUUUAAAUUUCAGAAAUAUAAGAAAUGGUAAACACUCAGAAUUAAGAAAUAUAGAUUCUAUUUUUUUUAUAAAAAAAACAUUUUUGUUAAUUUUUUUAAAAUUUUGGUUAUAUACAAUUUUAAAAACGGUUUGAUUGACUAUGCAAUUAAACAUUAAACCAUAUUUAGACCAGUUUUUUUAAAAGUUUUUUUUACACAUAAUCAGAUAAUGACACGUUUUUAAAAUUUUAAAAUGACACAUAAAUUGCAAAAUAGGGUUAAACGGUCUGUUUAUAGCCGAAAUUCAUUUUUGAGCUGACAUGUAAGCGAAAAGCUCUGAAACUCGUUGUAAAACAUUUUUUAAAAUUUUUUUCUAAAUUUCAGUUUUAUAUAAUUUCAAAAACGACAUUCUAUAGCUUUUUAAAGAGAUUCUAUUUUUUGUUUCUUUUAACAUUCUAAAUUUUGGAAACAUAAUAAAUAAUAAACACUAAGAGAUAUCAUAUUUUAUUUUAAAAAAAAAACUUUUUUUUAAUUUUUUCUAAAUUUUGGUCUUAUGUAAUUUUAAAAACGGUUUGGUUAACUAUGAAAUUAAGCAUUAAACCAUAUCAAUUUAAACUGGUUCGUUUUAAGGUUUUUUUUACACAUCAUCAAUAAGGAACCAAUUAAAAAUGGCACGUAAUUGCUUUUUGCAGCCGAAACUUAUGUUGGAGCUGACACGUAAGCGAAGAACUGUGAAACUUGUUAUGAGUGCGAUACGUAAGCAAAUCUCUACGCAAAUAAGUAUAUAGAUUUGUAAAAUAUCAUGGAUUUUGAACUAAUGUGAAGGACCAAGGAGUCUUUGUGCCAUUGUUGAUCUGUAAGUUUUACAUGUAUUUCAUUAGAAUUAAAUAUUUGUCUACGAGACAAAGCUGGAGCGGGUUUCUUUGUAGUGAAUUGCUCUUAAGUUUUUCAAUCUCUGUGAAUCUUUUUGAAUUUAGGUCUAUUGAUUAUGAAUUAUCGCUUAGGUGUUCAAAAAUUUAGGUUACUAGUUUGAUUUGCGGUGUGGCAAAGAUAUUUUCUCUGUCAUUUUCAUAAUUGAGUAGCAUUUCACCGGAUUUAAAAAAAAAAGUCUCUUCAUUUAGGGUUUAGUUUUUUUUUUUGGGUAGUAGUAGUUAGGUGUUAGUUUUUUUAAUUUCUUGUUAGUUUUUUUAAUUUCUUCGGCAGAUAAUUUCACUAGAUUUUUCACAUUUUCCUUAACAAUUGAUCUAUUUCAUCAAUAGACUUAAUUUUAUAGACUUGUAUUAAUGGUUGCAUGAUUUUUGUGUUGUUUCUCUAAAAUAAUUUUAUUUUCCGCCGGCUUUUAUUUCAAAAAACUAUUAUUUUCCUCGAUUUUUAUUUUCGAAAAAAUUUUGUUUUUUACCGAUUUGGGUUCUAAAUGUCAAUUAACAAAAAAUUACGUUUUUUACUUAAAGAUGAUACAAAGAAAAAACAAUCAAACAAAAAAAGUGAUUUUUAAAUAAAUUAUUUUAUUGCGCAAGAUUAUUUAUACUAUUUCACAGUUACAUAUUCCACAAAAUUGAAACCAAUGAGAGCGAUGGUAUGUUUAAAAUUUCUAAUAAUAAAAUAAAAAUCUCAAGCUAAUGUGAGAGGUCUAGAAAGACGAAAAAUGACCAAAAUCUAACUGAACUAAAUUUUGUGGGCUAAAAAACAAAAUUGUACUAAAAUACGGGGCUAAUUCCCAUCUGAAUGAUAUAAACAUUUGAAUUACCUAUCUUUAACUUAUAACAUCAUGCCAAAACCUAUCUUGACAAUCUAACUGUUAGUCAACACUCACAGAAUGUUGAAAUGACCGACAUGUCACUAUUCCAAUGUGGCAACAGUAAAAAAAAACGUCAUCUUUUAACUAUUUUUAGGAUAAUUCUCACAUAAAUAAAACGGCGUCGUUUUGAUUUAAUUGGGGGAAAUAAAAAUCCCAAAUCGAUUUAGGGUUCUUGACUUGUCUUCUUCGUCGAUAAUGGUUUUAAAGGGAGCUCUAAUGGAAUGUCAAAGAAGAGGGUUCCCUAAGAGAUGUAGGUGCAGAGAAGCUGUCCUUAUGAAGACGUCUGGUAUUGCUAAAAAUCCUGGAAGGCUGUUUCAUGCGUGCCCAUAUGGAAAUGAAGGAGUAAGUAUACUCAUUUUCGGAGCAUUGAUAUAUGUUUGGAUGGAGUGUUUGUUGUCCAUUGAGUUAUGUUUGUAUAUGUGAUAGGAUAAUUGGUAUCAUACGUUCAAAUGGACUGAUACAUGUAUGGUUAAAGAGCUUGAGGACUUGAUAGACAAAGUCGGGAACAUUGAAGAAACUUCAAUGACAUUGCAGAAGGGCUUUAAUGUUUGUGAGUCUGAGAUUGACACAUUGGCUAUGGAGACGUGUAUGUGUGAGGCUGUGGUUGAAAAAGAGGUGGGAGAUCUCACAUUGGAGCUCUGUAGCUUGAAUAAUCUUGUCUGAUUUUGCUUUUGUGAUGUGGUUGGUCUAGUGUGAGAUGUGGAUGUUCUAUUUGCUUUUUCCUUUGUGAUCUUGUUGUAAUGUGAGUCUACAUAAGUGUUUGAGAUAAGCUACUAGUGUCUUAGUCUUUCAAUCUAAUGUUUAUGUUUGGAAUAAUGUUUUGUGUCGUAAAUUUGUUGUUAAAACUGAAUGAUUAGAAAAUGGAUUUUGAUCAAGCAAAAUACGGAUCAAACACAACAUAGAAGCAAGAGUAUCUAAAGCUUCAUACAAGCAAAAUUUUCUGAGCAUAAGGGUUACAAAAAACAGUUGCAAAACAAGGGGCUAAACUUAAAAAAAAAUCAUAUCAUAACAUCAAACAAAAUUCAGUUUAAACCAUGACAAAAAACAGAGAAACAAAGUCAUGAUUUAGGUUCUAAUCAGCUGCCUCUUAUGCUCCAUCCUUUGUGCUCCACAACAUCAUCAUUUCUUCCAUCUUCCCAACACAAAAAAAAUAACAAGGUUGCUAAUACUAUUCUAUACUGUAUUAGUAUUCACUUAAACGAUGGCCCCUUAAACGAUCACACAACUUAUCUAGUCUUGAGUUGGUUGAGUUAGAGUUGGUCCUUCUCCAAAUGAUAGAGUCAUUUACUCGUAUCCAUCUUGUUCUGUCUCUGUAGCCUCAUUUCCAUCUUCUCCCUGGCUCUUCUUUCUGGCAUUUGAUCUCUUACUUGCUUUUUUGCCAUUAUCCACUACCAUAUUCUGACAUUUUGUUACAUUAUGGCUAUCUUCACCACAACAACCACAAUGCAUGAUCUUUUUCUCUCUAGAUGCUUUCUUCUUUAAUGGAGACUCAUGCCUUGCCUUCUUCCUUUUCGGCUUUGGCUUUCUUCCAACUUUGUUCUCAAUUUUUUCAACUAAACUUGGUGGUGGCAGCACCUUUGAUUUUGAUUUUUCCUCAAAUAACAGACCGUUGAGAGGAUUGAUAGAAUUGAUUAACAGACUAUAGAUUUGUUGCUGCCAGGAAUUCAGAAACCAAUGGAAGAUGGGAUCCUCAUGAUUCAGUUUCCUUUCAGCGAUGACACGUAGGGCAUGAUGGCAAGGAAGACCACUCAUGUCUCAUCUACUACACGCACAUGCCCUUAGUCUCAUGUUAACACUUUAACUUACACCAGACUCACACACCUCAUCUCUUGCAUUUUUUCUGGGAAUCAUCACACAAUACUUGAGUUUCUUCUACUCAGCCUCUAUCCACUGUAAUGCCAUUACCAUGAAUCUUCUUUGAUGAUUCACUGCUUCCUUCAUCCUCUUUGGCUUUGGCUUUCUUCCAAUUUUGUUCUCACUUUUUUCAACUAAACUUGGUGGUGGCAGCACCUUUGAUCUUGCUUUUCCUCAAAAUAACAGACCGUUGAUAGGAUUGAUAUGAUUGAUUAAUAGACUAUAGAUUUGUUGCUGCCAGGAAUUCAAAAACCUAUGGGAGAUGGGAUCCUCAUGAUUCAGUUUCCUUUCAAUGAUGACACGUAGACGGCAAUGAAUACCACUCAUGUCCCAUCUACUACACGCACAUGCCCUUAGUCUCAUGUUAACACUUUAGUUUACACCAGAUUCAUACACUUCAUUUCUUGCAUUUUCUCUGGGAAUCAUCACACAAUACUUGAGUUUCUUCUACUCAGCCUCUAUCCAUUGUACUGCCCUAAUCAUGAAUCUUCUUUGAUGAUUCACUGCUUCCUUCAUCCUCUGGUCUAUAUGAACCAUAGUCUUCAUGAGGACAGCUUCUUCACACCUACAUCUUUUAGGGGACCCUCUUCUUUGACAUUCUAUUAGAGCUUCCUUUAAAACCACUAUCGAAGAGACAAAUUCGUGAACCCUAAAUUGAUUUGGAACUUUUAUUUUUAUCCAAAUCAAAACGACAUUGUUUUGUUUAGGUGAAAAUUGUUCUAAAAAUAGUUAAAACGAUGAUGUUUUUUGUACAGUUACCACAUCAAAAUUGACAUAUUGGCUACAUCAGCAUUCUGUGAGUAUUAACUAACGGUCAAAUGGUCAGAAUAGAUUUUGACACGAUGUUAAAAGUUUAGAUAGAUAAUUCAAAUAUUUAUAUUAUCGAGUUUUUGGUCCAAGAAAAUUUAGUUCAACUAGAUUUUGAUACUUUUCUUAUGUACAGUAAAUUACCCAAAUUUUGGCAUCACUAGAUGAAUACCCGCGUGUACACGCGGGUGUUUUGUUUGUUUUAUAUACAUUUUAAAUUUCUAUUUUUCAACAAAAUUAACCUAUUUUAUUUUUGAUAAAGAAAAUAUUAUCCAAAUUUGUAAAAAUAUAGUCAUUAAAUGUGAUUUUUUUGUUUUAAUAUAAUUUAUUAAUAGACAUUUUUUUAUAAGUUUAAUCUAAUUUUUUGUAUUUGGUAAUAUGAAUAUCAUAUGAACUCGUAAAAAUGUAGUCAUUAUUUUUUGUAGAUGUAAUAUUUUUUAUUUUUGCACCUAACCAAAUAUAUCUUCAUUAUUAUUUUUCUCAACCUGUCUUUUUGUUUGUUAGUUAAUUUUUAAUGAUAAAAAUAUGUAUUUUGUAAGACAAAUUUAAUAUCUUUGCCAAAUCGUAUUUUGCUUUCUGCCCGAGGACUUCAAGUCUCAACUCUUUGUCCUGGUGGUAGGGUUGUCAUCGGUGGAUAUGCCUUUAUACAAAGAAAAUGGAUCAAUGUCUAUGUAAACAAAACCAGAAUGAAUUCAAUACAAGGAAUAUAAUACAGUUUUUAAAAACCAAUAAAUCAAAGAGGAGGCGAAGAAUAAAAAAUUUUACCUAUUGACUUGUGGAAUUUUGAGUCGAUAUUAGAAAGCAUUGGAGAUUGUUUGAGAUUCUAUCUUUCCAAUUUCCAAAAUAAAAUUAAUUUGCAGUUUAUUAUGAACCAUAAAUUGAUAUGUACUUCUCUUUCGGUUUUUGUGUUCAAUUAAAAACCAAAUUAGUAUAAUUUAAUUGUUUAAUUUUCUCAUAAUUUUUUUUAAUCUAAUGUGUCAAAAAAAUGAAUGCUGAUAUGUCAAUCUUGUGAAACUCAACUGAGUUUUUAUAUAAUAGAUUCGUUUUCCCAAAUAAAUGACCAAGUGCAAUAACUCUAUAAUAAAAUGCAUUAAUACUUUCCAAAUUAUUAAAUCAGAAAUAUAAUUGUAGUUUCGAACUAACUACAAAUAAUAAGAUUUCGGUAAUCAAUCAGCCACGAAAACAACUGCAAAAAAUCAUACGGACUUUUUUCAAACAAAUAUAUCAAUAAAUGUUUUUCGAAAUUCGAAAAGUAACAAAAAAAAUUAAAUCAAGCUAUAUCCUCGCCGGAUCUCUCUCUCUUUACAGCAUCUCUCUGGCGGCGUAACCGUACCGAGAUCUGCGAAUAUUCUCCUGCCGUCUCUUGUACACAAAUCCGGCCAAUCCAACCACACAAACCGCCGCGAUCGUUCCAAACGCGACCCCAGCCUUCUUCCCGCCGCUCAUUCCACCGCCUCCCGAUGAUUUUUCCUCUUCGACACCGGUAAUAUCGCUGUGGUUCAAAUCGCUAGCUUCUUGCGACGGAGACGGAGAUGGAGAAGAUGAAGGAGACGCAUGAUCAUCCGGCAACGGCGGAGAUAGCGAUGGAGAAUCUGACGGAGAAGGAGAUGGAGAUGGGGAGUGUUCUGUUUCUGGUUGCGGAAGAGAAGAGUAUGCGAUCGGAGACUCUGCUGGUGAAGGGGAUCCAAAUUCCGGCGUAGGCGCGUGGAUUGGAGGCGAAUCUGUAGCGUCGGUUGAUAGAUCCGGCGCCGGAGCCGGUGAGACUUUAGUCGAAAUCUCGCCGGAGACGAGUACCAGCAUUAGCAGAGACGAAAUGGUUAUGAUUCCGAGCUUCAUUUUCGAAUUUCAAAUUAUGUUUCUCUCUCAGAUCUUGAUGAGUGAAGUAAGAGACGAAUAAGAAGAGAUCUGAGAAGAUGAUGAUAAUAAACAAAAAUAGUUAGUUUUAGAGUGAGAAUGUGAAAUGCAAUAUUACGAUCGCUAGAUUUGCGGCUACGAAAAGCGUACAACUAAUAGAAUUUUGCCACGUAGGAUACGUAUGGAAACAGAGAAGGAAGCGAAACACUGGAUCUGGUCAUUGCGUGAAAUCGGCACGUGGGUUUCACGUGAAGAGCUGACCCUCACGUUAUCUAUGGAGUAUAUUAAACAAAGAUUACUUUGUAAGAGAAUUAAGCAAUCAAGUUGUGAGAUUAAAUAUAUGUAACUAACAUCGUUUUUUGGCGUUAAAACAAAUCAGGUAAAGAGAAAAAAAAAGUAAUACAGAACGUUUCUUCGCAUUUCCUAAUCAGACUUCUUAAAAAUAUAAUAAAAUCACUUUGUGUUUCUACAAAAUUGUAACAACAUGUAGCUAUACGCAGAUAUACACACACACAGAGGAAAAAAUAAAGGGUUGAGGUUUUCUUGCUGUCCAAGAACCAAUCAAAAGUGUUCAAACUUGGAUCCCUAGAUAACAGCUACUUCAAGGAAUUAUGGGAGGCUUAAUAUGAAAUCCGAUCUGGUUGAAACUUGGUGGAAUGUUUCGUGACACUACUGAAUUGAGAAGCAACGGUGGGAUUGCGAAGUUAGUGGUCAGUUUGUCAUUUCUUCACGUUCUCCUGAGCAAAUUUAGCAUAAUACCUCACAAGAUAUAGCGUUUGGAUGUUUAAACUAGCUCUCGAUUUGAGCUGAUAUUAAGCAUGAAGUUUUGGAUUCAUACACUACAAGAAAUCACCCAUUUCACAACGACCAUAUUCGUCGUUAAAUCAUUGUGAAAUGAGGUUUGCGACGAUUUAACGACGAAUGCCAGUUCGUCGUAUAUUGAUCGUCGUAACUGGUAAUUCGUCGUAAAAUCGUCUUUAAUUAGCGAGAAACAAAUAAUCGUCGUUAAAUCGUCGAGAAGCAUUCAUCGUAACUUCGUUGUAAAUGUAACGACGAUUGAACGACGAAAAGCUUUUGUCGGCAAUUCGUUGCAAAUUCGUGGCAGAAGAAUCGUCCUUAAGUCGUCGUUACUCUAGAUUCGUCCCUAAUUCGUCGUAAACAUUUCGUCCCGAAUUCGUCGUAAUUUACAACGAUUUAAGGACGAAUGUUUAUUUAUUUUUUAAACCCAAAUUUUUUUGAAAUAAUAAUUAAAAAUAAAUAUGAAAAUAAAAUUAUUUUAAUUAAAACAAAACAAAAUAUUUUUAUUACAACAAAAAAAAAUCAUAUUUAAGCAUCAUAAUCAAUUUCGAAAUCUCCAAAAUCGUCCGCAAGAUUAGUAACCGGAGCAUGUGAUUGAUCUUCUCCACCAUUUGUAGAUGCUCCUUGAGUACCCGCAGCAUGUGUCGCUCCACCACUUGUAGAUGCUCCUUGAGUACCUGCAGCUUGUGUCGCCACUCUUCGUGCCACCAAUCUUGCCUCCUUUUCCGCUGCACGUUUUUGACGUUUUGCUCGCAAGGCAUUUGCAACAUCUGGGAUUGAGAGGGCAAUGAUAUCGAAGAUGGAGUCAUACUCCAAAAGCUCCUCCUGAACUUCCUGGUGAUAUGCGCUUUGAGACUCCUCUAAAGUUGCAAUCUUGGCCCGUAGAACGACUGGAUCAUCUUCUGGUCCUCGGCGGCGUGGUGCGGAUGACGAAGCACUCGGGACGUCUCUAAUAGAUUCCAUCCCUAUAACUUUUCCCUUCUUUUUCGGAGCGACCUACAUUUCAUCUGACGGAUGAGUAAUCUUUCCAUCUGUCUGCAAAUGAUCUGCAUGCCAUCUCAUCGCUGCCGCUGUUCUUUCAGAAUGAUACAUUCGUUUCAACCUAUCAGUUAUAGGAAGGUACCACAUACGCUGGAAUGGUACUUUGCUGCGACUACUUCCUUGCGGCUUAUAUCUAGGCUUAUGACAAAAUCGACAUUCCUCCAACUUAUCAUCAUCUUUCCAAAAUAGCAUGCAAUUGUCAACACAGACAUCUAUCAUCUCAGAAAGCAAUCCUAGACUAUAAAUAAGUUUCUGGAUCUCAUAGUAAGUUCCAGCUGCUAAAUUGUCUGCCGGCAAAUACUCUUUAAUCAGGUCAGCCCAAUCAUCCAUGCAAGUCUCAGCUAAGUUAUGAUCAGUUUUAAUAGUCAUCAUUCUAGCUGCCAGUGAUAAUUUAGAUUGUCCUUCUUUGCAUCCAUUGUAAAGUGGCUGAUUAGCAGCACCUAACAUAUCAUAAAAUUUUUUUGCAUCUGCAUUGGGUUCCUCAUCAUGGACAGGUGCAAAUGUGUUUGUGGUUUCGUGAAAUGCAUCUGUAACCAUGUCUUGAAUUCUAUCAUGAUCAAACCUUUGCUGCUCUGCAUGAUAAUAUUCAUCUUGAUGCAAAUUAUUUGACGAGUCUUCAAAAUUUGAAGCUUGAUAAUUGCUAUUACUACUACCUGCACUUUCUCCAUGCCCUUCUCCAUGAUGGUACCAUAUAAAGUAAUGUGGCAUAAAUCCUCUAUUUAAUAUAUGCGACCACACUUUCACGAUUGUGAUAAAUUUUCUAUUCAUGCAUUUAGGACAAGGACAAUACAUCAUACGACUGGCAAUCGUUCUUGGGAGUUUUCCUGCCUCAUGCAUGAAUCCCUCAACCCCCUCACUGAAUUCUUUUGUCAACGAUCCCGUUGAAUCAAUACGAUUGUACAUCCAUUUCCGAAUUUCAUAUAUGGACGACAUUUCGUAUAUAUAUUUAAUAUUCACUACCAAGUGAAUAUUUUUAAAUUUUAUACUUGUUCCCAAUUAAGUGAUCAAUUCAAUCACUCUUAUUUAGGAGCAUUGUGAUUUUUUUUUGGGUUAUGGGAGGCCCUAUAUAUAGAUUUUUAUUCUGCUUACCAUCGAAUUAACAACGUUAUUUAACAACGAAUUAACGACGAAAUGUAGUUUAGCGACGAAUUAACAACGAAAAUGAGAAUCGGGUUUAUUCGUCGUUAAGUCGUCCCUAAGUUACGACGAUUUAACGACGAUUCUUAUAAUCGUCGCCAGAUCGUCGUUACUGCACGACGAUGUAACGUCGAAUUCUUUUCGUCACCAAUUAACGACGAUUUGGCGACGAUUAUAAGAAUCGUCGUGCUUUCGUUGUUAAUUCGAAGGGAAUUUGCGACGAUUCUUAAUCGUCGUAAAAAAUCGUUGCUAAUCGUAUACUUUCUUGUAGUGAUAGAGGCAUAGAGUUAUGUCCUAGACUAAGGAGAUCCUGUAUGGAGAGAAUUUAUGUUGAAGUUGAGACAGCAAAUAUGUUCACGGGAGAAGGAGUAGAUGACACAAACUAUUUAUUCCUUAUACAUUAUUAAGGUCCCUCUAGCUUUCCAUAUACAAUCCGUGAGUCAACUUGAUAUUGGUUUGAUGUGAUGCUAGCUACUAUAUCACAUAUAUCCAUUAUUCUUGUAUUUUGGAUUUUUGCUUCAAUGCUCGGAGAGCUGAGCAAAUUCUUGCAUCAGCGCUCGUAGAUUACUUCAUUUACUUCAGUGCUUUAAUUAAUUAGUAUAUUUUAUUCUUUGUUCACCAUUGCUAGACUUCAGGUAUAGAGUUCUUUGCUUUACAAAACUGUGAAUAAGAAAACUCUAUUUCAUCUUGUUUACACAUGAAGCAAUAAAGAAAGCUAGUUGCUUAGACAUAGUUUUUGAAUGCAGUUACUGUGAUGUAACUUUGUCUAAUUGUUCACCCACUAUAAGUUCCUCGGAUUUUGAUAGCCUUUAGGUUGGCUAAUUAAUGUGGAGUUGUCUCAGCUUUGUCUAGUUGCUAGAUUUCUUGUCUAUUUUUGUAGAGUUUUGAUCCGAUUCUAAAGAUUUAUGAAUCUAUAUCGCAGGUAAAUUCUAAACGUAAUUGAAGAAGACAAUACGCAAGAUUGUUUACCCAGAGUUCACCAAUAUGGCUACGUCUCCGGGGAGGGAACGGGAUCCCUCAAUAUCCACUAUCGACUUCGAUUACAGAGCUAUGCAUAAGGUGCUUACAGCUUUGUUAUAAAGAUCAAGCACUCAAAAGGAAUCAAGGCGAAGACGAUGAUCGGACCGGAAUCUACCACUGGUGAACGCCUACUCCGUCAUAAGCUUCGAUCACACUCUCUCUAUCUUUUCUUCUGCUUUCUCUCUCUAUAACUGUCUCACUCUCUUGCUUUCUUGUUACAACUUCAGCUCGGGAAGAUGACGACUUAAGUCAACUUAACCACACUCUUGGGCCUGACAAUUAUUGAAGCCAAAUAUCCCUGAAUGAGACGCGGCCUUGGAACAUAAGCCCACUAAGGUGUUUGACUGAACCAGUACUAGACUUCACAAACUCCACCUUUCAGACUCAACACCGAAGACUCCGCCGAACCCUAAUACUCCUAACCUCUCGAUAGUGAACCUCCGACUGUAACAGAUGACAGCCUCCCAUGGGAUCGCCGACGGACUCUGCGACUCCGGCACAUGAAUCUGACUUAAGGUAACCCGUGAACACUCAAGUAACACUCUGAGAUUAGCUUGAGUAUUCUCACCUAUGAUUCAUCUCCUUUUGCAAAGAUUGACCCUUUCGGAUUUUCUUUGCACCUUUUGCAGCUUCUCCGGUGAGCAGACAUUGCUCUUUCGCUGUGAUUACGGCUUCAGGUAAUGGCUUCAGCCCGUAAUCCCUCGCACCUUAUCCUGUUAACACGGAUCUUUCAGAACAGCUUUCACUGACUUCAUUUUUUUCAUGUGAACAGAGUCUCCACCUGGAACUAGAGAGGUUGGUUCACCCCUAGUCCCUACACUCACGAGUAACUCUCUUUUCCUUCCUCAUCUCCUCUUUACCAAUCAGAGCCAUAAGAUUCUCAAGUUACUGACUUGUCUUCUUAUGCGUGCGAGAUCCUCUAAUGGUGGAGUUACCCAGAGCCUUUAUGUCACUAGACGACAUUCACCAAAUCACAGCAGAGCUGAAACUUUGGCCCAGGUAAGGCUUUAGUUAAGAAGUCUGCUGGAUUUUUGCUAGUGUGGAUCUUGUAUAGUAUAGCAUCGUUAUCUGCUACUAUAUCCUGAAUAAAGUGAUACUUUGUAGCAAUGUGUUUGGUGCGCUCGUGAUGCACGGAGUUCUUUGCAAGUGCCAAAGCACUCUGUGAAUCACAAUGUAUCUUUACACCUCCUGUGUUAAGCCCUAACUCACCACAAAUACCUUUCAACCAAAUGGCCUCUCUCACAGCUGAUGAGAGAGCCAUAUAUUCAGCAUCUGUAGUCAAUAAUGCCACAACUGACUGUAAAUUUGAUCUCCAACUGACUGAAUUUCCCCAAACCUUAAACACAAACCCAGUCACUGAUCUUCUCUUGUCUAAGUCUGUGGCAUAAUCUGAAUCACAAAACCCGUUGAUGACAAAACUUGUAACCUUAACAAAAGUAAGACACGCAUUAGAGGCACCUGACAAAUACCGAAGAAUCCAUUUAACUGCUGACCAAUGUUCCCUGCUUGGACUUGUCAUAAAUCUACUGACCACACCUACAGCAUAGGCUAGAUCAGGUCUCGAGCCGAUCAUAGCAUACACUAAGCUCCCAACAGCACUAGCGUAUGGAAUGUUUUCCAUAGGCACAGCCUCUGCCUUUCUUUCUUUCUUUGACAAACUCUUAAACUUGAAAUGAGGUGCUAAGGGAGUAGUCACUUGACUUGCUUCUUUCAUUCCAAACGCCUUUAGAACUUUCUCAAUAUAGCUUUUCUGUGACAGAAUAAGAAUUCCCUUCUCUCUAUCUCGGAUAAUAUCCAUUCCCAAAAUUCGAGAAGCCUUCCCCAAAUCCUUCAUUUCAAAUUCCCUGUUCAAGCUUUCUUUUACCCUUUUAAUCUCUGACAUAUCUCCUGAGGCAAUCAACAUAUCAUCCACAUAUAACAAAAGAUAAAUCGCUUGAUCAGUCAGUAUGUUUCUCAUGUACACACACGGAUCAUAGCGGCUCUUCUGAAACUUUUCCUUCUUCAUAAAGCUAUCAAACCUCAGGUUCCAUUGUCUCGGGGAUUGUUUCAACCAGUAAAGAUACUUCCGUAGAAGACAAACUUUAUUUUCAUCCCCAUUCUUAAUAAAACCCUCUGGUUGACUCAUAAGAAUCCUUUCUUCUAAGUUUCCAUUUAAGAACACAGUUUUGACAUCCAGUUGCUCCAAUUCAUAAUCCCUGUUGACCACAAUUGAUAACAUGAUCCUAGUGGGCACAUGCUUAACCACUGGUGAAAAAAUUUCAUUAUAAUCCACACCUUCCUUUUGUGAGAAUCCUUUAGCAACAAGCCUGGCCUUGAACCUUGGUUUUUCGGCUCUGAUUGUGGUAGUGAGUGAGGGUUGUCAAGUUUUACCCUAAAUGAAAUCAAUAGCCGCAAGUGCACAGUUGAUCGAUUGUAGUACUUAGGGAUCGAAUCCACAGGGAAGGAGGAUCUUUUCCAGCAAAAAGCCUUUGACAUAAGUAUAAAGUAAGGAAGUCUAGAACCAAAACGGUUUUGUGGGGGUUUGGUAGUGUGUUUAAAAUGUAAAAAAUCUUAAAAGAAAGUACGGGAAUUAAAUAACCUAAUAACUAAACUUAACGAAAAUGAAUAAAAACGAGUAAAACGGAUAUUCUAAUUGCUUAAAUUAAAAUCUACUAAAAAGGAAAGACAAUAUUGAACUAAAGCUUGAAAUAAAAACGGUGUAAAUCUAUGGGAAAGAAGGCGUUGGGGUUCAGGGAAGUUUUCUCAGGGGUACGAACGAUUCAAAACAUUGCUAGAGAGUAAAAUUGAUAAGAUCUUAGCUUAAACUUUUCGAACUGGAGUCACGGACGUAUGAAUACGCCACUGUCGUGAUCAUAGACAACUAUCUCUCUCAACCAUGACCAGUAGGUUUCCACUCUGGCCCUGGAAGAGAAGAGAUGCAUUAUGUUUAAGACUCGUCCUUAUUCACAAAUCGCCCAUAGGUAGGUUUCCACUCAUAUGUUUGUUUUGCUCUCCCAAACUAGAUCUGAUACCGGAUGAACACUUUCGUGUCACCAAGCAUCUGGAUUAGAUUGUAGUUCAUGACGCUACUCUCAUGCAGUAAAAACGAAUUCAGAAGAAAAAGUUCUAAGAUUCGGCUCAAAAGCUCAUGGAAUCCUCAUCGAACAUAUAGAUCCCCAUCGAAAAUCCCUUAAUCCCAACAAUAAAACUACUCAGACAUGAUGAACGAAAUCAAAAGCAUAGUAUUAAGAAGUAGAAUAGAAACCAAAAUUGAAAAAGAAAGAACAAGGGUUCAAGAGAACAAAUCUCUCUCUCCCUAAAACCUAAAGCAAAAACAGUAAAAAUAUGAAGUAAUGAUAGAUGAUCUCGAUUAGGGUUCAUAAAACAUGUAUUUAUAGUGCUCAAGACAUCUCUGGACGUCACUUAGGGUUUCUCCAAAUGAAGGAAUCAUUGUGGGCUUCAAAAAUGGGCUUUUGGGCUCAGAGUUGGCUUGCCGCGGUCGGGAGUGCUGUGACCGCAGGGAAUGAGUGGUUUGCCGCGGUCGGGAUGCUUCUGACCGCGGGAAAUGGCCUGUUGGCCGCGGGUGGAGUUGCUUGCCGGCUGGUUUACGGGACAUCUUGCUAUUCGCGUAUCUUUUGAUUGAACCGUUGGAUUGCCAAGCUGUAAAGUGUGCUGGAAAGCUGAUACUUCCAUCUUUAAGGUCUCCAAAUUUGAGCUGGAUCAGACGAUGAGAAGGCCUUCAAUCAGGGGUGAACUUCUGACGGUUUGACUCUGAGCUGAAAUCUGGUUUUCUAUCCAUUUUGUUAAGCUUUUCCCUAAAUUACCUGAAAAGAGUCUUGAAACUACAAAUACUAGAAAAACGUAAUAAAAGUACUUAAAAGCAAUUAAAAACAUAGAAAAGUAUUUCAAAACGGUCCAUAAAAGUGGUCAAAAUACGGUGUUAUCAGGUUCGUGCAUUUCCCAUCUUCUGGAAUCCAGACACGGUAACCCUUAACUCCAAACGGAUACCCCAUUAGAAUUCCUUAGUCUUAUCUUGAACAGUAUGAACAUAAGCGAUGGACCCAAACCUUCGUAAAUGUGUUAAAUCUGGUUUGUGACCUGUCCACACUUCUUCUGGCAUCUUGAAUUCAAUGGUAGAGCUAGGGGUCCUGUUUGUCAAAUAAACAGCAGUUUGAGUUGCCUCAGCCCAGAAUUCCUGACCCAAACCUGUCUCAGCCAACAUACUUCUCACCUUGUCCAUAAUAGUCAUAUUCAUUCUCUCGGACACACCAUUUUGCUGUGGUGUGUACGUACAUGUUCUAUGCCUCUUAACACCAGAUUGUCUGCAUAAUUCAUCGAACUGGACAUUACAAAACUCAAGUUCGUUAUCAGUCCUCAAACACUUCAGUUUCUUCUCAGUAUGCUUCUCAACAGCUUCUUUCCACUCCUUGAACUUAGAAAAUGCCUGAUCCUUAGUUCUCAAGGAAUAAACCCAGACCUUCUUUGAGUAAUCGUCAAUGAAGCUUAUGAAAUACUUGCAUCCUCCUAGACUUUCUGGGGUUGACGGUGACCCCCAUAAAUCUGAGUGCACAUACUCCAGAAUGUCCUUAUUUGUGUGCUUGGCCUUAGGAAAACUCUGUUUAUGAGAUUUGCCUAAUACAUAUCCCUCGCAAAAACUCAAAUCUCCAAUUUCAUCCUUUGAUAAGAAACCAUUCUUUACCAAGACCUCCAUGUUCUUUGAGCUCAUAUGACCAAGUCGUGAAUGCCAUAGACUUGUCAUAUCCUUCUUAGAAGUGGAGAGGUUUGCUUCGGCAUUGGUCACUUGUCCUUGGAGAUAAUACAGCCCUUUAUUGUAUUUCCCGGUGAUUACCUUUUGACCAUUUUUAUAGAAGGUAACUUCGUAGUCUUUACUUUCAUACUUGCAUCCAGCUUUUUUCAAGCAUACCGUAGGAGAUAAGAUUUCUGCUCAUGUCAGGCAUGUACCGAACAUCUGUUAGGAUUACCGUAGUACCAUCUGGGUUUUGGAUUCUAACUUUUCCAAUUCCCUUUACCUCACUGUGUGUGUUGUUUGCCAUUAAUACUUUUCCACCGUUGACUUCUUUCAGGUCAAAUAAUACUUCCUUGUGUGGGGUUAUGUGAAAAGUGCAACCGGAAUCCAUUACCCAUGCAUUUUUGGAGUCCUGCAAACUCACCGUGAGGACCAGAGGUUGCUUCCCCUCUGUUGCAACGUUUGCCGAAGAAUCUCCAUUCUUCUUCUGGCCUUUACUCGGGCAUUCUCUUUUCCAAUGCCCCUCUUUCCCACAGAUGAAACAGGUAGUGCCUUUGUACUUGUUUUUGGACUUUGAUCUGCCUUUACCAUUCUUGUAUUCUGCACGUUUUUCAUAUCUCCCUCUGGAUUCGACGUACAGCCCUUCUGAUGAAGACUUUCCCUUACCUAGGAGUCCCUUUUGCCUGAGCUCUGCCUCUUUGGAGUGAGCUGCAAUAACCACUUCCUCUACGGUAAGAGUUUGUCCAUCUCAAAUUUCCCUUGAGUUGGCUCCAUCCUUACCAGAAUGAUCUUUUCUUGCAGGUUGAACUUUGAGAGUCUCCGAACAACGAGCUUUUCAUCAACGAGUACCAACAGAUCAGGAGGAGAAAACUUCUACAACAAAACCUUCCGAUCUGACUUUCUCCCAGAGUAAGAUAAGUUCCGAUAUCACUUCCUCUAAUAUCAAUAGAUAUUCUUCGCUAUCUAGAACCUGGAUAGCUCUGAUACCACUUGUAGUGUUUUGAUCCGAUUCUAAAGAUCUAUGAAUCUAUCUCGCAGGUGAAUUCUAAACGUAAUUGAAGAAGACAAUACGCAAGAUUGUUUACCCAGAGUUCACCAAUAUGGCUACGUCUCUGGGGAGGGAACGGGAUCCCUCAAUAUCCACUAUCGACUUCGAUUACAGAGUUAUGCACAAGGUGCUUACAGCUUUGUUAUAAAGAUCAAGCACUCAAAAGGAAUCAAGGCGAAGACGAUGAUCGGACCGGAAUCUACCACCGGUGAACGCCUACUCCGUCGUAAGCUCCGAUCACUCUCUCUCUCUAUCUUUUCCUCUGCUUUCUCUCUCUAUAACUGUCUCACUCUCUUGCUUUCUUGUUACAGCUUCAGCUCGGGAAGAUGACGACUUAAGUCAACUUAACCAUACUCUUGGGCCUGACAAUUACUGAAGCCCAAUAUCCCUGAAUGAGACGCGGCCUUGGAACAUAAGCCCACUAAGGUGUUUGACUGAACCAGUAGACUUCACAAUUUUCUAGAAGCAAUUGAUAUUCGUUUCGAUGUGAUAUUUUUUUUUGGGAGUUGAUUAUUAUUGAAGGUGUGUGAAGGAAUAUUGUCCCACAUCGGAAGUUGAGAUGGGAUUACACUAAUAUAUAAAAGACUUGGGUUAAUCCACUUAUUGUCAGUUGGUUUUGAUUGGAAGCUCAUUCUCAGAUCCAAUCCGAACACACGCAGCCAGGCCCAUUCUCUACCUAAAUAUUAAAUCCGACCUUAAAAAAAUUAUUAGUCGUGAUCAUUUUACUACUUCGACCCAACUCAAAAAUUUGUCUGGCCUAUCGUACCUAAAAUUAAUCUUAAAUUGGAAUUUUUCGAGAUGAAUGGAUAGAAGAACCAUCAUUUCGAGGGGGCGUGUGAAGAAAUAUUGUCCUAAAUCAAAUCGUUUCUAAAACUUUAUAAAAUCAACAUUUAAAAAAAAAAUCUAACAAAAAGUAUUAAAAAAUAUCUAUAUAUUUAAUUAAUAGAACAUCGUUAAAAAAAGGAUAUCAAUGGAAAGUCACUAAUUAUUACAAUAUAUUGGUUAGUGUUUACGAUUUCUUAUGUUUAUAGGAUUUUCGAUUUCUUAUGAUUUAGUAUAAAUAUCAACCAUUUUCUCUAAUAAAAUCGAUAUUUAGUCAAAUAUAACGAAAAUGUAAAAAUCAAUAAAUGAAAUUCUUAAUGGAAUGACAGUAUUUGUGAUGUCUAGAUUAGGGUUUUCGACUUUAAAUAUUUUAGUACAUAUUCCACGCGCAGAAAAUAUGAAGGCAGACAACCCAGCACGAAGUGCACGGAUCUACCCUCAAGAUAUUGUAUAUGUAAACUCGGUACCACCAGUUUGGAUUUCUGAACCGUUCUAGGUAUCUAGGCAGUCGACAAAAAAAAAAGUAUAUAUAUGUACGAUUUCUCUCUAAUUCUCUCACACCCUUCUAAAUUGUUUAACUCUUUCCUUCUUUUCCGAAUAAGUUCGUACGAUACUUCAAAAAACUACGUCUAAAAUAAAAAGAACAGUCAUUAAAACAUUUCAAAAUUAUUUAAACUAAAUUAUUUGAAUAUUAAUAUGUUUUUAUCUAGUCUCUUUUACACUGUUUUUCCGGUCAUGUUUUCAAACAUUAAAAUGUAAAGAAAUCUAACAAACAAAUAUACUCAAUAAUAUAGAAUAAAAAAACAAAUGAAUCCAAACUACUAUUUCAAACAACCAAAUAAAAAAAAUUAUAUCAGUCCACGCAAGGCGUGGACAAAUCCACUAGUCUUCUUAUAUACUAAUAAAAGUUGAAGCUAAUAUGCUUCUAAGAAUGUCCAUAUGGGAUUUAAAAGGGUAAUUUUAUUGGUCCACAUCAACAUUCAAAAUUAAAGAAAGUUUACAAUUAUAAUAUUAUUGCUGAAAAAAGGAAAUUAAGAAAGUUUACAAAUUUUAAUAUUAUUAAUGAAUAAAAAAAUUCUGUAUAAAUUUUUUAUUGGUCCAACUCAAUUGAUAAUAAAAAGUUUCUAAAUUUUAUUAUUGUUUUUCUAAAAUUAUUAACGAUAAAAAAUUAUAUAAAAAAUUAUAUUAAUAAUAAAAACUAAAAUAAAUAAUAUUAAAAUAGGAAAUUUUAAAUUUAAAUUAGAUGUAUACACACGCAUAUUUAGAGACUCUUACAUUAGGAUCCAUUUUUUGUCACAUAACUAUAAUAAUUUUCAAGUUUUUUUCCUGUAUGUGCAGCCAUUUCAAAAAAAAAAAAAAGAGUUAUGUACACUAAAAAAUGAGUCAUUACAACGUAAAAGAACCAACAUGACUAAACUAUAUGUUUAAGUAUUAGCUAAAUUACAAAGAAUAUAUUAAAAGGAGAUAUAAACAAAACCACUACAAGCCAUUUUAAUAUUAAAAGAGACUGUAAAAUCUCCAAAGCCUAGUCACCGAAUUUGAGAAGAAUGAUAAAUUACAAUCAAUUCGAGAAACAUGUCAAGUGAUUGAUACUUGACACUUUUAAAAAAAGAAACACUGAAAAUAGAGAAAGAAGUUCCGUCAUUAAGACGAAGGAAACUGAAGUAUCCGAGGAAUAUUUUUGAUAUAAUAUAGCAUAUGAUGGGGUUUUAACAACCUAACAUUAACCACAAAAGUAACAAUUAGCUGACCAAACAGCAUCCGAAUAUAUUCAGUAAGCCUCAAAAUAAGAAGGAGAGAUCAAAAUCACUUGUCGCAACGGGCCUCGUGUGAGAUAUUCCAGCUUUGAUUUCUAAAUCUAUUAUUGAUCAAAUUUAAAGCUAUAUGCCUUUAAAAAUGUCCACAUAUGAUUUUAAAAUUCAAUUCUAUUGGUCCACAUCAAUAACUAAAAUUAAGAAAAUUUCCAAAUUUUAAAAUUAUAUUGUUAACAAAAAAAAGACGUUGAAGCUAUAUAUGUCUCUAAGGACAUCCACAUAAGAUUUAAAAGGUCCAUUUUAUUAGUCCACAUCAAUAACUAAGAUAAAAGAAAGUUUCUAAAUUAUAAAAUUAUAUUGUUAAUACAAAAUAAUAUAGGAAAAAUUGUUAAUUAAAAUUAUUUUAUCAUUAAUAACAGUUAAAGCUAUAUUAUUUUAAAUUCGACGUAAAAUUUCGAUGGUAUUUACAUGUUUUCUUGUAGUGUCCACAUCAGUAUUUAAAAAUUCAAUUUUAUUUGUAUAUAUCAAAACUGUAAAUUAAAUAAAGUUUCCUAAUUCUAAUAUUAUGAUUAAGAAAAUAAAUAAAAUAAAUAACUAAAUCUCUAUUAAACAAAAAAAACCAACAUGAUAUUAAAAUGUAUGCUAUCACUGUUUAAGUUACAAAUUUAAUUUAUUAUCUAUCAAAAAAUAUAUGCUACUUAUAUUGAUAUACUUGAUCUUAAAGUUUUUUUCACGUUGAAUUUUAAAUAACUAAUAUUUAUGAUUUAAUAUUCAUCUAAUUUUUUUCAUAUAAGCAAAACAUAUUUUCACAUAAUCUCAUGUAAUAUAUUAUGUGGAAAAUGAUAGAAAAUUACAUUUUGUAUAUUCAACUUGGAAUUGCAAUAGAAUAAUGUGGAAGUUCUUAGUUUUGAGUUGUUCAAUUUGUUAUUUUAUUUUUCUAAAUUUUUAUGUAUUAAAUUGUUUACUUAUAAUUAGAAGAAAUGAGAAUGAAUAUGAUGAACUGAAUAUAAUUAUACAAAAAUUAUUAAAAUGAAUAAAUAUGAUAUAUUUAUUGAAAAAAAACAGAUAUAACAAGAAUAAACAUGAUGAAAAAUUUUUCAUUCUUAUUAGAAGAGAUGAUGUAUAAUCAUUGAAAAAUUAUUCAAAAGUUUACAUAACUAAUUGAAAAAAAAUAAUUUAAUUCACAACAAAAAAAUUCACAAACUUUGUGUGAUUUGAUUCAUUAUUUCAUUUCAUAUUUAACUAUUGUUUUGGUUUCAAAUUUAAAAUUGUUAUUAAUCUCAAAAAAAACUUUUUUAUUUAUUAGUUUGUUUUUAAAAUUAAUAAAUAAAAAAUUGUAUUGGUUAAACAAGAGAAAAAAAACAUUAAACUUUAAAUUUUAUUUUCUUUUAUUGUUUUAAAAGAACAAAUAUAUAAUUGGAAUAAAAGUGAAAAUGAUGAACAAAAAUUAUCUUCUUGAUUUAAAGAAGUUAAUGUAUAAUAUUUUAUCAUUAUGUCAAUACUAUGUUUAAAAGUAUUAUUUGAUUAAUUUGUAAGAAAAUUUAGUUGGUUCGGAUAUAUUAACUAAUAAGUGUUUGAUCAAAUAAUAUGUUUUUGAAAUAUGAUAUAGUGUAUACAAAUUUGAAACAAAACCGUUAAAACCUAACAAUUUACAUAAAAUUAUUAGAUUAACACCAUAAUAUUUGUAAUAUAUUAUUAAAACACUAAUCUAUAAAAUUUAUAUCUUAAUAAUUAAAUUGAUUGUAUAUAAAUUUUAUCAACAAAAUAUCCACGCGUAGCAUGGAUGCAAAGUCUAGUUACUAAUAAAAGUUGAAGCUAAAUGCAUCUAAGAGUGUCUACAUAGGAUUAAAAAGUGCAAUUCUAUUGUUUCAGAUCAAUAUUCAAAAUUAAGAAAGUUUCUCAAAUUAAUAUUAUUUUAAAUCAAAAAUAUAUAAAAGAAAUAAUAAAAUUAUGUAUUAAAUUUCCAUUAACAACAAAAAACUAAGAUAAUAUCAAAUUAAGAAUAUUUCUUAACCAAAAUACAAAUUUACUUAGAUAAAAAAUAAUAUCCAAUCAAUUAAGGAAGGAAAGUAAAUUUUAAAAUUGUUUUUCCGUUUUCUUAUAAAACUGAUAUAAAAAGAAUGAAAUUGAAGAUGGUGAAAAAUAUUAUUUUCUUUUAUUAGAGAAGAAUCAUAUACUAAAUUUUUUGUGUCAAUACUAUUUUUAUUAAAUAGUCAUUAUUGUUUUUAGUUAUUUUUUAGUAUACUAACUUACAAGUAUUAGAAGAAUUUAAAAAUAUUUAUAGAAGUUGAAAUUAUAAAAUAAAUUAAAAUAGUAUUUACUAUAACAUAAAAAGAACACAUAUAUUAAUAUGUGGAGAUAAUUGGUGGUUUAAACAUAAUUUAAGGGUGAUAAUAAGUUUGUGAAAUCUAUUUUAAUAUAUCAAAAAUUAAUUUAGUAGUUUAUUAAAGAGUAAUUAAAUGCUAUCAAGUAUAACUUGUACUCAAUAAAAUAGUAAAAUAAAGAGAAUUUUUUUGUCUUUCUUGGUUUUUAAUAAAAAAUCAUCUAGAAGUUAUCACACACAAUAUGUUACUCGAUAAAAAGUUUGGUAUUUACCAAUUUAAGAUAAAAUUGACUAAAAUUUAUAUUGAAUUCAUCGAUCUUUGUGAUUUGAAAUUAGUUUUAAAUUUUAUUUUAUAUUUAUUUACUGAAAUUAUAUGUUACCAAAAAUUUGUGUUUAUUAGUUUAUUUUUUAAUUUAAAAUAAAUCAAAAAUUUGUAUUGACUAAAUUAGUUGAAAAAAGAAAAUAACUUUUAAUUUUAUCAUUUUUCAUUAAAAAAAACAUACAUAACAAGGAUGCAACUGAUGAAAAACACUUAUUUUCUUGACUAAUAAGUGAUGUAUGGUACUUUCUCUUAGUUUUAAUACUAACUAAGUACUAGUUAAUUAGUUUGUUACAUUUUAGGUUGAUUUUGGUAUACCAAAUAUUAAACGUUCAAUAAAAUAAUAUGUUUUUAAAUGACACAUAUAUAAAUACAAACAAGAUCGUUGAAACCUCAAAAUCUAUAUAUAAAUUUUAAAAUUAAAACUCAAUUAAUUAUGAUAAAUUUUAUUACAAUAAAUUAACAUCUAAAUAAAUAUAACUGCUUAAAAAACUACCCACUCGUAGCGUGGAUGCAAAAUCUAGUUGGUAGGAAAGAUUCAUAGGAAAUUAGUAGAAAAUAAAGAAAAGUGGUAGAAAAAAAUUGUUGGAAAAUGGUAGGAGUUAGUCCAUAGAAACUAGAAACGUGGUAGGAACAGUUUCGUAGGAAAAUGGAAGGAGUAAUUCGUAGGAAAUAGGUAGGUAAUGUUUCGUAAGAAAUUGAAAGGAAAAUGGUGGUAGUUUGGUAAGUAUUUUCUUACAAAUAUCCUACCAAUAUUUCUGACAAAAAUUUUCUAGCAACAUUUUCGUAGAAAUUUUCUUACUAUUUUUCUACUUUUUAAAUUUCAGACGGACGAUAACUUACGAAUAAAGUUCGUAGGAAUUUGGUAAGAAAAAAGAUUAUCUUACAAUUUUUUAACAAUAUUUUUCAUAGGUUUUCAGGUUUUUUUCUUGUAGUAGUGGAUCCAUGAAAAUCUGAUCCCCAUAAGAAAAACAAACUAUGAUAUUUGGAACAAACAUUUAGGAAAACGAAACUUGAACAUAAUUUGGAUGUCGUGAGAGAACCGAGUAUCACAGCUCUUUAAAGCUACAUUUGGAAGUUCGGACGCCUGGAAAAAUGAAGCAUUUUAUGUGGCAAGCUUUAUCAGGAUCUAUUGCUACUUGCCAAAUCCUAACCUACAGGCAUAUGAGAACGGAUAAGAGUUGUCCCUGCUGUGGGAAUCCUGAAAAAUCUAUUAACCAUCUUUUGUUUUUAUGUCCCUCGGUUUUACAAGUCUGGGCGUUAUCGGACUUUAUUUAGGCAUGAUAGGUCCUCAAAAAGAUAUUUAUCCUUGGAUCUUGUGGUAUAUUUGAAAAGAUAAGAACGACAAGAUAUUCAACGGGAAAAUUUUCCUGAUAUAUACUUUGAUCCACGCCAAGGUUGAAGCUGAAAGUUGGAAGAUUGCAAACCAACCGGAAGAAGAAGAGGAGGGAGCAGACGAGGCUUUGCUGACUCCUUUGCUCCUGAUUUCUCUACCUGAUGCCCAGAGGUUCCCAAUUUGUCAGGUUGAUGCAUCUUGGAUAGGCAACGGCCUGGUUAGUGGGUUCGGGUGGAGUCUGAAUGAGGAGAGGGGUGGUGAGACUUUUGGCCUUCAGGGCUAUCGUAGAAGCUUAUCAGCCCUUUAUGCCGAAUUGGAGAGCCUUUUAUGGGCUAUAUCUUGCAUAAAAGAUAGACAAAUUUUAUCCGUACACUUUCAGACCGAUUGCUCGGAUCUGGUAAGCAUGUUUGAAUCUCCAUCGGAUUGGCCAUCUUUCUUAUCAGAGUUGGAAGCCUUCUGCAUCCUUCGAGAAAGCUUCUUGGAUUUCACUCUCUCCCAUAUCCCAGAAGUUCAAAUGUCCGAGCGGAUAGUCUUGCAAAAGGAGCUCGAGCAAGAGGCGGUAUUCUCUUCCAAAUCAUUCAUACCGAGCCAGCUGAGAACGGUUCCCGGACCAAUUUCUUAACUGGCCAAAUGUGAUGUAAUAGUUGGGUUGUUGAAAAAAAAAAUUUGGAACAAACACAUUGUUGAAUCUCCUCAUAUUUUGUUAUGACAAAUUAAAAAAUAACCAACAAUAUAUAUAUAUAUAUAUGGCUGAUUUUUUCAUAUGCACGUGGAUUCGAAACUCAAAAGAUGAAUGCUUAGACGAAGUAUCUUUUAAAUAAAUAAAUAUAAAAUAAAAAUAAAAAGAAUGCAAUCGAGAUAUUUUAGUGUUUAAGUCAUAAAAAAAAUCACAUUGCAAAGUCUUUUUGCUAUAGAAAGAGGGGUGCAUGCUCAAUGAACCAUCUCAGAGUGAGGAGAACAAAUACACCACAAUCACUCCUUUCUAAAGUGUAAGAAGUGGCAGUAUUUACCAUGUUAAAUUUUUCAAGGGACGUGUAGAAAAAUGUAGAGAAGAAGUGGCAAUCACUUAUAGAAAUCAAAGCUUGCUGAUGGUCCUUGCAUGACUGUGGUUUAGUGGUAAAAAAGACUGUGUGGGAUAUUACACUAAUUUACCUAGAUCGGAUUCCCUUUAGAAACAAAAAUACAUUUGUGUAGGAAGUCUGAGCUUGGGCUUAAGGCCCAGGCAGUUAACAUGGUAGUCAGUAACAGGUAAUAUAGCUAUCUGGCAUUAGUUGGAAAACAUUUCAAACUCGAGAUAGAUAGUGUGGUAACCCGCUGAAUCUCAUAGAUCUCUUGGUCUGUUGACUCUAGUAUGUUUGGAACUCAUAGUAUUUGUUGAACCGUUGAACUAGAAAAUCAGUCCAGUAACACUUUAGUGUGUUUCUACCAGGACUAACCAGAUCAGCCGAUGAUAGUUAUCAUUCAUCCGAAAGACAAUUAGCAUCUUUAAGGUAAAGAUAAACAAGUGAUGGAUCUUCUAAGCUUUUUGAGUCUUAGCCACAUGCAUUAGCUUCUUCUCGACAUCUAGGGGUUAUCCAGUCCAUGUCCCUGGCUUCAACUCAUCUCCACAUCUAGGAGUUUUCUAGACUCGACCACAGACUUCAUCUUCUUCUCAACCUCUAGGGAUUAAUUCCCAAGUCCUAAGUCUCACUCCCAAGCUUCAGCUUCUUCUCGACAUCAGGCUUUAACUUCUUCUUGACAUCUAGGGAUUCUCCAGUUCCAGUUCCAGUCCCAAGCUGCAGCUUCUUCUCCACAUCCUUUGGUGCCAUUGCUGGGAUUGAAUUAUCUUCAUUAUUUUUCAGAAUCAUCAUUUGCAACAGCAGCUCUAACUCCCUAGAUAUAUAGAUCAACGCUCCUCACAGUGUAUAUAUCGUUCAUUGCAACCCAACAUAUCACCGUUUUCACAACAUCAUUGUCAUCAGCUAACAUCCUUUUAUCUUACGCGUCUACUGUAGAGGAAAACAUAUUAUAUAAUGUAUCUAUACUCUCGCUAUAAAACCUUAUGUGAUAACCAUCUUACCCACGCUGACACCAAACUCGUCUCAAACUAUAUAGGUGUUCACACCCAGAUUACUACAAGUCUAUAGAGGAAGAUGAAUAUAUUUUCUUGAAGAUAUGUUACAUAUUGUACAACAGUAUAUAUAUAUAUACAUAUAUAUACAGGCUAAUAGAAGAAGAUCUUUAUACAGAAAUACAGAUGAUAUUCUAACUCUAAGACAAGGUGUUAGAUACAAUAUCAGUAUCCAUCUUCGUGUAGCCUUAUACAUCAUAAAUUCUGAAACUAAGAUUUAUUCCACUAGGGAUUUGAAGGAUUUUGGUUGAAAUUAGGAACCUAAAUCAAACUCUAACAUUAACAUAAACACUAACAUAAUUCGGCUUCUGAGUCUAAAAAACCUACCUCUAAAGUUCCAAAUUAUGAUUUAGGGACUUGAAAUUUCAAGUAUAUCUUAAGACUUGUGCAGCAAAACUAAGGAAACAAAUCUUAAACAAAACCUAUGAUAACUGAACUUAUACUCAAAGUCUCAAACAGUCAAACUUAUAUUAAUUAACCUAUAAGAUCAUGUACAUCAAAGGUUCAAGGGGGGUUUUGGCACAAAAACAUAGGCAAAGUGAAAUAAAUAAAAAAGAAAAAAUUAUAUUUUCUUGUGAACAUGUCUCUUAGCGAAGGAUUUUAUGAACCUCAUUCUAAGAGGUUUGUAAGACAUGUGUAGGUUGCUAAUUUGUUUGUUCUCAAAUAUUAAACUUGGUAUGUGCUAACACAUCCAUCUUUUGAGUCCCAGCGUUUUUUUUUAAGAAUCUGUGAACCAGGUUCACUAAUGGAGACAUAAAAUUCACACUGAUUCUUCCCUGUACAUAUAUCCUAAAAAAUUAUUUUUAUAUUUUUAUAAACCCCAAAGAGGAGUUCACCAAUGUACAUGCUCUAACAUUUUUAGGUGUUGAUUGGUUCACCUCCUAUCAUCCGCAAACACUGCAUUUGCGGUUGGUAGCGGUUAGUGGCGUUAUAUAAUAAUCAUAGAAAUCGCUGCAAACCGUUCGGUAUUGUUUUGUACCGCUGAAAUUCAAAAGUUGCUUCCCACAAGCGUUUGCGGUUGGGGGCAGUAGCGGUUAGGUUAAUAAUAUAAAAAAUUAUGCUAGAAAAAAAAUGAAAAAUCACGUUAAAAACAAUUUAAAACCCUACUAAUUGUCUCCUAUAUAUAUAUAUAUAUAAACUCUAACCUAUCACUUUUUCUAUCAAGUUCUAGUCUCUAAUCAUGACUUCCAUACCAGUUGAAGAAAGUCUAGACACAAGUAUAAGUGCUAUAAUACUUUGGUUUAAGUGUCACUUUUUUGUUCUCUUUUCCAAUUUAUUAAAUUACUAUAAACAAUUUUGGGUGAUAUUCCCAGCAAUUGAAAUAAAAUAUAUUAUUAUAAAAUUUAUUAGUUUUUAUGAAUAAUUAUUUAGUAUAAUUUUUAUUAUUAAUUAUUUUAAACUAGUAAUUUUGAUAUUUAGCAUAAUAAUAUAGUUUUUAUGUUGUUUUAUAAUUAGAUAUGAUGUUUAUUUGAUACUUUUAUAUUUAACCGCUAAAAUAUCCGCUGAUUCGCUAGUCAAAAAUGUCCUGCAAACGGAUCCGCUUUACAAAGUUUAGCCAAUUGCUCAAAACUGUAAUCGUCCGCUUCUGUAAACUCUUAUAUUCGCAAUCGCAACUGCUGCGUUUAAACCAAUCAGACUCUUAGACUUUAGUAUUUUUUAGGAAUUUACUAAAAUGAAACAACUUAGGAAUAUAUAUAACUUACCAAGCCUUUUAACAAAAAAAAAGGGAGAUAUUUUACUAAAAGUUUAAAUUUGAUAAUAAUAUUAAUAUAUCACUGGACCAUUGUGAUAAUUAGACGGCCAUUAUAUCGUCAACACAUGGUAGGUCUAUGUAGCUUUGCCUUUCUUCUGUAAUAGAGGCUCGAAUUUUGUUUUGUUAACAGAUACGUUAUUACUGUCGUUAACAGUAAAUAUAUUAAAACGUUAUCAAUCUUUAAAAAAAAAAAAAAAAACUAUUGUAGAUAGGUUGUUGUUAAGUGCAUUUGCCCAAAAAGAAAGAAAAUGUAGAUUCGUUCCAAAAUAAACAGAAACACAAAAAACAAUUCUUCCACUUAAAAUCUAAAAAAAAAAUGCGACAUCCAUGAUUACGUAAAUUUCCUAAGUUAACAAAUAGAGAAAAAGUGGGUCUCUUAUCUAAUUACAACUGAAACAUUUAUAAAAGCAGAGAGGCUCCUCCAAAGUCCAAACAAACAAACCAAAUUCAAAACUAAAACAAAAACAAACUUCUAUCUUCUUCUUCUUCUUCACCAUCAAUGGCGACGGGAAAAACGUAUUACCCACGGCCAAGUCAUCGAUUCCUUCCCACAGAUCGAUCUCACCAAGUCGCUGUCACCGAUUCAGGAUUCGAGUUCGAUGAGUCCGAUCUAUACUCCGAUUCGCAUGAUUUUCGUAGUAAACUCUUUAAAUCCGGUCGAAUCGGAAUCAAACAAUGCGGUAGAUCGUCUCUGGUUACCGUAACAACCGCGAAGGUAGGGUCACUUCCGAUGAACGUACCGGACCAGUCGAAGAAUUGUCACAGACGCCGGACAAGCAUCGAAAUCGAUGAGGAUGGUUUAAUAGACGGAGGAGAUCGGUUAGACGGAGGAAGAUUUCCGCCACAUGAGUAUCUGGCGAGGACGAGAAUUGCUUCGUUCUCGGUGCAUGAAGGAGUUGGGAGGACAUUGAAAGGGAGAGAUCUGAGUAGGGUUAGAAAUGCAAUUUUUAAGAAGACUGGGGUUUUGGAUUAAUAUCUGAAAACUAUAAGGUUCUUUUUGGGGUUAGGUUUAAUUCUCUAUUACAGUUUUAUAAAUAACUGUUAUGCUGAAAAAAAAAAAAAAAAAACUGUUAAAAAGUGGCAUAGAUAUUUCGAGAAAUGCCCUCUUCUUUUUUUUUAUUGUAAUUUCGGAAUAUUGCAAAGCUUUGACGUUGAUGAGAUAUUUUGGGAAAUUUUUUGUGCCGGCUAAUUAAAUUCUUAAGCAGGAAGUUGAUUGUUUGGUUUAAAUUGUACAUCAAAAAUUCAAAUUGGAAAAUUCGUGCAUUACAAAUUUUGUAGGGUCAGAAACGAAUAAUAUAGGAAAUAAGGGUAAAUAGUUUAGUUAUUGGUGGGGUUUUUGGGUUGGAUGUGGGUGGGAUUGGUUAGUAAAGCAGAGGAAGUGGUUACAAUUACAUGAAAGUGACAUAUUUUUCUGAAGAAUUAUUCUCAUAUAACAAAUAAAAUAUUUUAGCGUUUUCAUGUUAAAACAAAAUUGGACCGACUUCGAGAAAAUAAUAAUUAAAAUUGUACAAAAUAUCGUAUUUCAUUAACUAAAAUUGGCUGUUUUAAGAAUUUAUUGUUCCUUAUAUCUCGACUUUUUUUUCCAAGCCAAAAUUCAAGUAAAAGAGAGACUUUUUUCUCUCUCUGUUCUCUCUCUAAAAUCUUUCACAGAGAAAAAGAGUGUUUUCUUUUUUUGUAUUUCCGAUCUAAAUCGGAUUUAUCUUUCCAACUAGUGAAUCAUGUUCAUAUAUCAUCUAGUUGGAUUAAUAAAUUUCCGUUUAACGGAUUUGGUUUGUGUGUAGAUCUUCUUAGAUCUCAUGGAAGUUCAAUUAUGAUUCAACUUCUUCAUCUUCUAGUUUCAUCUGCUCAUUUCAGCCGAGAGUUUUAUCUCUCUAAUUGUCCCCGAUAAAGAAGCCUUUCAUGGCAAAGGGAGACAGGUCAUGAAAUUUGGUGGAAUAGCGGCAACUUUAAGGAGAAGAAGAAUCUCUUAGAACUAUAGGUCUAUGAGAAGAUCAAGGUGGAAGCAAUCGGAAGGAGAUGGAGUGGUACUGAAAACUUGUUCGGAAAAUUAGCGUGCCCUUGCGGUGAAGCGCGACGACGUGAUGCUCGACGGCGAUGAUGUUAGCAACCACUUAUCUCGUUUUCAACCUAAAGCUUACACGUGUUAUAUUGUGGCUUAUCAUUAUCUUUUAGUACUUUGGAAAUAAUGAUGGGUUUGUACUGAAUUUCAAUAGGCUUCCGAUUUCCACUUGUUGUAAUUGCCCAAGCGGGCUAUCAAUAUAAGUUUGUUGACGUCAACAAAAAAAAAUUGGCUGUUUUAAGAUUUCUUGUAUGCAUUUUUUUCCUUGUUACAACUCCAUAAAUAUCGUUUGCAUAUGCAUCGUCCACGAAUGACUAUAUGCUUUAAGAUAUAUUGACAAUUUUCUCAAUUUUACAUAUAUGAUUAUGUGGAUAUUUAUUGGAAUUGAAAUGGAUUAUUUUAUAAGAUUAGAAAAUCAGAAGUUGUGGAACGGAAAAGAUGUAAUGGUUUUGUUGUUGGGGUUUACAUAGUGAAUAAUUUAAUAAGUUUAUUUUAUAUAUAUUGCUAGAGUAUCACCAUUGGAUGGAUGAUGAAACAAAAUGUGUAAUUGGUGAAUAAACAAAUUUCAGAACCUAUAUAUCCUAGGGAGUGUCUGUUUAUUCCCAUAAACUAAAACAGCCAAAAUGAUUUGAGUUAAAAAAUUUUUUUAAUGAUUUGAUUUGAGUUAUUUAAACAUUAGUUCAUUACUACAUAUCUAUUUUUUUAUAGAACUCAAAGGUUCAAGUUCUAAAGAUUUCGGUGACAGUAGGCGAUGAACGAAUAUUUCAACGUUCUUAUGUGCAUCCAAAUGUGGUACCUUGUCCCACCAAAUCUCAUCUAACAAUAUUGGAGAUAAAUGUUUUUUUUUUGGCACAAAACGAUGGUGGAUUGACUGCUAAGUGCUAACCACCGGACAUUAGACUUAACUUCCAGAUUUGAUGUGGUUUUGGCAAUAGGGAGACAUGUUUCGUACGAGCAAGCUGUUUCAUUGAAAGUGUUUGCUGACUCUAAAGACAAUAACAACAACAAUAAUAUUCAUUGUCUUUCUUUCUUGUUUGUGAAUUGGUGUGAUCUAUCUAUCAUCUUCUUUGUUGUCUCUCUCAGAGAAGAGAAAGAGAGUGACCUGUUAGAAUCUCACAUCGGAAGUUUAAAAGGACUAACACUAGUAUAUAAGGGAUUUGGACCUCUCCACUUAUCGCCAAUUUGUUUUAAGUUGGAAGUUCAUGAAACUUAACAUGGUAUCAGAGCCUCGUUUGUUGAUCCAAGAAGGGUGGCCCAAAAAAGAGUUUAUUAUCGGUCCUAAAGUGUGAUUUGGUUCGAGAUGGGCUGAUAAGAGCCAUCAUCUCGAGGAGGCGUGUUAGAAUCCCACAUCGGAAGUUUAUAAGGACUAACACUAGUAUAUAAGAGACUUGGACCUCAAUUGGUUUUAAGUUGGAAGUUCAGGAAACUUAACAUGACCAAUUAAAAUUCUGCAAAGAGUAUUCCUUACUCAUUUUUGGUUAAGUUAGGUGUUGUUUUGGGUCUUUACUUUGUAAUUUAUAUAUUGUUAUUACAUCUAUUAGUUUUCCCAAGUAUUCCCACUUUGCAGUUACAUCUCCUUACAGGUAUACUAUUCGAACAAAGUAGCUUAUAUACAAGUAUACCAUGCUUGUAUUGCUUCUACCAAUGACCGGUUCGUUAAAAUGCUUUCCUCGAGUCAAUUCGAAACCAUGUGAUAGUCGAUGUAUCAAUAUGUUGUUCUUCUGUGAAACACGAGGUUAUUCACAAUGUGUAUGGGUGCUAGUGUUGUCAUAGAAAAAAAAAGAAAAUUAGUUUUAUAAUGCCAAUUGAUUUAGAAAUUGUCUCUUUAAUGUUUUCUGAAAAAAAGUUGUCCUUAUAAUGUUUUAUUGAAAUUUUUUCCCAUUAUACCCAUUAUUUCGAAUUUUUUAAUUAAUUAAAUUUUUAUAUUAAUAAUAUUUUAUAAUUAAAAAAUAUCAGUAGAAAAGAGAUUUUACAUCCUCAUCCACACGUUCUUUUUCUUCUCCAUCGACAUCAUCGAUACAAUCUCCUCCACCUACACAGUCUUCACCGGAAAAUCAAUUUCUGGUAAAUACACAAUCAGUCUCUCCCUGAUUUCCAUGAACCACAAGUUAUAUAGAUAUGUAGUAUGUUUGAAGCAAAAGACACGUAAACCUAGAGAAAUUCUCCUGAAUCAAUGGGAAGAGGAAGAAAACGAUGAAGUCAAACAAAAAGAAGCAACUUCGUCAAAAACAAAGAGAGAAACGUGAAAAAAAGAUUUCAAAAAAAGAAAAAUCGGGAAGAUAGCUAAUUUUCCUAAAUUUUAUUAGAUUUUGGUAGCAGUUGUAUUCUACCAAUAUGUAGAACAUGGUCUAAUAAGUAGAAGAAUUAUUCUACUAGCAUGUAGAACUUGGUCUAAUAAGUAGAAGAACUGUUCUACAUUAACGUAAUACUUGGUUAAAUAUGUAGAAUUAAUGUUCUACAAUAACUUAGAACCUUGUCUAUUUGGUAGAAGUUUUAUUUUACCAACACAUAGAAUAUAGUCUACCCGAUAGAACUUGUAAUCUACCAUAACGUAGAAUAUAAAAAGGAAUGUAGAAAACGAUUUCUACAAGCUGGUAGAAAUUACAAAGAUCUAUAGAAAUGAGAUUCUACGUAGACUUAGAACGUAGAAGACGCGUUCUACCAUGCCUAGAACGAAAUUUAAAAAUAUUUUCUUUCCUUAAAUGAUAUCCAAAAAUAUUUUCCCUUCUUAUUUUGGAAUGUUCGAUAUAUAUAUUAAAUUAUUUUAAUUAUAAUUACCAUAACUGAUUUAAAAGGGUAACUAUGUCAAAAAGUGACAAAAAAAUACUAAGGGACAAUUCCUAAAUCAAUUAACAUUAUAAAACUAAUUUUCAAAAAAAAAAUGGUUGUGCUUGAUUAAUAUGAAGAUCUUAGAGCAUGAUUAACUUGGUAUCUAACAGGAUAUCUUAAGAUUUAUUUUAUAAUUUUUUAAUCAGUUGGUUUUAAAAUUUUUUAGGGAACGUCUCUUAUUUUGCGACCAUAAGAGACCGUCUCUCCCUCCACGUAGCAAUUCUUCCAAAUUUAAUAAGAAAAAAAAGGCUUAGAGAUCCAAUUAGGAUAUAUAGCGAUAAUCAUGGUCUUAAAGCAAAUUUCGCAACCAAACUACAUAAACAAGGCUUUUAUACUCUACUUCAAUAAAGGAAAUGGAAACAAUCUUAUGAUCAAUAAACAUUACAUACAAUACCAACUAACAUACCUUACGAGUUACGAGUCAUCGGCUCGAGCAUUGUUGUGGGCUAUUACAAUGUCAUCACAUAUACAAACACUGCUAGAAAAACGCCAUCAAUAAUUUUAGUUAACAAGGUAUGUUCAUGAGCAGAUUUGCAAAACCCGGCCAAAGCUUAUAUACUUUUAGAAAAGAAUCAAUGUGGCAGAGUCAGAAACUUUCUUCAUUGGAGGCAAAUGAGAAUAUAUGAUAUUAUGAGUGGGGACAUUGAUAUUAAGCUUUAAUAAAUUAUACCAAUUUUUUAAAUUCAUUGGAGGCAAAAGACCCCAACUUGUUCCAUGUAUCUCCGCCAUUAUAUGAUUGGUUUUGGUUAAAUGACUUUGAAAACUGUUGAAAACUACAAGACUCCUUUCAGAUUAAAUGUCGUUUUAAGGUUUUAAAUUUUCAUAUCAUUUUCAUGUAUUAAUAAGAGAUAUAAAGUUAUGUAAUGUAUAAGUAAAGAUAUAGAUGUAUAGUAUAAUUUUUAUUAGGUUCUUUGAACGAGUGAAAAAAUCCUUAAACAAUAUAUUUAUUAGAAAUUUCAGAUAGAAUAGACUGCUCAAAAAACAAUUAUGAUAAUUGUACAAUAUUUCAAAUGGACUCCAAUUACAUAUAAAAUUGUUUUUAAAUGAUUUUGGAUCCUUGCUAAAUACAUUAAUUUUUUUUGUUAGGUUAUCAAAGUUCCGGUGCAAAGGCACUCCCCGCACAUACUUAAAUACGGUCCUGGAUUAUAUAUAUCAAUGUAGAAAAAUUACAUGUUACAGAGAUAAACUCUUAUCAAACGUGUUUGAAAUCUGAACCCAUUUUUUGUUCAGUUGAUGCAAAAAUAUAGUUUUUGAAAAACAUGGCUCCUAAAUCUUAACUAUGUUCAGUCUAAAGAUUACGGGCCUGCUUGAUAAGAACUUUUACUUUUAAUUUUUACUAUAGAUUUUUAACUGUAAAAACUUUUGCUAUUACUUAAAAAAUUAAAAAAAAUUGUUUGGUAAUAAAUAGAUCUCAAAAACUGUAGAAAUUAACUGCUAACUUUUAAUUUACAAAAUUUUAAAUUUUUAUUUUAAGAAAUGGAUUUCAAAAGAAAACAGAAAAAAUUUUAAGAUUUAAUCAAUUAAAUUUAAUUUGGAAUUAUUUAUAUAUAAAUCUAUAAAAUUAUUUGAAUAAUUCUGCGAAGAGAAUAAAUAGAUAAAGAAAUUAAAAAUGUAUUUAUUUUUGUUAAAAAAUUUUCUAAAAGCUACUCGCACGUAGCUUUUAGAAUUUAUGACCAAAAUUAAAAAGUUUGGCUUUUAAAACUUUAAAAGUAAUCCAUGAAAUAAAAUUGUAUUUGGCAAAAAUAUGAUUUUUAAAACUAAAAUUGGUUUAACAGCCAUAAAAGCGAACGCCCUACGUAUCAGUUCAAAAACCGGUCUACACUAAACCACACCAAACCAAGCCUCUGAUCUCGUGACUGAAGAAUUAAACAACCGUGCAACUAGUCAUAAGCAGCAAAUCUAAACAUUUUAUUCGAUGCGACAAAAACAAUAAUCUUAAUUUUAUUUUUAAUUAUGUCUCCCCGAGAUUAGUUUUUUUUUUUCCUUCUUGGAUCCUUUCUAAAAAUUAUGUGAUUUUCUCAUUUGUGCCUCUCCUUCUUCACCAGCAUCAAAUUAGGGUUUUUUUUCUGCGAGUUUUUGGCGAGUGCCUUAAGAUUUUAGUGAAUUGAGUUUGGGUUUGAGAAGAGAUCUAAUUAGCUCGCUUCUUCGUCAUCAUCGUCUGUUCUCCUACUUUCUUUCACCAUGUUCUGGAAGUUGACUGCUCUCUCUGCUGCUUCUCCGGUGAGUAGGAACUUUUCUACGCAUGAAUUGGGAUUGUUUGCGUCUUAAUUUCACAGUUUUCUCUGAACUCUUCGUGUUCUAAAUCGCUUGCCCCUUUCUUAUCUGCUUCGUUCGUACGCGAAACUGAAGAUGCUGAGAAAUGUUUGAGAUUUCGUUAAUUUUCUGAACUGAUGAUGUUCGUCAGCUAUAAUCGUUAAUUGAUGAUUUCUUCUCUGUGGCAUGCUUGUAAAUGAUAAUAUAUGGGAGUCAAUUGUUUAUCCCCGAUAUUGCGUCUGGAUUUCAGAUGACAUUUACUGAUUCAAAUUCGUUGUUUUUUUUUUCCGAGAAUGUUUUGUCAUGUUAACUUCUUGAUGCGUUUCAAGAUUUUUGCUUUCGAAUAGCUUAAUAGUCCUCGUGAUGUCUGAUUUGGGUCUUCGAUGUUGAAUAUUAUGGUGGGAGACUGGGAGCUAGAAUAUCCGAUUUUUUUUCAGUAUAUUUCAUUUCUUGUGACGUUUUGAGGGAAAUAGUAUCAUACGUAUUUGCAAUUUCUCGGAAGCUGUUUAAGUAGUUUAGAGAAGAGAGAAAUCAGAUAAGGAACACUGUUGUUGCAAUGAAUCGGCAGUUCUUAUCGAGUUCUUCCUCUCGGUUUCCUUAUCUCUUACUUGCGAUUGACAGGUCGAAUCCAUAUUAGACAAGGAAGAUUUCACUUUGGAAGAACUCCUGGAUGAGGAAGACAUAAUCCAAGAAUGCAGAGCUUUGAACAGCCGGCUCAUAAAUUUGUAAUUCAUUUAGGCGUUGUCCUUGUAGUUAUGUGUAGAUUUGUUACAUCUUCGUUUGUACUAUGACAUGUGUCUUCUCUCUAUAUUAACCAUUCUUGAAAAGAUUGAAGAAGCCAGCAGAUAUUGUGCAAAAGUAGAUAGAAUCACUGCAUACUUCCUUUUGUUAUAUUUUUGCAGGAUAACCCUGUGUAUACAAUGGAAGUUUUAGUUUCUCGUAGUCGUAGAAGGGUUGCGAUGUUGGCCUUUUAUGCUUUUUGUUUUGUAUGCUCAUUUGCAGUUUGAGAGAAAGAGCCCAAGUGGAACAGUUAUUACGUUUUAUUGUUGAAGAAUCUCCUGAAGAUGCUGAUAGCAAGCGUGCUUUCAAGUAUGUGCAUUGUGUUUUUUAGAGAUAACUUACCUAACCUUUGCUGAUGAACUUUUUUCCAGAUGUAUUGAAGGCCUGAUUUGGAAUAUUUCUGCUGACUAUUUUGAACUAAGAUUGAUUAACCUUAAAGCAUGUUUCUCUAUUAGGUUUCCUUUCAUCUCCUCUGAAGUCUUGACUUGUGAGAUUGAUGUUAUUCUUAAGACUUUAGUGGAGGAGGAGGAGGUAUUGUACUACUUUCCUUCUUCCUUAAUUAUGAUGAAUGUUUUUGACUUUGAUGUUCCUUUCACUGGUCUCAUUUGAUGAUUUAUUCUUCCUGUUGCAGCUGAUGAACCUACUUUUCUCCUUUCUGGAGCCAAACCGUUCCCACAGCGUAAUGCUUGCUGGGUAUUUCAGCAAGGUAAUGUUUUCGUUGUACACUUUAUUUUAAAACAUUAGUUCUAGUAGUUUCUAAAUUUUAUGCCUCCACAUGUUUAUUACUUACCAACAAUGUAUCUUAUCUCUUUUGGGUAUAGGUUGUCAUUUGCCUCAUGUUGAGGAAGACGGUCCCGCUGAUGAACUAUGUAAAAGUGAGUUAUAUUUUGAUGUAUUAUGAAAUUCUUUCAAAUAGCACGGAAAGCAUGCUUAGUUCUGUGUGGCCGAAAGCAUAUUAAGCUGGAUGUUCCUUCUGUCCUUGUGAUUUUAUGUGCCCUAUAUUUCUUUUUCUUACCUAUGGUUAUUGAUAAUUAUACUUGGUUGAUAUAAGUUACAUUGUGAUCGUAGGUAGAAACUCCUUGAAUAGUUCAACAUGUGAUUUAGACGCACCUUUUCUUUGGAACUUGUUGCUUAGUGAGUUAUUGUCAAUCGAUUGAAAAGUAGUAAUUAAUGUUUACAAUACCAUCUACAGGCCCAUCAGAAUGUUUUCCAGCAACUGGUUGAUUUGAUAGGGAUUACGUCCAUUAUGGAGGUAAACCGUCCCUCUCCUCUUAUCCUUAUAUUUGAUCUGGUAAUCACUUUUAAGCUAAUGUUCAUGUGAUUUAUCUAGGUCCUAAUUCGGUUGGUUGGUGCGGAUGAUCAUGUGUAUCCCAACCACCUCGAUGUGAUGCAAUGGUUAGCUGAUAGCAAUCUGCUUGAAAUGAUCGUGGACAAGCUAGGUCCAUCAGUAAGUUUAAUUAUUAAAAAUUGUCUCUAUCUCCUUCAUUUUGCUAUAAAGUUUUGAAUAUAGGAAGCAUGGGCUUUUUGAGCUACUUUGUGUUGUUCUCUUCUAUGUUAUAAUAAAAUGUGGGAUCGGUUGGUUCUUCAUGUGGCUAGGCUGCUAGUUUUGGAGCUACUGAAAGUCGCGUUUUCUUAGAUUUAUAAGAUAAAUAGAGGAUAGAUAGAGAGACUCUCCUGUGCAUGAACAUCUAUAUAUUAUCAUCUUCUGAAUGUCUCAAUGGAGUGAAGAGAACCUUCGCUGUAGUGGUUAUUGUUUCAGUCAAACAACAGAACUUGUAAUUUCUAAUAUGAUCAGUUCUGAUGUGAAGUUGCUGACAUAUUUUUUCUUCGAUUUCUGUUUCUAUCAGAAUUCUCUCGAAGUUCAUGCAAAUGCUGCUGAAACACUGUGCACUAUUGCUCAAAAUGCACCAUCACCUUUGGCUACGAAACUCUCUAGUUCAAGGUUUGCAGGACGUUUUAUCCUCUUAGAUAUGCAGAAACAUAUUUUGUAUUCAAUAUAAUUUCAGUGAUCUUUUUGUCUUCAGUUUUGUUGCAAGGAUAUUUGGUCAUGCUUUCGGAGAUCCCCAGUGCAAAUCUAGCCUUGUCCACACACUUUCGGUGUGCAUUUCGUUGUUAAGCCCAAGAAGAUCUCUAGUUUCUUCUCCGUUUAUGUAUUCAUUCAGGGGCCAACAGAUCUUUGAGUCUCCAAUUUCUGUGAAUCCGGAGACUAUUGCCACCAUGCUGCCUAGACUUGGUUAGUAUAACACAAAUGACCCGUUAUGUUCUAUAGAUGUGAGCAUAUUCGUUUCGUGUUUUUCCUGCUGAUGAUUUUUUUUUUUUUUUUUUUUUUUUUUUUUUUUUUUAAAUCUUAACACUAUAUUACUUCUUUUGCUGAUUGCUAGGAGCCAAUUCUAUGUUUUUUGUUUGGUUCAUCCUAACAUCUGUUAACUUCUUAUACUGUUCGAAGGUGACCAUGCAUGUUUGCACAACGAUGAAAAUCAUGUAGUUUUAUUAUUUGGUUGCUGCAAUCUCUCGUUUGAUGUCAUUCCACUUUCCUAUUAGUAGCUUCUGGGGAUAUGCUUUCUUCUUUUUAGCCUGAUGGAUUUGAGCUCUCAUUCUUGUUGAAUGUAUUAGAAUAUGGCUCCUUGACUUUUUGACCACGUAUCUCUGUACUUUCUUUAAAGGUUUUAUAUCUCUGGUGUAGGUGACUUUGUCACACUUUUAAACGUGACCUCUGAUGAAAAGGUUUUACCUACAACCUAUGGGCAGUUGAGGCCUCCUCUUGGUAGUCAUCGUCUGAAGGUCAGGUUUCAUUCUGAAAUUUUGGUUUUUGUUAACUGGAAGUUCUGAUUAUUAAAUGGACCCAGCAUCAGAUCUUGCAAUUAAACAUGUACAUCUCUGCCCAAUUAUAUUCUUCUGAAUUUCUUUGUGUUGCUGAUGGCUUGUCUUAGAUUGUGGAGUUCAUUGCUGUCUUGUUGAAAACACGAAGCGAAGCUACAGGAAAAGAACUAGCCAGCUCAGGAGCUAUAAGAAGAGUCCUUGAUCUGUUCUUCGAGUAAAUACUUCUUCCCGGAUUGAUGACAAAUUCUUGGUUUGUUUGGUAAUUCACAUGUCUAUUUUUUGCUUGGCUAAAUCCGACUUUUCAGUUCUAUUUUUUUUUUUUCUCUUAUGCAGGUACCCAUAUAAUAAUGCACUGCACCAUCAGGUGGAGAGUAUUAUAGUAUCGUGUUUGGAGAGCAAAAAUGAAGAGAUUAUUGACCAUCUUCUCCGCGAGUGUGAUUUGAUUGGAAAAAUUCUUAAAACAGAGAAACAGCCAAUCCUUUCUGGUGAUAACCAGGUAUGAACUGUUUCGCUCAUGCUUAUUGUUUUGCGUACAUUCUGGUAAAUAUUCAGAAAAUAAUGUCUGAAACAGUUCGCCAUAUACAGAAAUUAAUUUUCCAGUUCUGUGAAACAAAAUGUGGAACACCAGAUUGUGGUUUGCAAAGAAAUUAUGUUCUAGUUAGAUUCACUUUUCUUACGGAUUUGAUUGAUUUUGAUAUCAUGCAGCCAACAAUACCUGCUACUGGAAAGCAGGCUCCACGGGUGGGAAAUAUCGGCCACAUCUCAAGAAUUUCAAACAAACUUAUUCAGCUGUCAACUAACAGUAACCUGAUAAAGACUUUACUUGAGGUUCGUUUUUCAGCACUAGUAACAUUUUAUUGCAGCAAUUAUUGCAGAUUUACUGAAUUUUACACAUAUAACUGUUAAAUGACUGCUCGUUGGUGUUUGUGUAUAUAUCUAUUUGCUUGCAUCUGUUGUACCACUCUGUUAUCUGUACUCGUGGGAGUCAACCAGCGUAAAUCACUUGGAUUUUUGCAUACCCAUCAAGAUGUAUCCAUAAUGAAAUAUCCCACGUCGAAUCUUGUGUACAAAUGUUUGCAUUUUGUUUGGUAAGAACAACUUUUUGAGGCGUACCGUUUCCUUUGCUAGGAACAUAACGAAUGGGGCGAGUGGGAAGCUAAUGUGUUGCAUGAUCGAAACACAGCUGAGAAUGUUUAUCGCUGGGUUUGCGGGUAUGCCUCGUCUCAAACCUUUUAAGUCUUCCUGUCACACCUAUUUAUGCAAUGAUCAGGGGUGCAAUUAUUUUUGUUUUUGCAAGGUUGUCUUAGAAAAAGCAUAGAGCUAUCAUACCUAGUACAAUUAGAUAUGAUAACUCUAUGUAUAAUCGUUUAUUUUGUUUCUUGAUAAUAAUCACUUGGCUUCUUUCGCAUGCAGACGCCCGACUGCAUUACAUGAUAGGACUAGGGACAGUGACGAUGAUGAAGCUCACGACAGGGAUUAUGAUCUUGCUGGUUUAGCUAAUAACUUGAACCAGUUCAGAUACAACAUGCAAGAGAACAAUGGUGCUGGGGAGGUAACUGUUAGUCUCUCUGAUUCGUUUUUCGUAAAAAUUUGGCUGAAUCUAAAUUUCAUGUUUCUGGUUCCAGGAACAUGGUUCCAAUGAAAGAGACGAAGAGGUAUUCAUUAUAAAAUAUAUUCAAUGUUUUAUAUUUGAAGAAAACACUGUCUAGGGUAGUCCUGACUGUAACAAAUUUUCUAGGAUGUCUACUUUGAUGACGAAUCUGCUGAAGUUGUUAUAUCAUCUCUAAGGCUUGGUGAUGAACAGGCGAAGUAAGCUUCCAAAUUCGAUUUAUACAACUCAAAUAUCUGAUUUAAAAGAAAGAACAAAAAUAGAAUUAUGGCUUUUAAAACCAAUUUAAUUGUUUUUUCUUUUUCUUGGUGCAGCAAUUUAUUCACAAACUCGAACUGGUUCACGUUCCAAGGAGAUGAAUUGGGUGAAAACACAGGAACAGGGGAGAUUCCUUCAGAGGAAGCUAUGGAAGAUGUAAGCUUGAAUGAAACUUCCGGUGGUGGAGAUGAUGAAGAAGAAGAAGAAAAAGAAGACGAAGAAGAAGAAGACGGUUUGAUUACAGAAACCAAGAACCCUUUCUUAGACACAGCCUCAACCUCAGAGCCAGUUUCUGUAGAAACCCUACCUGGAGAUAUCGAGAUUGACGAAGAAGAUGUGGUUUCAGAUGAAUUGUCACCGGAAUGGGCUAAGCGUGGAGAUUCUUCUUCAUCAGCUGCACAGGUCAAAGAUCAGGAAAACGACACGAAGAUGCCUGAUGUUAGAAUCCCAAACGGUUCUUCAUCCUCGGAAGGCGAGAUUAGCCCGAGAUCACCGCCUGUGCCUUCGUUGUUUGGCAAAGACGUCGAGUUCGUAGGCGUGGAGCCAGAAGGAACCGAAAGAGCGAUGGAACAAGCUCUCAAGGAAGGGAUAGUGGGAGAAGCAGGGCCAAUGAAGAGGAACAGUGCCGCCACAGCCUCACCGGGUAAAGAGAGCUCUGAUGAGAAUAUGCAGCAGGAGUAUAACGAUACUAACUACUGGAAAGUUGAUCAGGAGGUGGCUGUGGUUGAAUGAAUGUGAUGUGACGUGGCAUAUCGUUGUCUGAAAGCUGACGUGAAAACUGAAGUGGCACAUUGAUGUCUGAAUGAUUCCCGAGUUGAAAGGGAAGAGAAACUCAAGGAAGGUACUUGUGAAUGUACAGUACUACUAAAGUCAUUGUCUCUUUUUGUGUUUUGGAAUAUUUUCAACAAGUGAACUGAUUUGUUCGUUUAGGGUUCUCUUACAAAAUUUGGAUGCUUUUGCUAUAUGUCUGUCAAGGAUCUAUUUUACUUACUUUGAUAUCACUUUUUUAUUUCUUUUGGUACGUUUUGAUAUAUUUGAUUAAAAUUGGGACUGUUGUUGUAAAAACUUUCGUGAUGUUCUUGGGUAAUAAAAACUCUGAAUUUUAAUGUCUGCGGAUGAUUUUGAAGCUUGGUAAUAAUUUAUUUCAAUUGUGUUUCAUACACAGGUAAAAAAGGAAACAAUAAAGAAAACACGUUAAACGUUAAAAUUACUUUUCAAGGAAAAAGAAAGGAAAUACAACAACAAUAGAUGAACGUUAAAAAGUGCUUUUAAUAAGAGAAUGAAAAAAAGGAAAUAACUACAAUGAAAAAAAGGAAAGAUGGUUGCAUUUACGCGUAUAGUAAUUAGUAAUAAUAAAUUAUUACGAAAAAACUAAAAUCUAACCGUUACUCAAAUUGAAAUAAACCUUGUCCUAUAAAUACAUGAACAUACCCAUCAAAUCCUCCACAAUUUAGUUUUCCACAACAAUCUCUUACGUCUCUCUCUUCUUCGAUUUUCUCUCUGUUUCUGUUGAAUUUUUUCAGAGAAUGGAAACUGCAGCAGUAAGUGUAGAUGUGUUCGCAAGGGCUUUUUCUCAGGAUCCAUCUCUAGGGUUCUUAAGCACUGCGGUAAUUUCUCUAAACCGUGAAUUCGAGGAGUUUCUCGUAGACGAAAACGGUGGUAACGUCUCAUCUCUCGGAUCAUACCCUGCUUCUAAUUCUCGUCCCGACCGAGAAAUCUCUCUGAAACUCCAGAAUUUCACACCGAACCAUAUCUACAAACAUCUCCAGAAUCGAUUUCACGAUCAUGUUUUGUCCCGACAAAUAUGUGAUCGGAUGGUUGUCGAAGCCGAGAAGCAAAGUCAAAGUGUUCCCUUGUCCAUGGUGGUCUCUGUGAAACUGACUCAGAAAGUUUUCAUCGUCGUGCCUUGUAAUUCAACGACAGAUUUUGAAACAGAGAGUUGUGUUAUAUGUUUUGAGAAUCUGUCCGAGUCAGAAUCGGAGACUAAACCCAUAUGCGAGUUACCUAAUUGUCCUCAUCGUUUUCAUGAAGAAUGUUUCUUGGAGUGGUACUUAGAUCGACAAAACAAUUCAUGCCCUCUCUGUCGCCAAUCUAUUUACUAAAGUACAAGCAGAGCCGUGUCUAUGUUAUGGAUUAGGGAACAUGUUGAAGUAAAAUCAAAUCUCGUUUUUGCAAUGUCACAUUUGUAUUAGUUAUUACUUAAGAGUCAAAAAUUGUCUUUUCCUAAAGUUGUGUCUUUUCAAUUAAGAGUCAAAAAUUGUCUUUUCCUAGCGUAACAAGCAGGGCCUUGUUUAUGUUAUGGAUUGGGAAACAUGUUGAAGUAUGAUCAAAUCUCGUUAUUGCAUUAUAGUUUUGGUUUUGUAUAAGUAUAGAUCGAGUCAGUUUUUUGUAAUGACAAGUCAGAGAAUAAUACAAUUAAGUUUGAUUACAUUCAUAUUCUGUAUUUCCUUCUUUUUCUUCAUAACCGUAAAACACCAAAUACAAAACACCAACAAAAUUUGUAUGUUGUUAUUUUUUAGUGAUCAUGAUCUUAUUUUUUAUCUUUUAUUUUAAUCAAACAUUAUAUUAUAAAAUUAGGUUUUUAAAAGAAAAUAACCUGAAAAAAAUAAAUUAAGCAAAAACUACAUCGUCCAAAAUCUACUACCAAAUUUAUUCAAAGUAAAUUAAAAAUUAUAUAUUAUAAAUUAUAAUUUGAGAUCAUAUAUUGACAAGUUCAUAUUCAAAUUUCAAAGGUAGGCUAGUUUUGGUCUGACCAGUUUUUUUAUAAUUUGAGAUUACCUAUAUAUUGAUCAGGUUGUUGGAGGAAAUCUUCAUAAAUAGGUUUAAGCAGUCUAUUCAAGAUCAAGUGAUCCGGUACAGACCAGUGGGGAUUGAUGAGUUAGUAGACACCGCGUUGAUCAUAGAGGAGCAGGAGAGUCGUGAUGAGAAGGAAAAGGAGUGGGAGCACCGGGAUCGGUUUAAGCCAACGUUUCAGAGGGUUAAAUCAGCUCCAGCGUUACACUAUAGCUUUCGUUUCUCGGGAUCAAACUCUCACCGAUCACCCGAGAAAAGGAGUUCGGAGGGUAACUAUAAAAGCAGGCCCAAUGUUUCCGAUAAGAAGAAGGGAGAGUGCUGGAAGUGUGGGGAUAAAUGGAGCCCAACGCACAAGUACAAGGGUAAGGAAUUCAAGUACCUGGCGGUCAACGAAGAAGGAGAGAUCGAAGGGGAGCUUGGGAAUGACCUAGAGGAUCAAGAGGAGGACUCGGCUAACGACGAAAUGAAAGAACUCUUGGUGUUGUCCUUGCAGUCUAUGUCAGGGUUGACACCAGGGAGGUCGAUGAGGCUUAAAGGGGUGGUUGCAGGACAAGAGUUGAUCGUGUUUAUCAACUCAGGAGCAACGAGCAAUUUCAUUUCCUCGGAAGUGGCUAAGAGGUGUGGAUUAAAGGUUCAGAAGACGCGAGGGUUCGGAGUCUCCAUCGGCGAUGGACAGAUCAUUCCAAGUGAGGGCAAGUGCAAACGAGUGCCAUUGCAAAUUCAAGAGGUAAACGUUCUCGCUGACUUCUUGAUAUUCGAACUGGGAACUACGGAUUUAGUACUUGGAUAUGCCUGGUUGGAAACUCUGGGGGAGAAAAAGAACAACUGGAAGUGUCAUACUAUGAUCCUAAUGCACGAGGGAAGAUGGGUCAUGCUGGUUGGGGAUCCAUCGUUGGUAAGGUCACAAGUUUCUUUGAACUCGAUUGAGAAGGUAGUGCAGGAUGCGGGAGAGGCGUAUCUGUUAGAUUUUUUCACCUUGUUUGAAGGAGAUGUCAAGGGGGCAACCUGUACACAGGAUACGGAGGUCCUCAAAGUAGUAGAGAAGCAUAAGGGAGUAUUCCAAAUGCCUGCGGAUUUGCCACCACAGCGUAACAGGGAGCAUGCUAUUACCCUAAAAGAAGGUGCAACACCAGUCAACCUGAGACCUUAUCGAUACACCUUCAUACAAAAGGAUGAGAACGAGAAGUUAAUUCGGGAAAUACUACAAGCGCGGAUAAUACAACCGAGUAUUAGUCUCUACUCGAGUCCGGUGUUAUUGGUGCAAAAGAAGGAUGAGGGAUGGCGUUUCUGCAUUGAUUACAGGGUGUUGAACAAGCUUACGGUACCCAAUACCAGUUAUUGAGGAAUUGUUGUAUGAGUUUCAGAGAGCAACAAUCUUCUCCAAACUGCAUUUGAAGUCGCGGUAUCACCAGAUAAGAGUUCAGAAGGACGAUGUGAAGAAGACGAUCUUCAGGACACACGAGGGACAUUAUGAGUUCCUCGUGAUGCCUUUUGGGCUUACAAACGCCCCAGCCACUUUCCAGUCAGUGAUGAACAACAUUUUUUGGGAGUAUUUGCGGAAGUUUGUGCUCGUGUUCUUCGAUGAUAUUCUCAUCUAUAGCACCAGCAAGGAGGAUCACUUGAGGCAUUUAUAGUUGGUUCUGAAGAAGUUGAAGCAGCACCAAUUCUAUGCGAACAAGAAGAAGUGUGCAUUUGGGAAGAAGCAAAUAUCGUACUUGGGCCAUAUCAUUUCGGGUAAGGGGGUAGCAGCUGAUUCAGUGAAGAUAGCUGCUAUGAGUGCUUAGCCUGAGCCGCAGAAUAUCACAGAGCUGAUGGGUUUCUUGGGGCUAACGGGUUACUACCGGCGUUUUGUUCGGGAUUAUGGGAAAAUUGCGAGACCGUUAACUGAGUUACUACAGAAGAAUGAGUUCAAAUGGAGCUCUCACGCGACAGAGGCUUUUCAGCAGUUGAAACAGGCAAUGACUUCUUUGCCUAUUCUGGCAUUGCCGGAUUUCAAGGCGCCUUUUACGGUGGAAACUGAAGCGUCUGGUAAUGGGGUAGGGGCAGUGUUGUCUCAAGCCAACAGACUAAUCGCGUUCUUCAGUCAAGGAUUCACGUAGAAGGGAAAGAUGAAGUCGGUGUAUGAGCGUGAGUUACUUGCCAUAGUCUUGGCGGUCCAGCACUGGCGCCACUACCUUGCGUGCCAACCUUUUACCAUCAGGACUGACCAGAAAAGUUUGAAGCACCUGUUGGAACAAAGGUUUGUUACCAAGGAGCAGCAGAAGUAGGCAACAAAGCUGCUGGGGCUGGAUUUUGUUAUUGAAUACAAACCGGAAAAAGAGAACAGAGUGGCGGAUGCACUUUCGAGGAAGGUUAAACCCGUUCAGUUGUUGGAAUUGAUUUUCUCAGCACCUCUUUCGCUUGACAUGGUGGCGUUGAAGGACCAAGUAAGUAGAGAUGCGAUGCUGCAGAAGAUAGUGUCGGGGUUACAGCAAGGUUCCUCACAGGAUUCACGAUACACUCUAAAAGACGGUGUGUUGUACAGAGACAAUUGUGUGGUGUUACCAUCUGGAUCUCCCUUCAUUUCAAUAUUGUUGCAGCAGUUUCAUUCUAGUAGUACUGGGGGUCAUGAAGGGCAGCUGAAGACGUACAAAAGGUUAAGUAGGGAGGUCUACUGGAGGGGAAUGAAAAAGGAUGUGGUGUGUCAUUGAGCAAUGCCAUACCUACCAGCAGAAUAAGUACUCGACUCUCAGUCCGGCUGGUUUGCUGAACCCCUUACCUGUUCCGAAACACGUUUGGGCUGACAUCACUAUGGAUUUUAUAGAGAGAUUGCCGAGGUCAUUGGGGUAUAACUCGAUUCUUAUUGUUGUUGUCAGGCUGAGCAAGUUCAGCCACUUCAUCAAACUGUCUCACCCUUUUACUGCGAGGGAUGUGGCGGAGAAGUUCAUCUCUGAAGUGGUGCGCUUACACGGGUUCCCAGAGUCCAUUGUGUCCGAUCGAGAAAAGGUUUUUCUCAGUAAUUUUUGGGUUGCUAUGUUCAAGUCUCAAGGCACGUUCUUGCGCAGGAGCUCAGCCUACCAUCCGGAGACAGAUGAGCAACAGAGGUCAUGAAUAGGUGUCUCGAGACCUAUUUACGGUGUUUUGCUGGACAAAAGUCGAAGACUUGGGCAAAAUGGCUUCCUUGGGCAGAGUAUUGGUACAAUACCUCCCAUCACUCUGCCAUUGGAAUGACGCCAUUCAAGGCCUUGUAUGGUCGAGAUCCGCCGAAGCUCUUACGGUUCCAAGACACCCCGACUAACAAUGCCACGGUGGAGGAGAUACUUAGGGAUCGGGAUGCCCUGUUGGAAGAGUUGCAACCCCACAUCAUCCUGAAGGCUCAGCAACGCAUGAAGAAGGCUGCUGAUAAGCAUCAACGAGACCUGGAGUUUGCUGUGGGAGAUUGGGUAUAUGUCAAACUCUGACCGUACAAGCAGAAAUCAGUAGCUGUUCAUCUUAAUGAGAAGCUUGCACCGCGGUUAUUUAGACCCUAUGAGAUCUUGAAACGCAUUGGACCAGCUGCACAUCAUUUGAGGCUCCCAACUGGUAGCUCAAUCCAUCCAGUAUUUCAUAUUUCCCAGCUUAAGAAGGCGGUUCCUGCUGCGUACACAGCGCAGCCCAUACCACAAGCUCUACAGGCAAACUUGGAGUGGAUGGCAGAGCCUAAGGCGAUCACGGCUAUACGCCGCGUAAUAGACGGUUCGAAGGCAGAUGUGUUGGUGGAGUGAGAAGGAUUGCCUGACUUCGAAGCAACAUGGGAGUUAGCUGAUAAGAUCCAUGAGCAGUUUCCUCACUUCCACCUUUAGGUGGCUCAUUUACAGGGGAGUAUUGAUAAGCUUGGAGUACCCUUGGCAUUGAUGAGGAAGAAAGCCAGAGAUUCGAAGAGAAGAAGCAAGUAUGGGAGUCGUCAAAGUGGCUAAGCAGGAGAAGAAAUAUGGAAGACGAGAGGCUUUGUCUCAUUUAGAGUAUUUUUUUAUGUUGAGUAAUAAUGUGAGUGAUGUGUAUUUUGUUGGUCAGUGUAGAGACUAUUUAAGCUAAACCUUAUCUUGUAAAACAUUUAUCUUUGAUCACCUAAGAUUACAGAGGCUAGGUUUGUCCUCAAUGUCAAACCAUUUCUCUACUCUUUCAGUGUCUUUCUUCUCUAAUCUCUUUUCUAUUCUUAAUCAUCAAGGUUAAUCCAUUUUAGUAUUAACAUUUUUCUUCAGUAAAAAACCAAAAGCUUAAUCCUCGGUUGUCCUCUCUCUCUUAUAUACUCCAUGAAUCUUCAAUAGAUAGAAUAUUUAUUUUCUUAUGCAUAUAUCUUCAGCUCAUUCUAUCCAGUGCCGGCUCUUGGCAUGUGCUAGCGGUGUUGUUGCACUGGUUCAAAAUGUUUUUUGCAAAUUUUAGUGAAGAUUUUUGGGUCAUUUUUGAAAAUUUCAAAAUGUUUUUGAAAAAUUCUACAUAUUAUAUCUACAAAAUCAAAUUAUUGUACAAUGCCCAUUUAAAGUAUGAACCGGACUUAUUCUAUCGAUAUUUUUUCACCACCACGUCAGAAUCUUCUUGUUCCACUCAAAAUUUGCCAUGUCACCACAUCUACUUAGCUUCACAAUACUAUGUUCAAGAUGCAGUUCUCUGUUGCUUUCAGAAGAUAGAACACAUCCAUUACAGAUUCAAGAAGAAAGUGUUUACUUUAGUCUCUUUAGCUCGUGUAAGCAACUUCAAACAAUCAAACAUUUUGUAUUUUUGUUAUAUUAUCGAUUUUCAUCAUAAUUAUACCCCAUUCAUGGGUUUCGAUAUUUAACUCUUGGGCCCAUGGAUCACAAGCCCAUUUCAGAAUCUCAGAACUAUUGGUUAAAACAGAAUUAUAGAAAAGUAGACCUCUCUUAGCUUUAUAUGUUCGAAAGUCUCUCGAAACUCGAAUAAAAAAAACAUUCUUCCACAAUUCAAUUGGAGACGAGAAGAGAGAGAGAAUCUAGAGAGAAGAUGAUAGAGGUGGUGCUUAACGAUCGUCUGGGAAAAAAGGUGAGGGUGAAGUGCAACGAAGACGACACAAUCGGAGAUCUGAAGAAGCUCGUGGCGGCGCAAACCGGAACCCG